UAUGUUAAUUGUUAUCACUACAACAAAAACGGUGUAUAGCGACACUUUUAAAUAUAGGUACAGGUCAAAAAAAGUGCUCAUGGCUAAACUACCGACACUUUUAAAAAGUUUUGUUAUAUGUGGGGUCGGUAGGUAUAUAGUGACAGUUAAAGAGUGUCACUAUAGCCUAAAAAGAGUGCUGCUAAUUUAUCGACGCUUAUUUAAGAAUUUAGCAACCGCCGAAACUCUACCUCGUUGGCUGCGGUGGCGGAGGAGAGGAAAGGGCUCUUCAUCUAAAAUUUCAGUAGAUUGAGUGAGGGAAGAAGGGGAGGCGGUAAUCGAUUUUUUUCUUUUCUUUUCUGUUUGUAAUCAGGCCGAAUAGGCUGGGUGGGAUGGGUUGAGUAGAGUAACCUUUUAUUUUUGGUUGGAUUAGGCUUUAUAUUUAGGCAAUAGUAGAUUUUCUUUUAAGUUUUGGCAUAAAUAGGACAUUUACACAAAAAUGUCCCAAACAUGUGUUCCUAUAAACUAAUUCUGUUGUAGUGUAAAUGAAACUAUUUGGCUUAUGUUAAUUGCUGUAAAUUGAUGGAAUGUAAAUCUAUACUAUCAGUUGAGUGAUAAAUAUACAAUUUUUAAAUUUUAAAAAAUUUAUCAGUAAGUGUGCGAAAAUUUAGAUUGUUUUGUAUGUCCAAAACUUUGUUAUCAAUAUCUGCUACUAUAAUGGCAGCAGAUAUAGAAAUAGAAUUAAAUAGAAAUUAAUAUCCAAGCUCAAACUAGGCCAUUUCUUCAUAUUUAUAUAUAAUAGUAAAAGAAAAAUGCUUCCUAGUCGGUUAAAUAUAUAAUAUAAAAUUAAUGAAAUGACGUACUUAUUUUUACAAGCAACGAAAAUCAAGGAUUUUCCAACAAAGUUUCUAAUUAAUUGAUAUAAUACUUUUAAUCCUUAAAAUUGUAUAUUUAUGCAUCUUCGCCAGCGGACUAGUUAUAAUUAGAGGCAAUUGCUUAUAUACACAUUUGAAAAGUUUUCAACUUUCUGAUUUAUCAUUCUUAGAAGGUUAAUAUUGAAAAUAUCUUUUUUACGUUCCAAUUUAUUUCAAAUAUACUCAUAUAGAGUUAAAUUCUGUUAAUGAACUAUUAGUAAUAAUUGUUAUCUGUAUGAAAUUAUUAUUUUGCCCUUUCAAAUAUACCCUUCCACCAUCACUUUUUUUUUAUUUGCCCGUAAGUUAGGGUUAUAAAAAGUAUUUUCAAAAAAAUAUCCUUCUGUCAUCACCAAUAUUUUUUAUUUGUCAUACGUUAAGGGCAAAAGAGAUAUUUUGAUUGUUUUUUAAACUCUAGUAGACGUUUAACACAUAUUUAACCUAAGUUAACUUAACGGAUGGUAACUAUUAAGAGUAUUUUGGAAUAAGGAAGGAACAUAUGAGGGGUAUAUUGGAAAUAAAUAAAAAAAAAGUAGAGUUAAAUAAGAUAUUUUCAAAGUUUAGAAGGUUAUAUAGGCAAUUUCCCCUACUUUGACCUCCUAUACUUACCUUAUCCAUUAAAAAAAAAUUCUAAAAUUAAAAGAGUAAUUAAAAAUUCUAAUUUAAUCAUCAUAUAUUUGAAUUACAUAUAUACUUCUUUUAUUUUCUUGAGAUGAUUUGGCAAUUAUUCAACACCAAUUUAUGUAAUUUAUGAAAAAAUUUUGCUUUAAUAAUUUCUUUACGUAUGUUAAAAUGGGAUGAGCAGAAGAAACCAAACAACUAUACCAAUUUGUAAACCACAUAAACAUGACUUCUGGAAUCGAUCGUAUUGAACUAUCAAAUCUGCCCUUUGUCGUAUUAUAGUUUCGAGUUUCAUUUUAGUAAAGUUCAACACUUUACUAUUGUAUUUAACUAAUAAAUUAUUAUUAUCAUAAAACAAAACAUGAAAUUACAUAAUAGCAAGGUAUAAAAUUUUAAAUCAUAGAAAAUACAAAUAGGUGCAGCUAAGCCAAAGAGGGCCUGAUUGAAAUCUUAUCCAAAAAAAGAGAUAGACAGAAUUUUAUAAGAAAAAUAAAAAUAAGGAGUUUAUGUAUCUCUAACUGAUCAUGUGCCCUCAAUAAUUAACUAUAAAAGAAUGCACGAAUCUUAAAGCAAACAACAAAACAUCGUGGCGGGGCUUCUGUACAGAGGUUCAGCUAUAAAUAAGGAUACGAGUGAGAUGAAUAAUUAAGGCGAUCGAGGAAUAGCUUGCCAAGGAGAGAGAAUACAUAGGAAUAGCCAAGGGAGAGAAUAUAUAGGAAGAGCCAAAGGAAGAAGAGAAGGCCUACGCCGACACCUACGCCGAUGCCGACGCCGGGACUCAUCAGAACGUUGGUCUUCCUCGGCGGAGCGCUCUCCGGCACGUUGGUCAAAGCGGCCCUCGCUGUCCAACAAGAUAGAGAAGAGCCCUGCGGUGGCGGCGACAGCACCAGCGAUCAUGACACGGGGAAUGAGACGCCGUGGCGACCACCGUUGCUGCUGCUGCGGCCUCCUCCCUCCGUCGACAGGUUAGCUAUAAAUAAGGAGAGUAAGAAGAAUAAGUCGAUGAAGGAAUAGCCAAGGAUAUAGGUCUCUUGCUAAUUCUUGAUCAUGGCAUCCCCACCCAACAGAGACCAGCAACGGGAGAAGAAGACUACGCCGAUGCCGACGUUGGGGCUCAUUGGAGCGCUGGCCUUCCUCGGCGGAGCACUCAUUGUCAAGUUGGUCGGAAAGGCCCUUCCCGCCCGACAAGCUAUUCCAAGAUCGACACCUGUGGGAGAGGCCCGCAACAGCACCAGGUGAGAUAACGGCACGGGGAAGGAAACGCAGUGGCAACCACUUUUGCUGCUGCUGUGGCCUCCUUCCUCCGUCGAGAACUCUUCGUAAUUAAUCAAUCCCCCCCAUUUUUUUUCUUACUACUUAUCACAAACUUUACGCAUAUACAUGCGUGCAUCUUCUUUUCAUUUUCUUGGUAAUUACAACGGUGGUGCAAUUUGGUAUAUAUACAUGUAGUAGGGUUGCAGAAAAUGGAGGUGGAGGAGGCGAGGAGGAGAAGGGGAUCAAGAAAAAGAAGAUGGUAGUGACGUUGGCGAUAGGGGCGAUAAUUAUUGUGAAGAUUCUAUCAGAGGCCAACGCUGCUGAUCUUCUUCAUUUGUCUCUAGGAAUUGGGAUCAGUUUAUUCUUCUUCUUUAGCUUCUUUGAGUUUUGAGAUUGUUUCAUGGCUUCCUUUAUAAGGAUCUUGAUCUCUCCUAAAAAGAAAAAUCUUGAACGAGGAGCACCUCACUAUCCCUUGUUGGGCUCGCUCUCUCUCUCUCUCUCUCUCUCUCUCUCUCUCUCUCUUUCUCUCUCUCUCUCUCUUGUUUUUUUUUUUUGAUAGAAAUUGUAUCAAAGAACAAUCAACGGUUUCAUUGUAUUGGGGAGUAUUAUUAGUUUAACUGAUGUACUCAUAUAUGCUAAGUUCGUUUAUUACCCUUUUAGCUCUAGCGCUUUAUCUCUCUCUCUUGUGUGUGAGCGCGCACGCGAGCGCGCGUGUGUUUGCAUGUUAAUUUUGGUAGUUGAUGCAUGGCAAUAAGUAGUCAGCAUUAAUCAAACGUAAUCAUAUGUACGCUAAGUUCUUCUUCUACGUUUUAGGAUCUGUUUGUUUUUCUUGCAUGUGUACUGUGAAAUAAAAUGCAUCUAGGAUAUUAUAUUUCACAUUAGAUGUAAAGUUAGAAUUGUAAUUCUUUCAAAAUAUACAAGUUUUGUUGAAAAGUUAUUGGUUUAAAUUUUACGAGCAGUUAAUUUGAGUGACUUAGUUCUAAGUACGUUCUUAUAGUUUCAAGAUGUUCUGGAUUCAAUUUUCAUAUUUAUUUGUUAAUUGCAUAAUUCUUUUUGGUCUUUCUUAUAUAUGUUAAUUAUCCCUCUUUUAGAUUCACAUGACAUGAUUUAUUUAAUUAUAUUCACCAUACAAUAUGAUAAAUUUGUUUUUUAGCUAUCAUUACAACCAUUUGGAUAACAAAGAUAGUGCAGCUUUUAAAAAUUAAGAACAUGGUAUUGAAGCUUGUACACUUGAUUUUUGCGAAGAAAUUAUUUUUUAAACUAUUUGAUAGUUAAAUUAAAUGUGAUCUGAGAGUCAGAUGACAAAACCAUAAUGACCAAAUUUGAACCCAAAAUUAACUAUUUAGGCAUCUAAUAUAUCUAGAUUUAGAGAGAGAGAGAGAGAGAGCUAGAGCUAAAAGGGUAAUAAACGAACUUAGCAUAUAUGAGUACAUCAGUUAAACUGAUAAUACUCCCCAAUACAAUGAAACCGUUGAUUGUUCUUUGAUACAAUUUCUAUCAAAAAAAAAAAACAAGAGAGAGAGAGAGAGAAAGAGAGAGAGAGAGAGAGAGAGAGAGAGAGAGAGAGAGAGAGAGAGAGAGAGAGAGCCCAACAAGGGAUAGUGAGGUGCUCCUCGUUCAAGAUUUUUCUUUUUAGGAGAGAUCAAGAUCCUUAUAAAGGAAGCCAUGAAACAAUCUCAAAACUCAAAGAAGCUAAAGAAGAAGAAUAAACUGAUCCCAAUUCCUAGAGACAAAUGAAGAAGAUCAGCAGCGUUGGCCUCUGAUAGAAUCUUCACAAUAAUUAUCGCCCCUAUCGCCAACGUCACUACCAUCUUCUUUUUCUUGAUCCCCUCCUCCUCCUCGCCUCCUCCACCUCCAUUUUCUGCAACCCUACUACAUGUAUAUAUACCAAAUUGCACCACCGUUGUAAUUACCAAGAAAAUGAAAAGAAGAUGCACGCAUGUAUAUGCGUAAAGUUUGUGAUAAGUAGUAAGAAAAAAAAUGGGGGGGAUUGAUUAAUUACGAAGAGUUCUCGACGGAGGAAGGAGGCCACAGCAGCAGCAAAAGUGGUUGCCACUGCGUUUCCUUCCCCGUGCCGUUAUCUCACCUGGUGCUGUUGCGGGCCUCUCCCACAGGUGUCGAUCUUGGAAUAGCUUGUCGGGCGGGAAGGGCCUUUCCGACCAACUUGACAAUGAGUGCUCCGCCGAGGAAGGCCAGCGCUCCAAUGAGCCCCAACGUCGGCAUCGGCGUAGUCUUCUUCUCCCGUUGCUGGUCUCUGUUGGGUGGGGAUGCCAUGAUCAAGAAUUAGCAAGAGACCUAUAUCCUUGGCUAUUCCUUCAUCGACUUAUUCUUCUUACUCUCCUUAUUUAUAGCUAACCUGUCGACGGAGGGAGGAGGCCGCAGCAGCAGCAACGGUGGUCGCCACGGCGUCUCAUUCCCCGUGUCAUGAUCGCUGGUGCUGUCGCCGCCACCGCAGGGCUCUUCUCUAUCUUGUUGGACAGCGAGGGCCGCUUUGACCAACGUGCCGGAGAGCGCUCCGCCGAGGAAGACCAACGUUCUGAUGAGUCCCGGCGUCGGCAUCGGCGUAGGUGUCGGCGUAGGCCUUCUCUUCUUCCUUUGGCUCUUCCUAUAUAUUCUCUCCCUUGGCUAUUCCUAUGUAUUCUCUCUUCUUGGCAAGCUAUUCCUCGAUCGCCUUAAUUAUUCAUCUCACUCGUAUCCUUAUUUAUAGCUGAACCUCUGUACAGAAGCCCCGCCACGAUGUUUUGUUGUUUGCUUUAAGAUUCGUGCAUUCUUUUAUAGUUAAUUAUUGAGGGCACAUGAUCAGUUAGAGAUACAUAAACUCCUUAUUUUUAUUUUUCUUAUAAAAUUCUGUCUAUCUCUCUUUUUGGAUCAGAUUUCAAUCAGGCCCUCUUUGGCUUAGCUGCACCUAUUUGUAUUUUCUAUGAUUUAAAAUUUUAUACCUUGCUAUUAUGUGAUUUCAUGUUUUGUUUUAAUAAUAAUUUAUUAGUUAAAUACAAUAGUAAAGUGUUGAACUUUACUAAAAUAAAACUCAAAACUAUAAUACGACAAAGGGCAGAUUUGAUAGUUCAAUACGAUCGAUUCCAGAAGUCAUGUUUCGUAUUGCAAUUUGGUAUAGUUGUUUGGUUUCUUCUGCUUAUCCCAUUUUAACAUACGUAAAGAAAUUAGGGUUAAUUUCAUUUAUACACUCACAAAACUAUGAAUCAUAAAUAACCUUCAAAUUUUUAAAAUAUAAUAAAUACGCUCUAAAUACAAUAUUUCUUUCAUAAAUGUCCUUACCAUUAUUUUUUUGCUAAUUAACUUCCGUUAACUUAGCAUUUUUUUUACUUUACUUUUAAAUAUAAAAUUACCACUUUUCCCUUUAUACACUAAAAAGUUCAAUGUUAUAAUAAAUGCCCCUACACAAUUUGAAAUAUCAAAGUUAACCCUAUGAAUUACUUUGUUUUUAAAAAAUUUCAACAUAUACUAUCAUUAGUUAGGAUCAUUUUAAUCUUAGUUACAUUAUAGUAUAAUGAAGGUUAAGAAUAAAAUUGCCUAUUUUAUCCCUAAAUAUUGAAAAUUAGUGAGGUGUAUAUAAAUGUAUGCUAGCCCAUUUCUUUUUUAAAAUUUUUAUCCAUUCAAAUUUUAUUUAUUUUGAUUUCAAAUAUUUUAAUCAAUUAAAUAUAGAAAUUCUAUUAAUCAGUUAAUUAGCUAUUAAAUGAAUUUUUCUAUUUUCAAAUGCAAAUUAGUUAAAGGUACGUAUGAAUUUGAUGGAAUAAUUAUCUUACUUCAUAAAAUUUUUAGUAAUUAAAAUUUCAUGUUUUCAAUUUAUUAUUUCAAACUAUUAUUGGUUCAUGUAAUGUUCAUUGAUUAUAAAAAUUUAGUUGGUCUUUUCAUAAUAAAACUAAAUUUUUUAUCUAUGGUCGAAUUUUAUACUAAUGUACUAUUUCUUCGGUUAUAAUGUGUAUUCACAACCACAAACUUUCUCUGUGUCAAGUGGUCAAAUUAAAUGUUUUUAUUACUUUUCAAUCGAUAUAGUAAAUGAAAAGAUUACUAAAAUGAAUUAUUUUCUCAUUUUGACAAUGAAGCAAAAUAAAUAUAAUUUAACUACAAUUUAUUUGAAAUAUAAAUAUUUAUUUCUAAUUGAAAUGAAUAAUUUUUCUAAACUAAAAUCAAUCAAAUUUUACUAAAUCAUUAGUCUAGAUAGAGUUUAGUUGAUUUUCAAAUAUAAGAGUGGAUAUUUGUGAAAUAAAAUCAGUAAUUGACCAUUAAAUAUAAAGAGGGGUAAAGUUGGAAUUUAAAUAUUAUUCAUUUCAAUUUGGAUGGACACUUAAUGGUUGGGUUAUUUUUUAAAGUUUUGUAAUUUAGGGGGGUCUACAUGAUAUUUCAAUUUUUAGAUGGAUAUUUAUGAAAUUAGAUAGUUUUAGGAGGGUAUUGAGGAAUUUUUUUCAAAAAAUUAUUACAGCAAAAUAUUAUAGAACAAUAAAGGCUCCAUGCCCUCGCCCUCAUGGUCCUAGUGAUGACCCCUUCUAGUCCAGGAUCUCCCCAACCCCCGAUGUGGAACUGGAGAUGCGCUUUAGUUUGCUGAAGGGUACAUAAGAGUCUGGGCUUGGGCCGUUUUGCUAAGGAAUCUAAGGUGGGUAAAGAGGUGAGUAAUGGCACCUACAAGAAGACAAACUCAAAGAUCCAGCUGCACCUGAAGGAAUAUGAGAAAUCUAAGGUGGGUGGACAGAAGAGUGACACCAAAUGCAAGAAGACAAAGCUGAAACUUAUCUAGGCAGAUCACAAGAGAGGCUCCCUUACUUCGUGUUGUCCCUUCGAAGAGGACAUCCUUGCGUCAUCCAUCAGGUAUCAAAUUGCCCCCACUCCUCCUUCUCUCUCUAAAAAGGAGUGCUAUAGGGCAACUCCUUCCGUCUACUCGAGGAAAAAAGAGCCUGUGCCUGAUAUGAAGAUCCCCUUGAGACUAACUAAUAAAGAGGCCCAUAGCGAGCACAUCUCUCACACUGAAUGCUCUUUCUUCUUCUCUAAAUCGAAGAACUCUAAAUCUCCUUCCUCUCACCUUCCCUUUAACUUACCAGCUUCAGGGCAAAGGUAUUUCAGGUGCCUAGUGGUUGACCACUAGGUUCGAGAUUGUAGAGAGCCGCUCCAGUGCUUCCGGUGCUUCAAGUUUGUUCACUUUGCUCGCCACUGCUACGGAAGUAGAGCCCGGGGACAACCAACCAUGCAAAAAGCCUAGCGACUCUGCCCUCCCUCCAUGAAGGUGUUUGUUCCCAACUUGGAAGGCUUUCACUCUAGGUAGCAACAAUGCCGGAAUGCCACCCUCGCCAACGUCUUCGGGCCUGCAAAUUUGUGUCAUUUUCUGCAGGACAUGAUAUAGUGACUGACCUAGCCAACUGCUUCGGUGGAUUCUCUAACAACUUCCACAUUGCCCGUCACUGUGGCAGAGACUUCGUUAUCUUUCUGCCUCAGUGGGUGCAAUCGGGAGAUCUCGUUAGCAGGAGCGUUGUUUCCUUGCCGCAUUGCAAGCUUCGGUGCUAUGCCUAGAAUUCAUAUAGGGACGCUACCCGUUCUCAUAUCAGGUUUAAAUCUUGGAUUAAACAUGUUAACCUACCUUUCAAAUGUUGGUCCCACUACAACAAAAACGGUCUAUAGCGAUAUUUUUAAAUGUCGGUACAGGUCAAAAAAAGUGCUGCUGGCUAAAUUACUGACACUUUUAAAAAGUGUUGCUAUAUGUGGGGUCGCUAGGUAUAUAGUGAUAGUUAAAGAGUGUUGCUAUAAUCUAAAAAGAGUGCUGCUAAUUUACUAAUACUUAUUUAAGCAUUAAGCAACCUCCAAAACUCUCUCUCGUUGGCUGCGGUGGCGGAGAAGGACGAGAGCGAAGGGCUCUUCGUCUAGAAUUUCAGUGGAUUGAGUGAGAGGAGAAUGGGAGAUGGUAAUCGAUUUUUUUUUUCUUUUCUGUUUGUAAUUCGGCCGAAUGGGCUGUGUGGGGUGGGUUGAGUAAAGUAACCUUUUAUUUUUGGUUGAAUUGGGCUUUAUAUUUAAGCAUUAAUAGAUUUUUUUUAAGUUUUGGCAUAAAUAGGACACUUACACAAAAGUGUCCCAAGCAUGUGUCCCUAUAACCUAAUUAUGUUGUAGUGUCCGAGCCCAAGGUUGCCUUGAUUGUCAACGGGUUCGGACGAUACCUCCAAGCUGAUGACAAUAGCCUCAACGUUUCAUGAUCUCAUUAGUUUCAUAUGCCAAGAUGUGGUUGAUGAUCCGGUCGAUAUUCUGGAUGAACUCUCCAGCACAAUAGGAGAUCUCAUAGUCUCCGUCAUUGUACAGUUGGAGAGCACUGCGCCCUUCGGUAGGGAUGACUGCGACAUCCCCUUUGCUGGUGGCGACCUGAAUAAAGGAAGAGACCAAACUAAUCCUUUUGGUAGUUAGAUGGCCAAAAGGGUUAACCAUCUUGGUAGGGCUAUGGGCGAUAGCGAUUCUAGGGAUGGUGUUGAUUUUGGGAAGGACAACACUUAGAAUUCCUCAGAGAUUAAGGAUAGAUGGCGAUCAAUUCUAUCUGAGUCUCAGGGGUGCUGCCUACAGUUGUUGACUUCCGGUGAAGAUUCGGCCUUACCAACGGCUGCCGGAGCGAUAGCGGCGCUCACUAAUUACCAUAGGAAUAUUGCAAUAGGUUCCAUGCGCACACUCUUCCAAACCCAGUGUAGAGUCAACCCAGCAGUCCUCAGCGUUGUUUGAGAGUUGUACGCUGGUCUGUAUUAGUAAAAAUUUAAAAGCAAUCGAAGUGUUGGGAUCUGUGACUAAGAAAAGGGAAGUGUCAGGACCUACUCGAAAAGUUGGACCUUGCUAGGACAGGAGUCCGCGCCACUCGAGGCCUCCAUGGAAGUGAUAGUAGCUCUCGAUCAGCCAGCUCCACCACCAUGAUGCUAGCGCUUCAGUUUCCAUGCUGCCCGGAUCUUUCUCUGCUACGGGGACCGAGAGGAAACUACACUUUUUCACCAAUAGGGGUUUUGGACUUAGGAUUUCUUUACUCCGCCCUACUCGCAAAAUGGUGGUAGAGGUAUGUCACGAGCAAAUGCCUUCAGUGGGGUUCCCUUCUCGAUGGCAUUUUCUACUCCCGAUUAAGACCGCUCUGGGAAGGCGCCUCAUUUAGACCUUAUUCUUAGUGGUGGCAGAAUGUCGUUGCGAUUAAGGCCCUCUAUAAGUGUGGUAUUUCCUACUGGAUAGGGGACGGACGCAGUGUGAGCUUUUGGUCUGACAGACGCAGUGUGAGCUUUUGGUCUGACAUGUUGGUCGGACGGUCCUCCCUCCGGACUAGUUACCUUAACUUCCCUGAUGGUGUACAACGUUUAAGCUAUAGGGUGAGUGACUAUUAGGAUGGAAGUGGCGUAAGAUUCUAACGGGAUUCAAUCCUAGCUCACAACUUGAUAGGGACUCGAUUUCAAUGCUGAUGGAGUAGUUGUCAGUAAAAAAAAUGCUUCCUAGUCGGUUAAACAUAUAACAUAAAAUUAACGAAAUAACGUACUUAUUUUUACAAGCAACGAAAAUCAUGGAUUUUCCAACAAAGUUUCUAAUUAAUUGAUAUAAUACUUUUAACCCUUAAAAUUGUAUAUUUAUGCAUCUUCGCCAACGGACUGGUUAUAAUUAGAGGCAAUUAAUUGCUUAUAUACACAUCUGAAAAGUUUUCAACUUUCUAAUUUACCCCUCUUAGAAGGUUAAUAUUGAAAGUACCUUUUUUACUUUCUAACUUAUUUCAAAUAUACUCAUAUAGGGUUAAAUUAUGUUAAUGAAUUAUUAGUAAUAACUGUUAUCUGUAUGAAACUAUUAAUUUUCUCUUUCAAAUAUACCCUUCCACCAUCAUUUUUUUUUUUAUUUGCCCUUAAGUUAGGGGCAUAAAAAGUAUUUUUAAAAAAAUAUCCCUUUGCCAUCACCAAUAUUUUUUAUUUGCCCUUAAGUUAAGGACAAAAGAGAUAUUUUGAUUUUUUUUAAACUCUAGUAGAUGUUUAACACAUAUUUAACCUAAAUUAACUUAACGGGUGGUAACUGUAAGAGUAUUUUGGAAUAAGGAAGGAACAUAUGAGGGGUAUAUUGGAAAGAGGUAUUUUGGAAUAACGGAGGAACAUAUGAGGGGUAUAUUGGAAAGAAAAAAAAAAUUGAGUUAAAUAAGAUAUUUUCAAAGUUUUGAUGGUUAUAUAUAUAGGCAAUUUCCCCUACUUUGACCUCCAAUAAUUACCUUAUCCAUUAAAAAAAAUCUAAAAUUAAAAAAGUAAUUAAAAAUUCUAAUUUAAUCAUCAUAUAUUUGAAUUACAUAUAUACUUCUUUUAUUUUCUUGAGAUGAUUUGGCAAUUAUUCAGGACCAAUAUAUGUAAUUUAUGAAAAAAAAUUGCUAUAAUACUUUCUUUACGUAUGUUAAAAUGAGAUGAGCAGAAAAAACCAAACAACUAUACCAAUUUGUAAACCACAUACAAAACAUGACUUUUGGAAUCGAUCAUAUUGAACUAUCAUCUGCCUUUGUUGCAUUGUAGUUUGGCGUUUCAUUUUAGUAACGUGCAACACUUUACUUUAGUAUUUAACUAAUAAAUUAUUAUUAUCAUAAAACAAAACAUGAAAUCACAUAAUAGCAGGGUAUAAAUGUAGUGUUCCAGAGGUUUGGAUAGGAUUGGCUACAGUAUUAGUGACUGGUCGACACCUCUGGAGAGUGUCGGACUGAGUCGUAGUCGUUUCUGCACGAAAUGGAUGCAGAAAUGGACUCGGCGCACUCAAAGAAGCAAAACUGGAGUUUUGCCAGUUUCGGGCGCCCAGAAUAAGGUUUGGGUCGCCCAAAACUCGAAUGCUGAACUGAGCAGAACUGGAAGCCAAUUCGGAUCCUAAUUUCGAGCGCCCAGAAGUGGGUCCGAAAAUUUCACUUCAUGAGUAUCGUUUGCGCUGAUACAUGGCUGGUCGUAGGUGAGGUCCGCCGGAGCCGGAUAUGGGCGUAGCACACCACGGGCGGAGGAACCGAAGGGGAUAUUUUGUGCAGCCUGGAGAUUUCGGACGCCCAGAACAUGGUUUCCGGCGCCCGAAAAUGUGCAUUUCUGCAGGGGCAGCAGAUUGGAAAUGUUUGCUCUUGAGGCUUAUUUCAUCCCUUCAACACCCUAUAAAUAGGUAGUGUUCGACCACAGUGAAGCCUUUUCGUUCCUUCUUCACAGAGAAGCUCAAUUUUGCAUCUAAGUCCCUCAAACUACUCCAAAUUUUAUGUUAUAUUUGGUUUAGAUUUGUAGUUAUCUAAAUUGAAGUUAAAUCCUAAUCUAUUUGGGAUUGGAUAUAAUUUAGAUUUAAUUUGACAUAUAUGGAUUAUAAUUAAUUAGGAGUGUAAUUCUAAUCUAAUUAGAAUUAGACUCUAGUUAGGAGACAUGUAUUAUAUAUACAUGCUACGGCCAAGUUAAUGAUGUCGCGACAAAAAUUAAGAAGCCAUGCAAAUUAAUUAACAGCGGUUGGUAGUCCGUACGGAUGGAGAAGCCGGAUCUCUAAUUAAGUGUUGCAUAUUUUAGAGAGAGCUAGCCAAGCUGCCGCGCGCUAAUUAGCCGUGCGCUAAUUAAGGGCUUUUGGAGCGAGAACCCUCGUGCAUGGAGUUCCGUACGGAAGGAGCCGCAUUCUUAUUUCCAUGCUAAUUAAUUAAGGAGGGUUGAUUCUUGUGUUCUUGGCAUAUUAACUUCGUCCGUACGAUCAAGAGAGUCGAUCAGGUUUGAGGUCUUUCCUACGACGCGCCUUUCAUCAGUUUUUCGAUCUAAUUAAGUUUUGGUCUUCGAGAGAUCUUUUUUUGUACUCCGCCUUUUCGACAUUAAUAAAGUAUUUGCUCCGUCUUCGCCCGUGGACGUAGGCUGUUGGCCGAACCAUGUAAAUAUCGGUGUGCUCUUUCCUUAUCUUUUCGUUUCCUACAUUAAACUAUUUUCUGGAUCUAUUUUUCGCCGUUCCGAUUUUAACAUUUUACAAUUCCAAGCUUAAGGAGUGCUGAUUCUGCAGAUUUUCAGCAGCGAUCUACGGCAUUUUGGCUCGUAUGCGACGUAGGAAGUUCCGUUUGCUGUGAAACUUGGUUUGGUGGAUCCUGGACUUCAAGAGGAAUUCAUGGAGCCCAUUUUGGCAGAAUUUGAUUGAGGUUAGUUUGGUCAAAUUGCUGUUUUUCUGUGCUGCAGUAUUGAUGCUGAAAUUUGAGUUUUGUGGAUUUUCAAGAUGCAAUCUUUGGAGGAAGCUGGAUUUUGGACCUGAGGGUGAUUCUCCAUCUUAGUACACAGGUUUUGAAACCUUGCUUCACCAGAUUUGAAGAUCGAAAGGUGAAAUUGACAUUGAGAUUGAAGGAAUUUGAGCGUAGGGGCUAAAUUUUAGUAUAUUGAUAGCUUUAUUGGUAUUGUUGUUUUAGUUCUUGGAGAAUCCUUGCUGCUGGUCCAGGGAUGGUUUCGGUUGUGUAUUCCAGCGGCUUCGCGACUUCUAGCUAUGUCGUGGAUUAGCGUUAGAGGUAGGAUAAUGUUAUGCUUACCGUAUUUUGCGGAUUUCCUCCUAAGUUGUAUGUUGUCAGCAUGAAUGUUGGUUAUCAUGUAUCGUGCUAAUUAGCUCAAGUAAAUGGAUUUGCAUGUUUAGCGAAUCUGAAUGUUGGAGCUUAAAUGUUAGUUAAAUAUACAUGCUGGACUUGAAAAUUGACUUAGAAGAAAACUGGCGUUUCUACACUGUCACAUGUUAAAACUACCAUAUUUAGCUCUAGGAGCCGUAGUUGUUUUGUAUCACUGCAGUAUGAGAGCAGUGGAUAGUCAGGAUAGUGUAGAUUGUAUUUACGCUCGUACUGAGAUGCCGAGCUUAUUUUUAAGUAGUGUUUAGACUAUUCCGGACUGUCGGGUGCUGUUGAGGUUAACGGUGACCCAGAUUGCUGUUUUUGCAUCAGAUUGUGCCAAGGGCACAUGAGUUUGGUUGUUAGACCAGUGUGACCCUGAUUACUUGGAUCAUAGUCUGUGAGAGCCUGAUUGAGCUCAACAAAGACACGCUUGCAUACUCAGUUGGAUAACGCCCACAAGUGCCACUCCGGAGUCGGGCUUUGUGCGUUUGCGUUGGUAUCUUUUUAUUCUGGUUGGACUUGCUCUCCACAGACUGCUUAGCGUGGAGAUAGCUAUAUAACUUCGACAGGCGGGACGGUUGUGCUCACAGUCCCUGGGACGGGUAUAUUUACAGUCCCUAGUGAGAUUGGGUCAGAGAUGGCUUUGUUUUACAGAUUGUUAGUGCUGGAUCAUAAUAGUAUAGUGGCAUGUAGCUGUAGAUUAUUUUCAGUUUCCUUACUAUUGUUGUAUAUCCCUUCUGUAGAUUUAGUGGGUGAGCCGUUGAGGUCGGUAGCGGUAUCCACUGAGGACUACUUCUUUUUGCAGUAAUUCUCAUGCCCAGUUGUGGAUCUUUUGCAAAGCCCUUCCAGACGAGUCGCAGAGCUAGAGGAGUACCAGCUACAGGUAGUUGUAGUUUUUGGUUCUUUACAUACGAAUGUUGUACCUCGCUGGAGCGAGUAUUUUUGUACCCGAAUACUAUGUAUGUAUUGAACCACUGUUAUUAUAUGUUUUACUUUUCCUAACAGCUCUAUACUACUGGUUGUAGUGUUGUAUGAUUACAAGUACAGCUUCGUUUCAUAUAUAGAAAAAAUUCCUUUGUAUACGGCGGAUUUGUCGACGUGCUCGGAAAAACGAGUAAUCCGGGACGUAACAAUAAAUUUUUAAAUCAUACAAAAUACAAAUACGUGCAGCUAAACCAAAGAGGGUCUAUUGAAGUCUUAUACAAAAAAACAAAAAAGAGAGAGAGAGAAUUUUAGUAAGAAAAAUGAAAAUAAGGAGUUUAUAUAUCUCAAACUGAUCAGGUGCCUAUUUCUAUUUUAAUCAAUAAUUAAUUAACUAAAAAUGCACGAAUCAUAAAGCAAGCAACAAUAGGUCGUGGCAAGGCUUCUAUAGCUAUAAAUAAGGAUAGGAGUGAGAUGAAUAAAUUAAGUGAUCGAUCGAGGAAUAGCUUGCCAGGGAGAGAAUAUAUAGGAAUAGCCAACGGAGAGAAUAUAUUGGAAGAGCCAAAGGAAGAAGAGAAGGCCUACGCUGACACCUACGCCGAUGCCGACGCCAGGACUCAUCAGAAUGCUGGUAUUCCUCGGCAGAGCGCUCUCCGGCACGUUGGUCGAAGCGGCCCUUGCUGUCCGACAAGAUAGAGAAGAGCCCUGCGGUGGCGGCGACAGCACCGGCGAUCAUGACACGAGGAAUGAGAAGCCGUGGCGACCACCGUUGCUGCUGCUGCUGCCUCCUCCCUACGUCGACAGGUUAGCUAUAAAUAAGGAGAGGAGUAAGAAGAAUAAGUUUCUGUUUUUUUUUUGAGAAAUAGGUAGCUUGGAAUACGUUUUUUUUUUUUUUUUUUAAGAAAUGAGUAGCAAGCUACCUGCUUCAUUCAUUAAGCGAAAUGAACUAAGCGUACAUGAUGGAGACAACUAGGACCUCCUAAAAGAGCCGAAAAAAUACAAGAAAGAAAAUCCAAAAUAAAGAACCCUACACCUACCGAUUAGACAAAGUAAACAAGAAAAGCGGGGUGGAUAACGAAAAGGAAGAAGUGGGGACCGAGCAUGAAGGAAGGGACACGUAAGGGUCAAAGGACUCCGUUCCAGGCAUUGGUCAAAGAAGCGACACUUUCAAGAGCCCGGGUAGCAUUGGGAAGCACCUUGCGGAAGAUAGUAUUGUUGCGCUCCGUCGAUGUAGCUAGACCUCUAGUUAUGAAGCGCCAUCUCCACCCUUUUUCAUUCCAGCAUUGUGCAACAGCGAUCUCCUUAUUUGCGAUGCUGGAGUAUACUCCUGAAAACCGAGUACUCAGAGGGGUUUCUUCAAUCCAAAUAUCUGACCACAUCUUGAUGUUUUUUCCAUCGCCGAGCACAUACAAAACGCCACAUUUGAACGCCUCUCGACAUCUCAUCACACUUCUUGAUCAUGGUAUAGGUCUCUUGCUAAUUCUUGAUCAUGGCAUCCCCACCCAACAGAGACCGGCAACGGGUCAUUUCUGAAAAGUAUCAUUAUACAAAACACCACGUCAAAUUUAUGUGUAUUCUUAUACAAAACACCACGUCAAAUUUAUUAAAUAAAAUAUCAUGCCUCACCUAGGCACAACCGCGAACAGCGACGGCAGAGUAGGAAAUGUAUUCCAGGAAAUCACAUAAAAGGGGACUUGGAAGUCAUACUAUCGCACAUAAUUAAGUUAGAAAAAUGUACAGAUCGAGGGUCCCUGUGCUAUGCCGAUAAUAUCGUGACAGCUUACCAAAACUAUAUUUCAGUUAUUAAAUUUUCUCAUCUAUUACAAUUUCAUCAUCAAAAUCCAAACUUGGUUCGUAUAAUCACCUCUUUAAUCCAAUUUUAAGCACCUUGGGGGCGAAAAAAAGAAGAAAAGAAAAGAAAAAUAAAAAUUAUAGGAGGGAUAAAAAUUAAAUCGUCAUUUUUGCUAGAAACCUCUAGAUUUUUCUUGAUGGUCAGAGAUGAAAUAGGAAUACACGAAAAAGUUCAGGAACUGAAGUGUCUAUAAAUAAAAAAGUUCAAAAGCUAAGUCACAACGUCGGCAUGCUAAAGGUACAACAAAUACAUUUCAGACCAAUGAUGAGUAUUAUUCUUCGACAACAAACACCCGAGAAACCACCAAAAAAGAGAAUAACCAACUGCAACAUGUCUCCGACUCUCUUUGCCGCAGAAUCCUUGAGCCCUAUAUCCAGUGGAGCAAGAUUGUUUCAGAAAGCCUGCAUCGGCUGCCAUGAUAUGGGAGGAAACUUUCUCCAACCUGUCAGUCUCCUCUGAACUGCCACUAUUUCAUAUGCAAAGAGGGAAGACAAAGCAUUUUACAGCUUUUAUUACUACUAAACUUAUUGCUCAUCCCUCAAAAUUUGGCUCAGGAUGCGACUCUCUUCAUGAACACCCAUUGCUCGCUCCAAUCUAAAAGACCAUUCGUCAAUGUGAAUAUGUAACAAUAAACCGAAAGACAAAGAAAUGUAAUCUCAUGCAGGAACGGAGUAUCUACGGAGGAGGGAAUAUACAACAUCACAUACUAUGGGAAAGGAUGGAUGCCCGUGAGUAACCUUAUCAUUUUCCUUUUCAACUAUUUACAACUAAAUCAAAAGCAACCUCUUCAUAUCAGCACCUGCAGUGGCAUCGUUGAUAAGUAUCAACUGCUGAUAGCAUGUUCAGGGCUUCGGGGAAAAGUGCGCUCCAAGGGGUCAGUGCACAUUCGGGCCACGGCUGCAAGAAGAGGAGAUCAAGCUGCUAGCGGAGUUCGUCAAGUCACAAGCUGACAGAGGAUGGCCAAAUAUCGAAAGUCACGGGGAUUGACUCCUGCACAGAAAAAUAAAGCAUUUGGAAGGGGCACAUUAUGUUGGUGUUAAGAAUAUAAUAUUAUACUACUGAUGCAAACUAUCAAUUAUUCAUAAAAACCGGACAAAAUGAUGUGCGUUUAUUGUAAUUCACAAUGAGGAAAUUUGCAACAUAAAGGGCUUAAAUUUUUACGACAUGAUUAUUAUGAGUUAACAGCAAAAUUAGGUUUGCCGAAAUUGUAAGAAAAAGGAAACAGAAGAAAAAAGGUACAGCUUGCGCGACAACUACUUACAUAACUGUGGUGUAUUAGUAAACAGAAAAGCAUGCAUGCACCGAAGUAGGACUAGGGGAGUUAAAAGUAAACAAUAUUUUUGACUGGCCUGUCUGGGUUCACUAAGACUUAACUCCAUAUCAUGCUGAGAUGCAGUCCAACCAGGCUCAUAAGCUUCAAGAAACCCAAGCUUUGCUUUGUUGGGAAGAUCAUGGGGAUGAACAAAAGGAACACCAGGUGGCCAUCCUAUCUCCAUUCUAGUGCUACCACAUGGGCUGUCUAGCGCCUGUAUGUGGCCCUCACAUUCCUUGAGAUUACAAAAUCUCAGUUUGAUGCCUUUCUUGUCUGCAAUCUCCUGAACCCGCUCCUUUAAAACCCUUUGAGCCUCGAGACGCAAUCUUUUGGAUGGGGGCAGAGGCUUGGUCCUUGCACUGCUCUUCUUCCUCUUCAUCAAAGGCUGUUUAAAAGAAACUGCAAAAAUAAAUAAAUAAAUAAAACUUUUUAGAAAAAAUCAACUGGGAGAAACAAUUAGACUAUGUAAAUAAAUUGAGGAAAGAAAGAAAAAACUAUACUAGGGCGUAGAUAUACCAUCUUGUCCCGUGUGGAAUGUAUAAGUCGGCAAAUUGCUCUUGGUGAAGAGCAGGUCGGUUGGGUGUGAUCUCUGCAUGAAGUCAUCCACUGGUAUGGGAAUCUGGAAUUGGGCCUCAACACCAUGGCCAGCUGCCCUCAUCUCUGAGCAGCUUAAACUCGCCAUGGAUCUCGGCAUGAGCUUGAAAGCCAAAGAGCACCGUCCAUAUAUGUUUCCCUGCAAGUUGCCUAUCUCCGUUCUAUACAUAGCCGGGUUGACAUAACCAGCAGUCGCCUGAUAAAGAGCAAGUCCAGGGUAGACGACGGCAUCUUGAGGGCCUAAAUCCCCAUCUGCAAGUAUCCAGCGCCCGUUGAAGUCCUUUACAUGCAAACCCGCCCUAUCUGCCUUGACUAUGGUGAAUAAUGUCUUAUCAAACUGAUGCUCAUGAUCUUGGAACAUCACCAAUUGUCCAUCCUCCUGUGCUGCAAGGCUGUGAUGCUGCGCUUCUUGGAAAGAAGGCCUCGAGUGGCAGCAUACCGAAAGAACUGAAGAAGAUAUUUCUCUGUUCCUCAAAGGCAAGUUGUCCAGUAUUUCAGUAAAUGAAAAGCUACGUAGAUUCAGAGAAAAGCUAAUAGCAUCCAGAAUAUCUCGAGCGACUUUCCCGAGCACUGCAAAUAUGUCAGGCAGACCAGCCGGGGGAAAUUCCAUAGCACCGCUGGGCUCUGUUGGAGUAAGACCAGGCCUGUAGUCAUAUGUUUCUAGCCAAAGUUGAGGGUCUGUAUAGUAACCUGAGGUCUUGCACCACUCUCGAGAGUCGUUUGUAUGAACCAUCUCGCCCGAAGGGUACGCAUGCUGAUGGAAAAAGAGACGAGCUGACUCCAAACCAGACCUUAACAGAGCACCGUCGCUAGACGGCAAUUGAACAAUUGCAGCUGAAUAUUGAGCAAGAGACUGUGUUAGAGUUGUUACUGAGAUCUUGUAAGAAUCAGAAGGAAGCCCCUCACAAGCAACAAGAUCGGCAAGCCUCACUCGACCAAGGGAUGGAAUAAUUUGUCCCGCCAUGGCACCCAUUUAAGAUCUCCAAUAACUCACUAGUCUGCCAAGAUGACAGAGUUUUUUAGAUUGCAUCGAAUUGUGAAAACAUAGAUAAGAAAACUAAAAGAAACUGGAGCAUAUGGAGAAUGCUGGUUCAAGUGUUUGAAUAUUGAGCUUCUGUGGAAAAUAAAUUCUCCUAGGACACAUGUAUAAAACAUAUAUGAAGAUACAUACAUGCAUGUUAACACACAUAUAUACAAAUGUACCAACCAUCAAUGGAAAAGGGCAAUAUAAAGAAUACUAUCAAGUGGGCUUGACUUAGGGCCUGUUUGGUAGUGAGGGCCACCAAACGCUAUAGGCCCAAAGAAGUUGGAGCACAGGCAUACAGAGAUAUGCUUCUCCGUCUUCCAAUUAGGGCUGGCAAAUGAGCGAGCCAGCUCGUGUUCGACUCGUGUUCGGCUCGAUAUUCGGCUCGCUCGAGCUCGGCUCGAAUUAAUUUCAAGCAAGCUUGAGCCUAAAUUUAGGCUCGGAAUUAAUUUCAAGUCGAGCUUGAGUANAAAUGGAAGUCCUGGAGACUUGAACUCAAUAACACCAGGUGACCAACAAUUCACCAUCCAUCGUCACUCUAAACCCCACACAUAACAAAGAAUGAGGUAAGGCGAGAAGGAAGGUAAAAAAGAUAUCCAUUCUCAAUCUAAGCCGUAAGGAUAACAAACAAUGAAAAAAAUAGAAAUCGAAGACUUGAAGAGAUAGAAUCUACAAAACAGACGAGUAAGAAUGGGAAAGGAAGGAAUAAAAGGACAAUGAUCAGAAAAAGAUAAUAUAGGAAUGGAAAAAUUAACCAUGUAUGAGAAGAAGGCCGUGUAUGAAAAGAAGAAGAAGAAGAAAGACAAGAAGCAGAGUAUCCUCCUUAAAAAGAUGGAAGGGAAUCACAAAUAUAUUUUGUUAGCCAGUGAAAACAACAAACAUUGGACAAUCUAAGAAAACAAAGAUAUUGGAAAGAACUAGUUGAAAUAGCAAUUUUAUACACUGAUCUCAAUAAGUUACAAAACCUAAAGGAGGUAUAGAUUGGGUAAGGCGGGUUUGCUUUCAAAUAAUACCAGUACAUGGGUUAAAACAUACCCAACCCAAUUUGAUUUGAGUGAAGGGAAAAUCCAGACCUGACAACAUACCCAACCCGAUUUGAUUUGACUCGAGUGAAGGAAAAAUCCAAACCUAACUGUCCAUUGAGUCACCCAAAAUUUCUGCAACAAUUACUCACAUGACAACAUAACCUUAAGUUGUUGACCUAUUUAAGCCAAAGAGAUAUGUUUUAUUUUAGCACAUAUAUAUGUUUGGCCCAACAUGAUACAAUCAACCGUUUACUGCCCUCAUUCAAAAGCAGAGGUGCCAUAACUCAAAUGAGGUCAUAAGCUAAAUCUAGAUCUGACCCAAAAAACUUAUAGACUUGGGAUGACCCAAACCCAAAUUAAAUAUAUGGCUAGGUGAGACCGUAAUUGGUUGGUCAAGUUGGGUGAAAGAUUGCCACCUCUAACAACAACCAAAUAAGUAUUUGCACUAUAAUUGAUUAAGCAAUCAGACUAAGGAUAUUUAACAAAUAGAAAUCUAUGCGUAAGAAAAUGUAUAGGAUACGGAAGAACAAGGUUCCAAAAGACAAGAAAAAGAAAUAAGACAAUAGCAAAGUUGCAAGAUGAUAGUAUGAACAAGUUAAAAUAAAAGAAAAGUAGCUAAGAUUAAAGAGCAGAAAAAACAAGUAGUGCAAAACCCAUCAUUAACUAACAAUAAAAUGAAGAAAAAGAAAAUUUGUUGAACAAGGAAAAGAAGAAAGAAGAGAUAGAAAUAGAAUAACAAAAAUAGAGGAACUGGUUUGAUACAAACAUUACAGGGUAAGAUAUGCAAUAGCAUGAAACUAGACAGAAGGCAAGAGAAAGUAUAAGAAACAUUAGAAGUAUAACAAAUCAAGUGAAAGACAAUCAUUUGUAAAGCUAAUGAAGAAAAUUUUAUGUGGACAUUAUAAGGUAAACAGUCUAUUGUAUAAAUGAUUGUUCAUAAGAAAAUUUCGAAUACACAACUUUUACAUGAAAAGGUGAAUAAGGUACAAAUCAAAAUAGAAUAUAAAAGUACAAAAAGAAAUAUUAAAAGUCUUAGACAAUUGAAAUGAUAAGACAUCAAAAGAUAAAGAGAAUUGAAAUAAUAAUAAAAGCAAAGGGAAGGGAUAAAAGAAAGAAAAGAAAGGGUAUAAUUACAAAAUCAAAAUGAAAGGAGAUAACACUACUCACUUUAAAAAUAACGAAAAUAAAUUUUGAUAAGGACUGCAAAGUUCAGAAAGUACAAAUGAAAGAAAAAUUUGCAAAAAGGCACUAUCAUGAGCAAUAAAGUAUUGCAAAAAAUAAAAACUAUAUAAUAAAUAGAAGAUCAUGCUUGCAUAUGUUAAACUAAGAGAUACAAAAUAAAAUAAAAGAUAAUAUCAAAACAAAGAAGAGAAAGAGAGGCAAAAAGAAGGAAUAGAAAGAUAGCAAGAAGAAAAAGAAUAAUAAAGAAAAUUUGACAAAAAUGUACAUAAAGAACUACAUGAAGAACAAGUAAAGAGACAAUACCUAAAUGGUCGAAGUGAAAAUCAAAUUCUGAUUCAAGUUUCAUAGUUUGAUGGUAGCUUUUCUUGUCCACGGCUAUCCCUGAGUCGUUAAAAAUCUGUGCAAUAUACGGUGUCUAUAGUAAUAGAAGAAGAAAGAUAGAAAAGACCAAAUUAACUAAGCUUAAUAUCUUAUGCUCCUAUCGUAAACCUUCCCGUAAGAAGAGACAACGGCUGUCCUAAUGACUCAUUUGGUAAUCAAUUCGUCGGCAUCUUGCAGAACCCUAAGCAGAGCACAUAUGGAUAAAUUGGUUGCUAAAAGCAAAACGGUUAUUAAGAGACAUGUAAUGUUAGUAAAAAAAAUAAAUUGGAUUACACCACACGAAGCAAUUAGGAUCGGAUCUAAGGGACACCUAUCUGACAUUGUCUUGGCGAGGCAACCUCAUUGUAGACCUUAGAUCCAUCCGAUCUAGUUGAGCAAUGAUACCUGACUCUAGGGUUUCGUGGUCUCUGCGAGAAAGCAACGACAUAUGAAUCUAGGGUUCGUGUUCUCUAUUUUUAAGAGCAACAACCGGAAAAGAUACAUACGGAAUCACCAAGAAAGUGGGUUCAUCAUACAAUCACGAGAAACAAAAGCAAAUCGUGAAUUAGCCAAACCGAUGAUGAAACUACGAGCCAAAUUAAAGGGAUUAGAUAAAUUACCUCUUCCAACCAGAAACCCUAGCUCCAACACGGAACUGUCCGAGCCUCGAAAAGCGAGAGUUUCCGCCCGUGUACGAUAUUGAGCAACGUAGCUAGAUUAUCUAUCUAUCGAUCGGAGGAGUCGGGCGAUUGCAGGGGAAAGGAACUGAUCGCUCUAAUAAGGGUUUCCCGAGUGGAGGAAUCGAGCAGUCGAAGGGGAAGAGAGUUAGGGGAGCGUUUCAAGGUUUGCGGAUGUAAUAUCCCUGUGGCUCGGAUCAGGUUCUUGGUGCUCCCUAUGGUAAUGGUGAUGUAAUGGAUUACCGGAAUGGAUAAGAGAGGAGCAGAGGGGGAUUGAGAAAGAUGAAAUAGAGACAAUAGAGAUGAUGAGAAUUAGAGAGAAAGGGGUUAGGAAUAGAGAUUAGAGAUAAAGAGUGGGAUAAAAAAUUGGGAUAGAGAAAUGGUGGAGAAGAAGAAAGGUUUGGAAAAGAAUUUUGGGGAAGAAAAUAGACUAAUUCAUUUCAUUGCAAUUACAUCUGUUAACUAUAUAUACCCUAUACAGCGAAUUGAAAUUAAACUAUCCUAGCGCGCUUCCUCCUCUCCAACCGGCUGCCGCCCUUAUUCUCCAUCUUAACUAGUAAAACUGUUACUUUUACUACUCUCCCAUACUAACUCCUAUUACUACUAUUUCUACCAUUUAUUUUUCAGGGUUGUUACAGCGGAAUGCGGAGUCUGCGGACUGAAGGGAGGGGAGGGACCUUCAAGAAUCAGGUCAGGUGGAGAAAACGUCCGUAGCCGUAGGAGAGAGAUUGUGAAUCAUCUGAUUGUGUGUGAAUCAUCUGAUUGUGUGUGUUUUAGUUUGCCUUCCGAGUUUCCAAGGAAGGAAUAACCAAUCAACCACCAAAGAGCCCUCUCGUUGGGCCAGUCCGACUCCUUCCGUACAGCUUAAUGGACCGAUCUUACUAGGCCCAAUAUGAGAAACAAGUGUGCGAGACCCAACCAUAAGCCGAACAACAAUUAUGCAGACUUCAAAAACGCCAGACCAAGGCCAACGGAGACGAACGUCGAUACGAAAGUCCCAACAUCGAAAACGACUUGGAAGCACGGAGUGAUCCAUGAUUCCAGAAACACACCAGACACACACACUAUAUAUAUAUAUAUAUACAAAUAUAUAGUUUGCUAUAUUAUUAAUAGUACCAACCAUUUGCUAUUAGGUUUUCGGUUUUUGGAUGAAGGGAUGUGCGGUUAGAAUGAUAGUGAUCCCCUAGGGUUGAGUGGGUGGUUAGUUGUGUAAUGGCACAAAAUUCGAUAGUACCAAGCAUUUAAUACUAUCAAUAAUAUAGUAGCCGGACUCUCUCCCUCUCUCUCUAUAUAUAUAUAGUUCAGCUACUAUACGAUCUAUACUAUCCAUAGUACUAAGUGCUUUGUAUUAUUGAGUUUUCUGCCAUUAGAUCUGCCUAUAUAUAUAUAUAUAUAUAUAUAGAGUCCGGUUAUUAUACUAUCGAUAGUACCAAGCAUUUGGUGCUAUCGAGUUUUCUACUGUUAGAUCUAUCCCUUUGGCCAUUUUCAUUCGUUAGAUCAUACUAUUCAACUAGCCACCCACUCAACUCUAGGGGGCUACUAUCAUCCUGACCGUACAUCUCUUCAUCCAAGAGCCGAAAACCUAAUAGCAAGCAGUUUGUUCUAUUAAUAGUAUAGUAGCCUAAUUCUAUAUAUAUAGGCUCGGGCUACUAUACUCUUAUAAGUAUAGACCCCUUUAUACUUAUAAAUUUCCAGCCGUUGGAUGUGCGAUUACAAUGAUAGUGGUCCCCUAAGAUUGAGUUGGUGGUUCGUUGAAUAGUAUGAUUUAACAGAUGGAAAUGGUAAAAGGAUAAAUCUAACGGUCGAAAACUUAUGAGUAUAAAGGGGUUUAUACUCAUAAAAGUUUAUAUCGUAGCCAAACUCUCUCUCUCUCUCUCUCUCUCUCUCUCUAUAUAUAUAUAUACAUACAUACAUACAUACAUACAUACAUAAUAGUCUCCUACACUAUCUAUAGUACCGGGGCUCCGGUACUAUAGUCUCGUUUUCGAUUUUAGGGUGUUCAAAUCAACGAUCCACAACGUUAAAACUGAUCUAGAGUAUUUAAAGUUUUUAGAAAUAAAAUUUUAUAUUUUUUCGACAUAGUUUACUUCAUGAUCAAACCAUUUCAAAAUUGUUAAUUUUCAAUGGCUACUAUGACGAACGAGUUUAGAGUUUAACGAUGCAGAAGAAUCUAAAUUUUUUCAAAUUUUGAUAGAAAAUUUUUUAAACUAUCUAGAUUAAUGUUAAAAUUCUUGAUCUUGAAUUUAAAAGUCCUAUGCUCAAAUUUUAAAGAUUAUUCAAUUUUCACCGUCCAUUUUGACAUAAUUUAUUUACUAAGUAAACGAUGUCGAAAAAAAUUAAAAUUUUAUUUCUAAGAACUUCAUAUACCCUAGAUCAUAUUUAAUAGUGUGGAUCGUUAAUUUGAAUACCCUAAGAUCGAAAACAAAACUAUAGUACCGGAGCUCCGGUACUAUAGAUAGUAUAGUAGCCUAAUUCUAUAUACAUACAUAUAUAUACAUACAUACAUACAUAUAUAUACAUACAUAUAUAUACAUACAUAUACAUACAUACACAUACAUACAUACACAUACAUACAUACAUAUAUAUAUAUAUAUUUAAUAUAUAUAUUAUAUAGAGUCCAGCUGGAUACUAUCGAUAGCACCAUGCAUUUAUGUUAGAUUUAACUUUUGACUAUUUUCACCCGUUAGAUUUACUAUUAAACCAACAAUAGGCCCACAUCAUCCUAAAUGUACAUUUUUUAAUCCAAUGGGCGAAAAUCUAAUAGCACAAAUGCAUGGUGCUAUCGUAGUAUUAGCCAUAGGUAUGUAUAUAUAUAUAUAUAUAUUAUAUAUAAUAUAUAUAUAUAUAUAAAAUAUUUUAAUUAUAUAAAAUAAUAUAUAUUAUGUAUUUUAAUUAUAUGUAUAUAGAAUUUAAAUUAUUGGGCCCAUAAAACCAAACAAGUAAAAUCCUACUCUAAUUGCUCUCUUUCUCUCUUUUUCACUACCUCGCAGAGUCGCUUUCCCUAAUUUUUUUAGUAUUAUAAUAUCAUAUUUCAUGCAUUUAUUUUGUAUGUUAAACUAUUAGAUAUUUUUUAUAUCAAAUUAUAGAUAAUGUUGUAUAAAAAUUAAACUAUAGAUUGCACGAUGUUAAGAAUUUCAAGCAGCUCGUUUAGGGCUCGAGCUCACUCGACUCGAAGUUAGGCUCACUCGAGCUCGGCUCGAAUUAAUUUCAAGCCAAGCUUGAGCCUAAAUUUAGGCUCGAAAUUAAUUUCAAGCCAAGCUUGAGCUGAGGUAAGCUCGCUCGAGCUCGGCUCGUUUCCACCCCUACUUCCAAUGAGAUUGGAAAAAAAAAAAAAAAAAAUUAUAACUCAGCCAAACCAUUGUGAUCUGCACAAUAUAUUAACUUAUGAAAAGAAAAGAAAAAUUAUCCCAUCACACUUUCUUUAAGCACCAUCCACGCUCUGCCUGCAAUCCAAAAUGGAGCCUUACUAAAUGUUCAAUAAAGAGUGCCUAAGAAAAGGUAUAUAGCAAGAUGGCAGGAUAGAGUCUUGCAAGAAUGGCCAAGCAUAUGCAAUUUCGAUAAAUAUUUUCAAAUGUUAAUAUUAAUUUUUUGCCAAGAACCAGUGAUGCAUUUACAAUUGCUGAGUUGAUUACACAAUACAAGAAAUGCAUAUAAACGUUAUGUGACAAAUAAAAUAAGAGAGUAACAUGCGAAUUGCUGGCUCAGUUCAAAGUAAAUAAGCAGUUUGUUGAAGAUCUUGGUUGGAAAUCUGAGGAAAACCAAAAGGAAAAAGAAUAAUGAGAAUCUUUCACGGGAAUGUUUCAAGUAACAUAUACUAUGAUAAGGUGAAAGCAUUGGCAAUUCUUACAUAUCCAAAAAUAAUGAAACCAUUGGGUCAUUUGACUCAUUUCAAUAGCACAACGUCAAUGGCAAAAGGAGUCUACAGGACAACAAUAAACAUGGGAAGGAAAAGAACUAGUAGCCUAGUCGUAAGUUACUAGAUUAGUCAAGCCGCCAGCUACACAUUAUUUUUGUUGAUAAAGUUACUUUUUAUGUUCUUGAUUUAUCUUUUGUCUUCCAUUGAGAAACUAAUCUGAAGCCAGUGAUUAGCACUUUAAUUAAGACAAGGCAUGAAAAGAAACCCUGUCAAAUCAAAACAAAACAAAACAGAACAGCACUAAGCCAUUAUCCAUAACCCAAAACAUUAAAAUUAAAAGAGAAAUCUGUUUGCAGACACGAGUUUUCAAACUGUUUAGUCUCAGAUCACUUAACCUAUUUCUUCUUAUUUACUUUGUACUUCAAUUUUUCCUUUUCUUUGAUUCUUCCUUGUUCCUUCUGUAAUAUGGAAUGUGGCACAAGCGAACUGAGUAGACGACUCAACAAGUUUUUCAAGAUCUGACGAUUCUAGCAUAAGAAAUAGAGAAUGCUGUUAUGAAUACUAGUAUGUUAUAGUUUGAUUAUCCUUUAUGCAACUAAGAUUAAUUAAAACUAACCUAAAAUAUUGCUCUGACAGUUUAAAGUCUCUCAUUGCUACAUACGGUGAUAUAAGAACUUGCACUGCUGAAUUCAACUAAGUAGUAACGGAAGACAAAGUAAGGAGGUCUAUGUAGUUAAACUUGCUAAUAGGUAAUACAGAUGUUACAUUACUUAGGGUAGUAAGGGUGCUUAAAAUUGAUUAGGUCUACUCAGUUUUCGCUAUCCUCUUUACCUUUCUUUUUAAAAAAAAAAAAGUUUUUCACGAGUCCACUUGAUUUGGAUAUAUACAGUACACCUACUUGCAAGUUUAAUCCGAGAUGGCAUCACGGCGAUCUGAUUCCCUUUCAAUAUACAUUCAGAGAGUCACAACAAUUCAUUGAGCCCUUUCCUUUUCUAUAUCAAUGCCGAUGCCUCAUGUAGGAAACUGAGCCAAAAGUUCUUCUUUUUUCCUAUAUUUUUUUUCCUUUCUGCUAUUUUUACUCUAGCACUACAUCAACAUUGCAGCAGAGGCUGGUUGAGCUAUCCAGUUAGUUCAGUUUCCUAUUGUAGAUCAGAAGCGGUUCUAGGCAUAUGUUUUUUUUCUCUGUGAUUAUGUUAUCAUCUGUCCUACACUGCAAUUUUAGCCCUCCAAAGUAAGACAAACCAUGUGACAUUAGCCCUUUGUGAGUGCAAUAGAUAAAGUAUUAAUGGUAUGACAACCGUAUACUAGCGUCCACAUGUGCGUAAAAUGCUACCGCAACUUAUUUAACAACAUUCCACGCGAGUUUGUAAACUGCCUCCACAUUCAUCUUCUAACGGUACUUCAGGGUUUUCUUCGAAAUAUGUCUCAAAUUUGGAGGAUUUUUGAGCCGUAAAAGAAGAGAUAAGAGUGAGUUGAGAGGAUUGAAAAGAAGAGGAUUUGACAGGGAGAGACUCAGAUCUAUUUUGACCAAUUAAUUUAUUUGGUGGUACUCAAUUCGAAGAUAAGAUUCAGAAUCGGACUAUAAAGUGGACUGAUUUCAUGUGUAUUUGUUUCAACACUCCGAAAGGGAAUCAGAAUCAGAAUGCGAUAAUGUUGGUGUUGUCUUGUCUAUCUAGAUAAAGGCAAUUAAGACAAGAAAACCCUUAGGAGGAGCAAAUCUUCAUAAAAAAAAAGUAAGGGCCCGUUUGGCAACUCGUUAAUUUCUCCGUUUACACUGGUAACUUAGUAAUACAGUGUUUUUGCUUAUUCUCCGACCUGUUUGGAUGUCUUAAAAUGAUGUGAAAGAACCUGAGUAUAAGAGGUUUUACUCUCUUAAAAUGGAGGAAAAACAAGAAUGUGCUCGAAGUUCUCUUUUAAGGAAUACGCCAAAUGUCAAGUUGUUGUGCAUGCCAAGCCAAAGUCACCCCUGCCUCCUUUCUUCUCAUGCAAGUCACUUCCAGAAGUCCUACCCCUUUCAAGAUCAAUUCUCCUCUCCACCGAUGUUAUUGAAUUCCUCCGCCGUAGCCGCUCCUUCGUGUAGAUCCUCAACCUAUCUCCCUCUUCUAAAUCGUUGUAAUCGUCUCUUACAAAGUCUCUAGCGUUGUUUGCAAUUUUCUUGAGGGGCCUCGCUCAUCAAGCUAUCCUUUGCCGCCUACUCACCUCCGGCAACAACAGUACACCAUGGAGAUCCACGAUGACAGAUUAAGUUGCUAUGGCAGCUCCAAAUUCACAUAAGAGGGUGUUGAGUUGUAAGCUUUUAACAAUUGGGAAUACCACAAUUAAUUUUUCUAUCGUAGUCACUCGACGUCCCAUACCUUUUCGAGACUUUUUUUUUUGAGAAAGAAAAAACUCCUAAAACGUUUUGGGAGACGCAUUGAAGAGAUCAGAGAUCAUAGAUCAAAUAAGCAAACACAGUGGCUUGGCUCGUAACAAAGCAUAUCCACCGCACACAAGAAAGAAAACGGAGCCCCUCGGAGUUUCUCUGGACACGGACACGAGAGUCGACCAGAAUGAUGAAAGGUCGUUCUAGGUAGCAACCGCGAUCCGAGAUAGCCAGAAUCAAUUGAUUAAUUAGCUAUGAACAUUCGCCAAACGAGAAACAAUCAAUCAUUCAUAAGAUUUAUUAGCAGAAAUGAGAAAGACAGAGAGAACGUCCAAAGCCCAAAAAAAUUUAAAAAAAAAAAACAAAACAAAAAACGAAAGAACACAAUCACCUAAUUAGAGACAAAGACUCCUUCCAAUUAAAAUUACAGUUUAUGAUAAGUAGAAAGACAUGAAGAAAGAAAGCGGGCGUUAGAUAAGGGAUUGAAGGGAAUGAGGAAGGGAGGCGCACCUGGGCUACAUUUUCUUUUCCUUUCUGGGUGGUCGAAAUUGAACUCUAGUCGGACUUCCUCCGGGAACGAAGGCGAGCAGUUCAGAGGACGGUGAGGAGAGCAGCAGACUGGGAAAUUAAAAGAGGUGUAAAGGAGAGAGCGCCUACUGCGGCUGCGGAUCAGUGAGGUAACACCCAGUCGCCGGCGGAGGAAGAUAGAAAAAGAUUGGUGCUGUGCUGCCUUCUUUUUCUGUGUUUUGGGUUAAUUGCAUCAUCGGUCCAAACCUUUCUAUUUUUUCACUUAAAGUUUUUUUUUAUUUUUUAUUUUUUCUGCAAUCUAAGUAUCCAAACUCUUUAAUUAAUUGCAAUUAGAUUCUAAUUGUUGAAUGAGCCAUUAAAUUUGGCGAAGUGAUGAAUUUUUUAGACAAUCUGUAAAUAAAACGUGAAAAGAUUGGGGACCAAUUAUGCAAUUAUAAUUUAUUUUAAUUUUAAAAUAAAAUAUAAAAUUAAAAUUUUAUUCGAAUUUAUGUAAUAUACCGAAUCCCCGAGUCGCGAUGCUAAUUUUGAUCGAAUUGAUCAAAGUGAGGUAUGAAUGUGAUAAGUGAUGUCCCCGAGUUGCCUUGAAGGCAUAGGGAUAGUCAGAAGUGAAUUUCGGAAGUAUUUGGGUGUUUCAGCGCAAAUCGGGCGCGAAAACGGACUCCCAAAAUAUUGCAGCUGUUGGACUGCAAAAUGGACAUUGAGUGCCGAUAUCAAAGCAAUGCGGUACGGGUACCCAAUAGAAGUGCAAAUUGUGCAGCUCUCGAGUUCAGGACCCUAAGAGGCUGAGAACUGGUACUGGAUUUGGGUACCGGUACUCUGUGAGCUGCCCGAGAGGCUAGCUCUCGGGUUUGGGAUGACACACCAGUGUGUACCGGUACUGCAUGUCCAAUACCGGUACUGGACUAGUCGUGUACCGGUACUGGAUCUGUGUACCUGUACUCCAAGUUAGACCAAAGCUUGCAUAGCUCUCGGGUUGGUGGCUGGUACUGUAUGGCUGAAACCGGUACUGGAAGCCCCGCGUACCGGUACUCCAACCCGAGUACCGGUACUCAGCUUGCGAGAGACUAAAUUGUAAUGGCUGAAGGGUGAAAUUGUGAGGGCCUAAGUGCAAUUGUUUGGGUGCAUAUAAAUUCUUAUAACCAUCAGCUACUUUCUUCUAUACUAGUCGUCCAUAAAUAGACUGAUGAAUAAUGAUCCUAGUGAUAAUAAAUAGAUGGACAAAAAACUUCCCGUUUCUAGGUUUUACCAGGAGAUUAGUAAAAGUGUAAUAAAAUAAUUACAGAAUUCGCUCAAUCCUUCAAUAGACUCUUUUUGGCAUAUCUCAGCUCUUGAGAGCCGGUAUCUGAUUAGUUGUGAAUCCAAAGGCAGAGAGCUAAAAAUUUGUCUUGAGAAUUAUGUGAGAUAGAUGGACAGUUGGCAGGCUCGAUAAUUUAAAAGGGAGAAAUUACAAUUCUUCUUUUUUUGUGUUUCAUCAAUCUAAUAGACUCCAUGUGAUACCCAAUUUUCCGGGGGGUCACCCAUUCUAGAACAUCCAUCCUUGAACUAUUCUAACCCUAAGCUCCCUCAAAUCUCUUAACCUCUUGGCCUUAGCCACCUCCUAAAAUUUUAUAGCUCAAAGGGUCACCAAUUCUAGAACUAUUCUAAACCCUAAGCUUGCUCAACCCCCUUAACCUCUUGGACCAAGCCACCUUCCAAAAUUUAUAGCUCAGAGGGUCACCAAUUCUAGAGCUACUCUAACCCUAAGCUUUCUCAACCCUCUUAACCUUUUGGACCUAGCCAACUCCUACAAUACUAUAGCAGGAUUAAUAGGUUUAGCCCUUAUAUACCUUCUAUAUUGGACUAUCCCUACCCUCUCUCCCUCUAUUAAGCCCUGAGGUUCUCGUCAGGCUCAAGCAUACUCGCAAGCGCUUGGCUCUGAUACAAAUUGUAAUGCCCUGCUUCCCAGGCCGGUUAAUUAGCUAGAACUAUUUCAGCUCUAACAUGCGUUGCGUAACCUUCUUAACAUCUUGGGCCUAACCACCACCCAAAAUGCUAUAACCAGGUUAAAAAAUUUUAGCCCUAUUAUAUCUUAUAUAUAGGACUUCCAAAUCAUAGGGGGUGUCACAGCUGGAAUCAAAUCCAAUCAUCAAUCGGAAGUGUGAGAUGAUUCUCAACUGAAUCAGGGUCAUACAGACAAGCAAAAGCGUAGCUCCCCAGCUGACAACUAUUGUGGGUGGAGUACGGCUCACCACAAGAUCGGCUAAGACUAACGAGACGAGUCUCACAUCGCCUAGUACUUGUGAACACAGUUGAGCACAUUAGGGCUUAAAGAGAAGGGGAAUGUGACACCCCCAUGAUUUGAAAUAGUUCUAUAUAUAUUAUAUAAUAUAUAAUAGAGCUAAACCUCUUAACCUGGUUGUAGGCUUGUGGUAAUUUGGGUAGCAGUUAGGCCCAAGAGUUUAAGAGGGUUAAGCAUGCUAAAGCUAGAAUAGUUCUAAAAUGGGUGACCUUCCACAGAAAGCGAGGUAUCACACUCCACAUACAAAGUGUUGAUAAAAUUUUAAAGGCAACAAUGAAUGAUAGUAUUGUAUGAAUAGAAGUAUAGGAUUGUUAGCUUUAUGAAAUCCUUCUAUAGUGUAAAUAGUACACUGAACAAUCAUAUCACGGUUGACAAUGAAUUUGAUGUGAUAAGCAUAUUUCACUAUAGGAACAAAAAUGAUAAAGCAACAUCACAUAUUUCAUGUGAAUUAUAGGUAGCGGGAAACGAAAUUAUUAGUAAACCUCCAAGUGUAAAGAUGGAGUGCUUAUAUCUGAAGUGUACACUUAGCCUGCUAGCAUUAGCGACUGACUACGAGAGGUCUACACUAUAGUUCGAAUUGCGCAAGUUCAACCAACUAAUAUUAUAGGGUUAAAUGCAUUCAUGUCCCUACAAACAUAGUGAAUUACAAAUAUGUCCCUACAAAGUUCAACUUUCAUAUGUUUUUCUAUAAAAAUUCUAAUAUUUUCAAAUAUAUCUCUCUGCUUUGUUACCAUUAUAGAACUGUUUAUAUUUUAAGUGAAAUGUCAAUUUUACCAUCACAAAUAUGUCCCUCCAAAAGUCACAAUAGUAUAAUAUAAGAGGGGCAAAAAUGUCAAAUUAUCUCAUACAGAGUUAAGCAUUUAACAUAUGGUUAAUUAAAGUUUUCUAACGGAUUCUAACGGUAGGGACAUAUUUGAAAACAUUUGGAUUUUUGCAAGGACAACAUAUGAAAAUUGAACUUUGUAGGGAUAUAUUUGCAAUUCACUAUGUAUGAAAUUAACCGAAUAUUAUAAUACAAGCCUUGAAUAUAUGUCAAUGUGAGGUACAGGCUGGCUUGCUGAAGCAUUCAUUAUGCAAAACCCAUGCCUUAUGUAGAUGAGGUCUUUACACAGUUGUCAAUGUGCAAAACUUGCAUAUGCUGCAAUAUACACAUCAAAAUACCGCCUUUUAGAACAAUGUAUGAGACGAAUCCUUCUAAGACACAAUCAUUUGUCUUAGGUCCAAUCAUGCAAUUAGGUCUAGCAUCAAUUAUAACAUAAAUCAACAAAAAUCACAACUAGUUGGAAAUAUACAAAGUCAAUUUUGAGAACCCCAAAUAAUACUUGAACCGUUUAAAAUACAAAAAGGGGUCGUUUGGUUCAAGGUUUGCAAUAUUCUAGAAAUGUUGUAUAUUUUAUAUUCGAAAUAGCAUGUUACUAACUUAUCAAGCAACUUGGGUGCGAGGUUGUUAAGAACUAGCUAUUCUCAUUAAUGGACUACUAAUAAUUUCGACAAUGAAAGUAUCUCCUAACCCAUGACAAUGUAGUAUUCCUACAGUCCAAAAGUCUACAAUGAUUCUAGUACUUCACUAACCCCUUUUACACGUACCCAACUUGAGUUGAAUGGUAAUGAUUUAUAUAUUUUCAAUAGAAAACAAAUGAAGGAUCACCGGAAUAUUACAACAUGUGAACCUAACAGGCCCAAAGGGCGAUAUCAUUAGCAGAUUAAGAACAUCCGAAGAACACAUGGAAAAAAAACUAAUCUAUAUCUCUGAGGAUAUGCAGUUAUUAUAAAGCUGAAGCAUAUAGGAUGGAUAAUGAUAAUGUGAGAAGAUACAUACUGAAUAAGGACAAAAAAAAAAUAAAUGUUUGAAAAUGAGAUGAGCACAAAUGUAUUAUUUCUUUCAGUAUCAACAUUCCAGACUUUAUAUUGAAUAGUAUGUGCUGCUGAAGAGACGCUGUGAACUGAUACACAUCAAUAGUUCCUAUUAUGAAAUAGGGAUUUUUUAUUUUAACAACUGAUUAGAAAGAUUCUGUAGAAAGCAAUGAAGUCAAUUCCGGAACAUCAUUCACGUUCAACAAGAGCAAUAUUGCAUACCUGAAAAUCUAAGAGCCUGGCGAGAUAAAAAUUGGUUUCAUUUAUAAAAGAUUGUGAAGGGAUAUAAGAGAUUUAUUCCAUAAAAUUCAACCUUCGCUCAAUUUGAGAUCCGAAUUUUCCUAGGAUGCCAUAGAUCACCUUUGCCACUGAAAGUCAGACUCUAAAAUCUACGCAUCAUCCAAUAAAAAUGUGCCCGUUGAAACAACAGUCAAAAUAAAAAUUCAACACGCAAUUACGCUGUAGACUAACGUGCUUAGACUCUGCAAUCUAAGGAACCAGAGUUUCCCUUUGCAAGAUCCGACCAUUGCUAAGCUCGUCAUCAAUAUAUUCUACGAUGAGAAACUGAAAUUACGGGCAUCGGAGAUCAUCAGUAUAGCAUAAAGAAAUGCGAUCGGAUAGAAAAACAAAAGGCAAAGACAUAACAAAAAGAAGAAGAAGAAGAAGAAUAAGAAGUCGUAGUAGCAUUUUUAUUUGAAAGAGUAAAUAAAAGAGGGGAAGAUUGGAGAGAGAUUGACCUCCGCCCGCGGCGAGGCGGCGGCUUGGGAUGAGCUUGGCGGGCUGAGUGCGAGCGAAGAGACGAGAGAGGGAAGAAGCGACCGCCGCCCUAGCUGCUUCCAUUAGAGGAGAAGGAAGAGGACUAGGACUUCCUAGGAGAGGGCAGAGCAUAGUUAGUUAAUUCGGAUUCGACAAAAGUUCGGUACAGGUAUAAUUCGGAUAAAAUUCAUCUUCUAAUUUUUAAAUUCGUUGAAAAAACGGCUAAAAUACAGGUUCGCCAAUUAUUCGGAUAUGUGAUUUAUACAGAUAUCAUACAUUCACCAAUUAAAAAUUCGAAAUCAAAAAUUCGGCUAUUAAAUUAUGUUUUUUUUUCUCUCAAGAUUUAUGAUAUUUGCAUAAAUACUCAUAAUUCUGAAGAAUAUAAGAAUAAAGAGCUACAAAAUUAAGCUAAUUAAGUAAAAAAAAAAAAGGAAACUAUAUUAUGCCCCAAAACAAAUAAAUAAAUAAGCAAAUAAGAGAUCAAGAUAGUCCAUAUAUAAAUAUAAAACAUAAAAGGUUCACAUACAAGCAUAGUUGGAAACUAAUACAAGGUAAAACUUGCACUUAGCAUAGUGCAUACUAGCAUAUCUAAAGUCCAAACAGUAAACAAAUAAAAGAUAGAAGGUUCACAUACAAGCAUAGUUGGAAACUAAAUACAAGAUAAAACUUGCACUUUGCAUAGUGCAUACUAGCAUAUCUAAAGUCUAAACAGUAAACAAAUAAAAGAUAUAUAAAGUUCAUAAUUCCGCAUAUAAGCAUACAUAAAAGCUUGAAUAAACAUAAAGCAUACAAGCACAGAAAGUUCUAGUGGGAUUUGAGUCUUGCGACACCACCCGAGUACAAUUUAGAACAAUAUUUGCACUUAAAUUUUCCACUCGAUUCUUCCGCGUGAAUCCAAAACCUAUCUUUCUUUCGAACCAUUUUUCUGCACAAAAAAAUUAAUGACUCAAAUAUUUCAAGCUCUAACACAUGACCGCCUAUCAUGGAUUCUCGAAAGAAUAAAAUUACAUCGAAAGAAUAUUAGAAUUACCCAUCAAUCAUGCAUCAAACAUAACCUAACUCUAAGUAAUAAAUCCCACUUCAUUGGUUCUGAGUCUUCACUCUUCAUACAACAAUAAGCAAAUUAAUGAAUGUAACAACAAGUAACAACAACUUAACUAGGGCUAAUAUGGAAAUCCGGAGUUUAGAGAAAGAGAAGGAUUCUAAAGUUAGACAUCUUCAAACUCUUAUUCUCCAGAUCUUCUCAUUUUAUAGUGAAAAAUUGCUGCAUUUCUAAUACUAAAAAGUUAUGUUUCAAAAAUUAUGUAGAAACCCCACUGAGUCAAACGGUCCAUGAAAGAUCACAACAAAAUUUUCCUUGUGCAAGUGUCGACAAGAUCAUGAAAUUGAUUAGUUAGGUAUAACACAAGAGUUCCUGGUCCCUAAGUUAAUUAAGAUUGUUAUUUAGCUCUAUGUUUGGGUCUUCUAUGUGCAUAACAGAGAAUGGGCACAUUCAAUUUAAGCACUCGAGCCAUCUCUGUAUAAAAAAGUAUCCAUCAGAUGGACUAAAAGCUUCCAACUUUUGCUUUGAAGAAUGAAAACUGAAAUCGUACCUGGUUUGUAAAGAACCACCCGAUUACUGAUCCAUCGUUGGAUAGCGGAAGCGGAAGCGGAAGCGGAAGAGGAAGAGGCAACGAGGAGGGUUUCGAUUUCUGAAGAGUGAAGAACCCGAUCUUCGAUGUGGCCCCGCCGGGGCUUCCGAUGGCGUUCGGCGAGCGGCCGGAAGGGAAGAGGGCGGCGAGGGGAAGGGAUGGGGGCUGGGUUCAGUGACAGGGCCGCGGCAGGGGUGAGACGCUAGGGCAAAAACUUUUUGAUCGAGCGAUUUUGUUUUUUUUUUUUUUUCUUUUUUUUUUUUUUCCUUUGGUUCGGUUUUGCGCGAGCAAAGUGCGACACUCGACAAGAGGUUGCAAUCCAACUCGCUGUUCGUGACCGAGCAGUCGUGUUCGGCUCGAAAUGAGCUCGAGAUCGGCUCGCUCGUUUGGUAAACGAGCCAAACACGACCUGAAUUUUUCAACUCUUAAUAAACGAGGCCGAACACGAACUGGGGGUCAGCUUGUUCGUGCGGCUCGAUAACACCUCGAAUACAUAUAUUUUAUAUUUAUAUAAUUUAUUAAAUUUAUAUUUUAUAUAUAAAUAAAUAAUUAUAUAUAAUAUAAUUUUUAUUAUUUACUUUUUGCAAAAAUAAAAAAUAUGAGAUUUUUAAUUAUAAAAAGAUCAUUUAUAUGUAAAGUUAUCAACAUUAGAUCAAAUCUAAUGAACAAGAUUUUAUAAAUUUAUUUUUUAUAUAUUAUUAAUCUAAUUUUUUUAAUAUUGUUCUGUGGCCAGCUCGUGUUCAGCUCGUUAAUAAACGAGCCGAACACGAGCUGAAUUUUCGGCUCGAUACUUUAACGAGCCGCCCCCCCAGCUCGCUCGUGUUCGGCUCGUUUACACCCCUACUCGCGACUCGCGAGACCAUAGGUAGUUAACUCGGAUUGGCAAAAAUUCCGUAUGAAUAUAAUUAGGAUAAAAUUAAUCUUCUAAAUUUUAAAUUUAUAAAAAAUAUGCUAAAAAUAGAUUUACAUUAUUCGAAUACAUAAUUUAUAUCGAUAUUAUAUGUUCACCGGUUAAAAAUUUGGGAUCCAAAAUUCGGCUAUUAAAUUAAAUUUUUUUCUCUCAUGAUUUAUGCUAUUAGCAUAAAUAUUUAUAUUUCUUAAGAAUAUAAGAAUAAAGAGUUACAAAAUUAAACUAAUUAAGUAAAAAAUUAGCAAACUAUAUUAUGCCUUAAAAUAAAUAAAAAGAUAGCCCAUAAUAGAUUAAAUUUUUUUGAUAGAGUAAAUUUUUUUUCGGAAGGGAGGCGCGCAAACUUUUACAAAAAGAUUUUUUUUUUUUUGUUUUGGGCUAGGUGAACCAAGGGUUUCUUCUUCUUUUUUUUUUCCCUAUUUUGAGCGAGCCGCGAGCCGCGAGCGCUCAAGCUCACGCUUGCCAGCGAGCCGCAAGGCCCGCAACUCGCUCGCGAGCCGCCACAAGGCCUGCGACCGCUCCCGCUCACGAGGGAGCCGCAAGGCCCGCGGCCCGCGAGCUCGGGCGCGGGCGCGGGCACGAGCGCGAACGCGAAUGCGAGCGUUUUUUGGCCGAAUAAUUCGGGCUCGCGAAUUAUUCGUGAAUAAGUAUUUUUUAUUAAAAAAACUCGAUUUUUUCAGAAUUUUUUGGAAAAAUAUGAAUACGGCCGUUUAAUUCGUUUCUUCAAACAUUCGCAAAUAAUUCACGAAUUAACCAACAUAGCGCGAGACUUGUGACGGGCGAGCGUGCGUUUUUUUGGGCGAAUUAUUCGCGAAUAUUUAUUUUUGAUAAAAAAAAAUGUCACAUUUUUUUUCGAAUUUUUUGAAAAAAUACUUAUUCUAUUGAUUUAUUCGUUUCUUCAAAAAUUCGCAAAUAAUUCACGAAUUAUUCGCGAAUUAACUAACUAUGGGGUAGAGUGGGUACCUGAUAUAUUUUACUUUCAACUGGCACUAUUAGUGCUCGGCCUUCCGCACAUAGUUAAUUUUGCAUUUUUAUAAGGCCAAUUUGUAUAAAAUAUUUCUUAGUUUUAAAAUUUUGCAAAAAUAGACUAGUAUUAUAAAUUUUGCAAAUUCAAUUCGAAUUUUUAAAAAACUAAACAAAAUAUUUUUAUUUCUUUCUCUCUCUCCUUUUUUUUCUCUCAUUCUUUUUUUUAAUUUAUUCUCUCCGAAGAGGGCGGUGCAGGCGGAGGCGACCCGUCUUGCCUCUGCCCCACGCGUCCUCCUUGCCUUCAACCCCGUCAAAACUGCGCUCACUACUGCCCUUUAGGAUGACCCGCCCCCCUUUCGGCCUACGCACCCUCACCCGCGCCCCUUCACCCCCCACCCUCUUCGCCUCCAACCCCGUUGAGGUCACACCGCAACCCUUUUUUUCUUUCUGUCCAACCCUCCUCCACCACCUCUGCGGCCCUUCUCGAGGUAAUUUCAGACUGUCUUUAUUAAUUUUAUAUAUCUCGAUCAAAUUUUUUAGAAACUAAUCAAUAUUGUUGUGCUAUCUUUUAUAUCACUUCUUUCUUUCUUUCUCCUUCUGCUUCUUCUACCUUUUCCUUUACUAUUCGCAUGUCAUCGUCGUGCCACUCCCUCUAUCUCCCUCACAUCUCCACUAUUGCCGACACAAGCAUUGUGGCUCAAAUGCCACACAGACCGGAAAGGAUAAGGGCGUAGAUAAUUAAACAGUUUGAAGUUGCAUGACAUAGCAAGAUGCCGGAACUUGGGAGGGGAGAAGGGGAUAGGAAGAAAAGGAAGGACAUGUCUUCUCCAUCUUCCUCUUAUUUUAUUUUUUAAAUUCUUUCUUCAAUAAAAAAUUAAAAUAUUGCACUAUUUAACUAUACAUUGCACUAGUAGAUUAUAAAACAUAUCAUAAAAGUAGUGCAAUAUACAAUCAAAUAGUAUAACAUACAGUCAAAUAGUAUAACAUUUUCAAUGUUGUACUAUUUAAUAAUAUCUAUCUAAACCUAUUUAUGAAUUCCCAAUAUUUUCACUGACGUAGCGCAAUAUCUUUUGUUUUAGAUUUUUUUUUUUUUUUUGUAGUAACUCUGUCUCUCCCACCCCUUCCCCUAGGGGUGUAAUGUGGGCCAUGCCGGACCGACAUGACCCACAUUUUUCGGGUCGAAACAGGUUAGGGAUUGGCCCGGCUCGGCCCGAGACCCAACCCAGGUCGGGCCGUGCCAGGCACGAACUCCCUACCCUCCGGCCCAACACGACCCCUCGGCUCGGAAGGCACGUGCCGUGCCGGGCCGGGCUAUGCUCCGGGCCGGCCCCUUUUUUAAUUUUUUUAAAAUAUAUAUAUAAUUUAAAAAUAUAAAUAAUAAAUUAUUUUUAUUUAAACUGAUAUUUUGAUUAAAAAAUUUAAAAAUUAUAAAAAUAAUUAUAAAAUAAGAAAUAUUAAAAUUUAUUUAAUAUAUAUAUAUAUAUAGAGUGCGGCUAGGAUGUUUAUGGAAGCACGGAGGGCUCCGUGCUUCCACUUUGUCCAGUUGACGCAAAAUCAGCUUCUCCGCAAAAGGUUCUGCUAGAAGAAUCUCCUGGGGAAGGCCAAGCCCUUCUCCCCAAUAGAUCAGACCCUAGGUCCAAGGCAACUUGCUUGGGCCUGGGGUCCGGGCUGUGCUGGCCCGGCUGGCCCGGCCCAAGCGCGUGCCGUGCCGUGCCGGGCCACCAGCCUCUCCUCGGCCGGCACGGCCCAGCCCUGUUUCGGGCCGUGCCGUGCCGUGCUGUCAGGCCCUAGGUAAGUGGCCUAGCACGACCCGAAGAGCCUGACAGGCCCGGCCCAAUCUGGCCCGGGUGCUACAGUGGCCGUGCCGGGUCAUGGCCAUACCCGCAGCCAUGCCGGGCAGGGCGGCCCACGGGCCGCCCGGCCCAUUUUACACCCCUACCUUCCCCUUUCCCCCACCCUUUCCCUUCCCCUCUCAUCUCCUCCCUAACUAUACGUUCUUGGCUGUAUAAUAUAUGAUUCAUUAAUGUUUUAUCAAUUAAUUUUAUAUUAAUGUUUCAUCUAUUAAUUAUAGCGUUUCAUCUAUUAAUUUUAUUUUUUUUGUAAUAACUCUCUCUCCCCCACCCCUUUCCCUCCCCUCUCCUCCCCAACUAUACGUUCUUGGCCAUAUAGUAUAUGAUUCAUUAAUGUUUCAUCAAUUAUUCUAUAUUAACGUUUCAUCAAUUAUGUCACAUCUCGGGGUCCCUUUUUGGUUCAAAAGCCAAUGCGGAAGUGCCCAGAUUUUUUUUUUUUUGAAAAUCUUGACCCCAAGAUAUGCCAGAUCCGCUACAAAUAUAGGGAGUCCACUGUUCACACGGACAGAGUCUUUCCUGUAUUUGCACGGCGCCACACAAGUACAAGAUAUAUAAUGCAAGAUACAACCACCACAUAUGAAUAUCCACGCAUCCAUACACCAUUCACAUUCACAUUCCAUACAUAACAAUUAUCCAUGAUUCCACAUCUAUCAGUUUAAAAUAUUUCCUAUCCGAAAACUCGUUUUGAAAUACUAAUAACCAGGAAAACCAGAAAUUUCUUUUAAAAACUGUUUCCCACACGGAAAUCUUUUUUCUUUAAAACUUGCUACCAUGAGGAGUAGAAAAUCAUUCCAGUUUGCAAGAAUUACACAUCCUUUAUUACAUUUGUGAAAUCCCAAUUAUUCAAUUAUCAUGAAAUACUGAACCAUAAAUGCAUUCUAAGUCAUUAUUUACGAAAAGCAGGUCAAGAGUUUAAACCGAAUGAACGGGUCCGGAAGCUCUACCGAACCGCUAAGUGCGCUCCUCAUGAACCGUCCCACUAGGAUCCGCGACGUCACCUGUAAUGGGGGUGGGGGGUAAGAAUAUGUAAACAUGUCUCCCCUCCCAGUGGGUACUGUAAGUCCACGAGGGCAAGGGGUACUCACCAGUCAAGGAGAAUAACAAAAGUAUGGGUAAGUGUAAUACAGUAGCAACGAUAAUAAAUGAACAAGAGAUAUAAUAAACAACUACCGCUACUGUAUGCAUGUAUCAACCGGAUGACAAGUCCAAAUACCCAAUCUGAAAUAGCUAUAUUGGUCCGCAACACCUCAGGCCUGUGCCAUAACUGCUCAACCUGUACAUGACCAUCGCAUAAAGCACCCGGGUCUGAAAGUUAUAUGACCCUCGCAUAAAGCACCCAGGUCUAAAAGCACAUGACCCUCACAUAAAGCACCCGGAUCUAAAAGCACAUGAUUCUCGCAUAAAGCACCCGGGUCUAAAAGCACAUGACCCUCGCAUAAAGCACCUGGGUCUCACAGGCUGGCACUCCCAACUACUUUUUCGGAAAAGAACACCCUCUUACGGUGGAUCAGACUGCUGGUGUUCGUGAAAUGCGUACGAGCACUGGCGAUCGAUUGCUGAAUGCUCAAUAGCCAACCGUCGGCAACUAGCCGACAAUCACUGCCCAUCAGGGCACACUAACCAAUAGGUCAUCAAACUGUAAGGAACACAAGUACCGACCACUCAGGUCAACUAGGAUGGAACAACUCAACAUCCUAUCGAAGAUAUGCAAGUAUCGACCACUCAAUGUCAACCAACAUCUAUAUACACAUGAACCGACCAAUAGGUCACAAGGAUGUCACAUCGUGCAUCCGUCCAGAACUAACCGUCAGCCACUAGCCGACAAUCCUGUCCCUCAGGGCACACCGACCGUAUAGGUCGUCAAAUAGUCCAACCGACCAAGUAAGUCACGAUAACAAUGCAAUAAGUCGACCAAAAUAGGUCAAGGAUACGAGAUACGAGAACCGACCAAUCAGGUCACAGAUAUCACAUGUAGAUAAACUCAUGAUACUAGACAUAAAAACAACCGAGUAGAGUAUAACGAAAACAACAAAGGUGCAAGGCUCAAUAUAUAAUAUGCAAUAUAAACAACAAGGAAGGAGUGAAAGGAAUGUCAACGAGCGUGCACCACUGUACCGACUUCGGGUUGAAGUACCCACCUGUACAUAUCUGGCACUGGUCUCCCGACUGCGGAGAAGAAUCAACUGGACCUAUGAAAGGUCCACUGGGUUAGUAUCCAGCCCACAAACACGAACCACUAAACAUACAACCCUAUAAUUAAACCCACGAAAAUUGGGUUCUCAAAGUCGAUUACUGUAACUCGCCGGGAGUCCCGAAAAUCACACCGGGACUUCGCUGGGUCCCACAAACUAUCUCGGAACUCACCGACUCGUGCUACGAGUCACCCGUUGCCACUAAACCCUAUUAUACAUGGGACUUGGCAGCAAACACACCGCCUCACAUCAAAACGAUUAUCGUUGGAUAAUCGUCCCGAUCAGGUUUCCGGAAGUGUCCAAUUCGACACCGGAACCCACCGUAGCUCACCCGCCAUUUUCGAACCCUCGAAAUGACAUGAGUGACCAGCCAACAAGGCUCAAUGACCACACGAUGUACUGUGAGGCACCGUUGGAAGAAUUCCGAACCAAAAACGCAUUCUGUCAGCGGAUUUUGCCGACAAACGCACCGAAAAUUAAUUUUCGAUCUCCGCAAGGGCCUCGGGCAUUGGACAAUCAGUCCAUAGGUCACCCACUGCCCACACAAGCUACCAACAACGACCCCAAAGUGUACAAUUGCAUAGAAACCCCCGUGACAACAUAAAAUCACAUUAUUUCAUGUGAUUCUCGUGGUUUUAUGGCUCGACAGUGCAAACCGAGGGCCCUCAAGUUUGGCUGAGGCACCCGCUGACAGGUUUCGAUGUGCCGGAGGCCGUGCUCACACUUCGGAGCACUGUCGGCCCAUGUGGCAAGCGCGCGAGCGACGCAAACUUCAGCGAAACAGCACGCACAGCAGUUAAAUUGCGUCUACUACGCAAACCGGGGCAUCACUAACCCCAACGGAGGUGAGCACGAUGUUCAGCACAAAUCAGCGAUCAUCGUGCUCACUUCCAGGAGCAUCGGGGCAUCUUCGGAUCACCGGACAGGCGACCAGAACCAUAAAAUAGUAUGCAGAAAGCUAUUAAAAGCUUACCAGAGCUUGGUGGAGCUCGGGGGUGGCCGGCGGCGGCUGGACGGCGAGCAGGCCAGCCAGGGGCAGGUGCAGCCGGUCAGUGGGGGUUGGGGCGGCUCGCGUCUGCAGGCGACGGGUGGCGGCGACGACAGCGAGCAACGAUGCCCUAGCCGCAGAGGAUCAAGGGAGGCUUCAGCUAGUUCCAGCUGGUAGAGGGCUCUGGCGGCGGGAGCGCCGCCGGCAGUCGGGUGCGGCCGGUCUAGGGGAGAUGGCGCACAGGUCGGCCGACGACAGAAGGCUGCGGCGGCGGCUCAGGUGCAACCCGAGCCCGCGCGGGCUCGGCUCGGGUUCAGCUGGUCACAGCGGCCACCGCGGCGGUCGGGGAGCUGCGGGGCAACGACGGGGGAUCGCCUGAGGUCGGAGAAGGGCAGCGCACCCGACGGUGGGCGGUGGCAGUGCAUGAAGAUAGUGCGGGCCCAUGCUUGGUCCGCACCAGAUCUGGGCGGCUGCAGAGAGCGCGGGCGGCAACAGGUGGUCACAGGGACGACGACGAUGGUGCGUGGGAGGUCGCUGGCGGUCUAGGAGUGUAGGGCAGCCCACCAUGAAGCGGCAGCAACUCGCUGCCGCAAGCUGACCUGAGCUUGGUCCGAGUUGCUGCAGGCUGUUGCGGACAGCCCAGGUGGUGCUGGUGGCACGUGCGGGCGACGAGGGCCGGCGGGGACGGCGCCGGGGAGUAGGUCACGGCCGAGGAAAAGUAGAUUGAAGCGAGAGGGUGGUUCACAGCAGUUGGCGGCUGAAGUGGUGGGUGCAAGGUGGAUGGAGAAGGCAAUAGAGGUCUUCUCCGAGGGCCGGAGCAGGUCGACAGCGGCCGGGGUAGGUGCGGCAGGGUGCUAGGCGAAGAGGAAAGCUACAUGGGCGCGGCUGAGGGAGUUAGGGCAAAGAUAAGGGUUAGGGUUGCAUGAAAACCCUAACAUAACAUAUAUAUAUCAAUCAACAAAAUUGCACUUUAGUCCCUCAGCAAUGGGUAUUUCCAUCACAGCCCUUCACAGCGCGCGGAAUAUGCGCGUAUGCACCUCGACGUUCAAAAUCACGCAAAACGGUGCAUAAAAUAUAGGUAGUUUUGCGAUUUUUCCGUUUUGCCACAUUUCACCCCUUAGCGAACAACGAGCGAUAUCAGGAGAUCCGUCCGUCGAAUUUGUGAACGGACUGGCUCCACACGUUCAGCACGACCGAGCCACUGAAUUCACAAUUUUGUUUCACCCGAGAUAGUCGUCGUUUUGCAACGAAACCCAUCUGCUCUCCAACUUUUCAAAACCACACUUAAAUAUGUGUAAAACCCAUAAACUCCCUUUUUCUCAAAAAUCGUGCAUCAGAUCUGAAAUUCGUCAGCGCCAUUGGUUCCAGGAUAGCCGAAACAUUGAAAACGAUCUAUUAGAUCGCUAUGAACGGAGUCUGAUACGCGCCGGAAGCCAACUCUACACCGUGGCCUCUCCGAAAAAGCGGGUUACUAUUCACUUUAAGUCAUUACUAAAGUUCAUGUAACUUCUCUAUCCUAACUCGUUUUCUCCUGAAACUUGACGAGUGUUUAUGUAAUUAAAUUACACACAAAAACAUCGUCAACACGGAGUUUAGCUACAUUGCAAAAUCUCAGUCCUUACAACUUUUUGAUAAUUUUCAAUGCACGUUCUUAACUUGCUGAUCUGCAGACUAAUUGUAGGUUUCAAUGCUAAUCUUUACUGGAGAAUGGAAUGAUAGUCGCAAAAAUAUGGAGCAUUAUCCUCUAGCUGAUCCUCCCAACUCUCAAUCAACCAUAAGAUUAUAUAUGAAAAUUUUCAAGCUUCAUGAGGGUAUACAGGUAUAUAAUAAAAAAAUUCUAUCUCUUUGUUACGAAUAAACUGUAUAACAAAUUGCUUCAAAGGUGGAGAAAAUUUAAUCGGUUGAUACUUAAAAGGUAUUAGAUGGAAUUGUUUAAGUGCAAUAUUCUCUGUUUAUGCAUGUCUCAUACUCAUAAUCGGUUGAUGCUUCCUAAUCAAAGAUAGUACCAUGUGAUGCAUUUAAAUUAUGCACUUGAUUGAUGUCACACUCAUUCUAAUAUAUUCAACUUUGUUUGUUCCCUGCGCAACUUAAUAUAUUUGGAUCUUUGGGCAAUGGAAGAAGUUAAUUAUGCUUGCAAAGAGUCAGAACCGACUUGUUAAAACACAUUAUAAAUCGAAAAUGGCCAGAAUGAAGGAUACUACUGGACCUUACUCUCAAAUUUGUUGGAUGAAAAAGACCUUCUAAUGAUGCAGAAGGGAUUACUAUAGAUGCUACCGAGUUAGACAUUAGUUUGUUUGUUGACAAUGAUAUGAAAUGAUGCUACUACUAAGAGAUAGGCUCAAGGUUGGUCUCUUUGUAAUAUAUAUAGAACUUACAAAAUUAGCUCUAGCUACGUGAUUUAUUGUUUCAAUCUCUUUAUGAAAUAGUAUUUUCAUAAUUUAGCUUAGUGUUUUAAUAAGAUAAUUUUUAAUUUGAAGUAUAUUACUUGUUGAUACUUAACAUAUCUAUUAUGGUCGGAAUAAUAUAUUGUAUUUUUAUUUCUUCAAGGUGAUGGUGAGAGCUUUGACAUUACGUACUACGGUGGGGUCAAGCGCCUCUUCGUCAUGGGCAACGACAACACCGAGUCGUGUUGGGCCAUCUUCAAUUGGGUCUGAUUUACCUUCAUCCCCUCCUGAUACUGCAGGUAAGAUAAUCACAUUUUGUGAGGUGUAUUAUUUUAUUUUGUUUGUUAGCUAUCGAAAAACAGCUUGUGAGGGUAUCUAAUUUAUUUUGAUCACCGGCCAGAUGGGCUAUCUAAUCAUAUGGUAUUGAAAUGAUACAGAAAAUGGUUAAGAUGUAUAUGUAGUCCCUGUGACUUUAUUUUUAUAUAUAAUAUAUAUUAAUAAAUAAAUAUAUAUUUUUAUAUUUAAUUUAUUUAAUAUAUUUAUAUUUUAUAUACAUAAGCUCGACAAAAGCUCGGCUUGUGCUCGCUCAACUGGGGUCGAGCACAAGCCGAGUAAAUAAUUUGCUCGACUUUUUAGAUCGAGCACAAGCCGAGCAAAUGAUUUGCUCGCUCGGCUAGAGUUCGAGUAAAACUCGGCUUGUGCUAGGGUGGCAAUCGCAGCCUUCGCUGUUCGCGGAGCCAGCCUCGUGUUCGCUCAAAAUGAGCUUGAGAUCGGCUCGCUCGUUUAGUAAACGAGCCGAACACGAGCUAGAUUUUUCAGCUCGUUUAAUAAAUGAGCCGAACACGAGCGGGGUCAACUCGCUCGUGUUCGGCUCGAAACAGCUCGAAUACAUAUAUUUUAUAUUUAUAAUAAUUUUUAAUUAAUUAUUUUUAUAUAUAAAUAAAUAAGUUAUAUAUAAUAUAUAAUUUUUAUUAUUAAAUUUUAGCAAAAUAAAAUAUAAAUGCAAGUUAAUUAUAAAAAGACUCAUUUAUAUGUAAAGUUUCAACUAUUAGAUCAAAGUCUAAUAGAUAAGAUUUUAUAAAUUUAGUUUUUAUAAUAUAUUUAAUCUAAUCUUUUUUAAUUUAUUGUUCAUUGGGCCAGCUCGUGAGCCAGCUCGUGUUCGGCUCAUUAAUAAAUGAGCGAACACAAGCUGAAUUUUUUGGCUCGAUACUUUAACAAGCGAAGCUCGCUGUUCGGCCUCGUUUGAUGAUUUUGUCCUCAAUUGAUAAAGGGUUGCCAAAAUAUAAGAUAUAUAUGGUAGUUAGAAUGUAUUCUUUCAUUACUAAUUCACAAUCACAUAAAUUUAAUGUCGCCAAGAGGAACAUGUUAAUGUGCCUGCAUUUUUAGUUGCUGCUACUAGAUUCUGCACUAAUCAGUGUUAGUUCAGAUUUAAGAAAACAGAUUAUUGAAGUAUUUGUUGUGUCGAAAGAGACAAUUCUGUCGUCAUAAUUUUCUGCAAUGUUUUUCCUGUCUUAAAACUGGUAUAUUGAGGUAGGAGUGGAAACGAGCCGAGCUCGAGCGAGCUUACGUCAGCUCAAAUUCGGCUUGAAAUUAAUUUCGAGCCUAAAUCUAGGCUCAAGCUCGGCUUGAAAUUAAUUCGAGCCGAGCUCGAGCGAGCCUAAUUUCGAAUCGAGCGAGCUCGAGCUCUAAACGAGCCGAUUGAAAUUCUCGACAUUAUAUAAUCAAUAGUUUAAUUUUGAUAGAACAUUACCUACAAUUUGAUGCAACAUGUCCAAUAGUUCAAAAUACAAAUAAUUGCAAGAAAUAUAAUAUUAUAAUAUUAAAAAAAAUAAUUUGAGUUGGAUAUCUAACCUUGUAAUGAAUGUCAAUUUCCUUUUGUAUUUUUCUUGCAGCCUUGCAUAUCUUCUCUUUCGCCUCCAAUCUCCAUAUUGCUCUUUUUCAUCUAUGCAGUUAAAAGAUGAAUAAAUUAUAUAAGCAAAUAGUGAAUUAAACUAUCCAAUCAUAUAAAACUAAAAUCAAAAUUUUAUAUAAAGAAUAAUUCUUUUACCUUAAUCCUGCAUAUUUUCUCAAGCAAACAACCAAUAGCAUUCAAUUUUACUGUAAUGUAACAAAAUCAUAUCAAACAAGAAAUUUUCAAUAUUGAAAAGUUAGCUAAGCAUAUUUAGAUAAGUGAAGUUAGCUAAGCAUAUUUAGCUAAAUAUAGUAUCAUAAAAGUAACAACAUCAAAUAGUUAAAUACACCAACAUAAAAAAAUAAAAAUUCAACAUUAAUCCAAGUGACCAAGUGCAUAUCAGCAUAUAUGUCUUAAGAGCCAUCAUGGUGGCAUAACAAAGCAUAGAAAACAACAUUAAGUCUUCAACUCAAAAUCACUCCAUCCUGUACCAAAAAAACAUAAUAAAAGUUAGUUUAUAUAAAAAAUAAUUUAAAAAAUAAUAAACUAUGUAAUAUGUGCAUUCUUAAAAUUAUUCACCUUACAAAAAAGAUAGUAAGCUAAGGAUCCACAACUUCGGGAAUUGGAAUGAUGAGACUCUCCUCAUUUAGAUAAUCAGACUGUAAAGUUAGCCAUUAUAGUUAAUUGUCUAAAGCAUAAGUAAUGAAUAGUAGAUUAUGAAAUUCAAAAUUAAAAGUAUUUAAUAACUUACAUUGGGAAUGUUUAAUUGUAGUUUUGAAGCAUCAUGAAUCCAAUUUCCUCCACAUACUAGAGCCUCUACAGUACUAGUAGAUAAUGAACUUCGGUAAUCCGUAAGAACUUUUCCGCCUGCACUAAAUGCAGAUGCUGAUGUCACCAUAGUAAUUGGUACAGAAAGAAUAUCUUUUGUCAUUUGUGAAAGAAUAGGAAACUUGUGAGAGUUCACUUUCCACCAAUUAAGAACAUCAAAUGUUUUGUCUGUAGAUGCAUCACAUCUCACAUUUUGCUCUUUCAAGUAAAUCUCCAAUUCCGAUUUUUCAACUUCCAUUGAGUCAACUGUCUCCAACAAUAAAUCAAAUUCAGCUCUUCCUUUUGUCUUAACUUUUGUCUUUAUAGAUAAAUCUUGGCCAAUUUCAUCAUUUGAUAAAUUUGAUCCUCCAACCUCUUGUGUAGAUACUUCUGUGGCUUGUUCAAGCACAUAAACUUCAUAUAUAUCAAAUAAUACUCUUUGAACUUUUAAAAUAUGAUCAACAAAUUCAAUCUGAGAGUAAAUUUUAGGAAAGCAAAACUUAAUAAGCUUCAUUUUGUAACGAGGAUCCAUAACAGCUGCAAUAGACAUCAACAUAUUGCACUCACCCCAAUAUUUGUCAAACUUCUUUCGCAUCUCAACAGCCAUGUUUUUCAAAAAUUCGUCCUCACAUUCAGAUUUUUGAUUUAGCUGUUCCUUUAUUUUUCAUACCUCCAGAAGAAAAAGAUUUGCUGUAGGAUAAAGUGAACCGGAGAAAAUAUUUGUCACUUCAUAAAAAAUUUCAAGAAAGUCAAACACUUUUUGAGCUUUCAUCCAGUCACUUUGAGAUGGCAGCCAUUUAUAAUUUGCAUCUCUAGUUGCAUAUUGUUGGAAAACGGUUUUAUAUGUAAAGGCAUGAUCUAACAUGAUGUAUGUUGAAUUCCAUCGAGUUGCAACAUCUAAUGCCAAUCCUUUUCUUGUAGAGACAUUAAGUUGUCGAGCAAUUUCACCAAAUUUGUGAAGACGUGAGGGACUUUUUUUCAAGUAAACAACACUAUUCCUAAUGUUUACAAUAACUUCUCCAAUUGCAUUGAGCCCAUCUUGAACAACUAAAUUUAAGAUAUGAGCACAACAUCUUACUUGAAAGAUAAUUCCCUUAAAAAAAAGUCUUCCUCUAGCAACAAAGUUAUCCAUUAAAAAUCGAACUGCCACAUCGUUAGAGGAGGCAUUAUCCAAGGUUAUAGUGGAUAUCUUGUUCUCAAUGCCCCAAUUAAGUAGGCAUUCAACAAUACCAUCAGCAAUGACGACCCCUGUAUGUGGAGGCUCCAACUCACAAAAAUUUAUGACACGUUUUUGUAAUUUCCAUUCAGAAUCUAUAAAUGAGCAGUCAAGCACAUAUAACCAAUUGUUUGGUUGGAUGUCCACGUAUCCGAUGUUAAACUUAUCCUACCAACACCUUUAAGCAUCUUCUUUAGCUUAUCUUUUUCAUUUUCAUACACUUCCAUGCAAUCAUUCUUUAUAGUCUUUCUAGAAAUCUUUUCAUAAUUAGGAUUCAAAACUUUCAGUAACAUAUUAAACCAUGAAUGCUCAGCUAUACUAAACGGAUACUCAUGCACCAUAAUCAUUUUUGCAAUUAUUUCUUUUAUCACUUUGUGGUCAUAUUCUCCUUUUGAAACCUUAGAAAGGUACUUUUCUCCAAUAGUAUCAAUAGCUGUUGUGCUAGUGGAAGCAAAAGAUAUAAUACUUUGCUUUUUACCUAGCUUUGUCUGUAGGCAAUCAAGUAAAUGGCUUUUAAAUUGAGAAGUGGUACCGUACUUAGGUAUGUGAAAAGUUGCCGGACAGUUGCAGCAUUUAUAUUUCUCAAUAGAUUUUCCUUUCUCUUUUACUUGAAUUUUUUUAUAGCUCUUCCAUACAUCUGAUGUUUUUUUUCUCCCGCUUUUCUUUGAUAGGCUAUCGGUGGCGAUCACCUUAUCCUUCAUCAAUUGGUUAUUAUCUCCAUCAUCUCCGCACUCCUUAUCGACAUCGAUCGGUGAGUCAUCAAUAAUAACGUUAUCAAUGGCAGGAGAAGAUAUAGAAUUUUGAGAAGAAGGAAUCCGUGAAGAAGACAUCUAAAUAUAAAAAUAAAUUAUCAUCAUCAUCAUCAUCUUUUUGGAAAAAAAAAAAUCAUGCAUGCUAUGGUAACACAAAUAGCACAAAAUACUUAUUUUUGUGUUGCAACAAUAUAAACAAAAUACCUCUAACCUCAGAGUCUCAGACAACUCAUUUUACAAAAAUAAAAAUAUUAAAAUAAUAAUAAGAUUAUGAUUUUUUUUUAAGAACAUGAUAUGGGAACAAUAAUAACAUCAUCAUCAUCAUCAUCAUCAUCAUCAUCAUCAUCAUCAACAAUAAAAAUAACAACACCCCCAACAAUAGUCAAUGAACCCGAUCAAAAAACCCAGCAAACAACAACAACAACAAUCAUCAUCAUCAUCAUCAUCAACAACAACAAAGUGGAUUUAAUUAGAUGUGGGGAACCAAAUUCUGAUUAAAUCGAAUAAAACGAGGGGAGGAGAAGGAGAUUACGUACCUAACUAGGCAAAGGAGGUGGAAUUGGAGAUCUAAGAGGUUUAUGAGAUGGAAUGCAUCGUCGUCACUAAACCAAAAAAGCUUAGUGGUGACUGGUGAGUGGUCGAUUUGAUAGGUCGAUGAGUUCGCCGGAUGAGGUUGGGGUGACGGUGGUGAACGAGUUCGACGACAACGACCGACGAGGUGCCGAGUGGCGGGCUGGCGGGUGGCGGCUGCGUGGUCGUGGUGUAAGUAGUUGGGGACUCAGGGUGACUGGGUGAGGGUCUGAGGGAGAACGAGAGAGAGAGAGGGGAAAAAAUUAGUGAUUGACUUAGGGUGAGGAUCGGACGGAGAACGAGAGAGAGAGAAAGAGGAGAAAAAAUUAGGGAUUUAGGAAUUUGAAUGUUAUCAUGUUAGGGUUAUGUGAAAGUCUGAAAAAGAGAGUGUGUAUGUAAUGGCCCAAAAAUAAUGGCCCAACAACAAUGGCCCAAAUUAAAUUAAACACAUAUUACUCAGCCUAUAUCGCUAUAUAUAAUUAAAAUACAUUAUAUUUAUAAAUAUUUUUAAUAUAUAUAUAUAUAUAUAUAUAUAUUCGAGCUUUUCGAGCUUUUCGAGCGAGCCGACCAAUGCUCAAGCUCGGCUUGAAAUGAAUUUGGAGCUUUUUUUUUUUUGUUCAAGCUCGGCUCAUUUAAUUUCGAGUCGAGUUCGAGCGAGCUGAAUAUCGAGUCGAAUAUGAGUCGAACGCGAGCCGGCUCGCUCGUUUGCCAGCCCUAUAUUGAGGUGCAAUAAAAUGGAAAUAUGCCUCGUUGGCUAGGUUAGAAUGCUAAGAUUCAGUAAAAGCUGAGCAUAUGUAUUGACUACUUUGAGUAUGCUAUAAUUUCCUUGAAUAACACACUAGACGCUAUGGAGCCAUUUACAAAUGCAAUCUAAUAUGAACUAUAGUUGCACACUUUGGACAAUAAUCAGCAAGUUAGGUUCAUCUCGCUUCUUUUUGAAAAUAUUAGUGGUUAAGUUAAUUAACCUUAUUUUUGUAAAGUAAGGCAUCAUAUUUUAAGCAGCGGAUUUCUUUUAAGAACAAUGCCAUAGACUCAAAGAGGCAGUUAAUAUGCAUCGGUGCAUUAUUUUUUUUUCUUCCUCCUAAUGAGUAUUAGGAGAUAGAAUAGUAUAUAUCACAGUUUUGACAAUUGUCUAUUUUGUUAAUAAUCCAUUGAAUCAGGAAUUCAAGUGGACAAAUUAUUUGUGUAUCCAACUAUGCAAAAAAUACUCCAACUCUUGUUGUAGAUUGUUUAGUUUAUAUAAUUUUUUUUUCUCCCUUUUAUUUGUUACAGGAAAUGAAUUACUGUUGAAAUAGGAGCUGAAGCAUUUUUUUGUCGUUUUUAGGUAUUUUUUUAUUUUUAAACUUUAGAGAGUCAGGAAUGAUGUUGAACUGUAUAUCGAAUAUUGUUACUCUAUUGCCUUUAAAUUGAUGUUGCUAUUAUUUUGUUUUUAAGCUGUUGUGGAUCAGAAGUCAAUUAGCCUUUUAAAUUAUUGUUAAAAGAAUAAUUUUGUUUACUUAAAUAUUUUGUUCGUUAUUUUGUAUAUGUUUUGUUUAUAAAAUAUAAACUGUGUAUUUUUAUAUUUUAUUUUAUUACCUUUUUAUUACUAGUGGCCAUUUUACUCGCAUAGUUGGUGGCGACAAAAAGUUACUUCUUUAUCUUCAACUAAGGUGGCGACUUUAGUGAUUGCCACUUAAGGUAUACAUUUGGUGGCGAAAAUGUAUUGCCACCUUAUUUUCAUGAAAGGUGGCGACUAAUAAGGGCCACUAAAAAGUCAUAUUUGAUGGUAAAAAAAAUACCGCCACGUUAUCUUUAAUAAGGUGGCGACUAAUAGUUGCCACUAAAAAAUCAUAUUUGGUGGCGAUAAAAUAUUGCGAUGCUAUCUUUAAUAAGGUGGCGACAAAUAAUCGCCACUAAAUGUCAUAUUUUGUGGCGAUAAAAUGUCGCCACACUAUUUUUUAUAAGGUGGUGCAACUUUUUAUACAUAUGGUGGCGACAUUACUCGCCACCAAUAUAUAAUAUUCUUGUAGUGCGACCACAUUCCAUCUUGUUGGCACGCUUUCAAGGUGGCACAAGAUGAACCCAACAAGCUUCAGAUCCAGCAAAGAAAACUCGGCGAAAAUCGGCACAAAAAAAAAAUAAUGGCGAGAAAGUAGGAAAAGGCGAGGUGGGGUUUAGGUAUGCUCGGGUUCUUCACGAACUCACGCAACCUCCUCCAAUAUAUAUAUCCGAGGUGAGAAUCUUACUUCAACACGUCAAAUCCGUGUAGAACAAGAUAGGCCUAAGAUUAUAGGCAUAAGGAUAAGGAUUAGGAUUAGGAUAAAGAUAAAAUCAAAAAAAUAAAAAAAUAAAAAAAAUAAAUCGGGUGUAUGGACCGCUCGCGCGCCACCCGCCCGGCCUGUGCGUGCGUGCGUUUAAACGAGAGCAUAACUCUUAUUUUCUCCUAAACAACUAACUUGAAAAGGAAUAUAUAUAAAUACCAUCAACACCCUUUUAGUUUCCAAUGUGGGACUAAACUUCACAUAUGAAAACUUUAGUUGGUCUCCUGAGCAAAGCCCAUUAAUAAUUAUUGGGCUCCCAAGAGGCCUAAUAAGUUUUAAAUCACAAAAAAUUUAAUAAUAUCAAAUACAUCGAUCUGCCAAAAUAUACUCUAAACCAUAGCUUACAUGAUAAACUACCCUUCUUGUUCUUUUUUUUUAAAAAAAAAAAUUUGUUAAGUAUAAGUGUAUCAAAAGGCACAUAUGCCAAAAUAUGUUCUUAGCAAGUCGUAGUUUGCAUUAAGCGAAAGUAAUAGUUUAGACCUUCACCUUUCUUAUCUUUUUUUUUAAAAAAGUUUGUUAAGUAUAACUAUAUCAAAAGGCACUUUAAAAAAUAUCAAAACUGAUAGUCCAAACGUCCCCACCAUUCAAACCCACCAAAGUUGGCAGAAGCAAAAUGCAUAUUAUAAUUUAGAGCAAGUAGACCAUCGUGUCACUCGCCAAAAUUAGUGAGACAACAAGAGUGUAGGCACAGGGAGAGAAAAGUUGUUCAGUGUAUAGGGAGCAGUAGAAGACAACCUAGAAGAUCAUCAAAAGUAUAAACAUUAGCUCCUUUGCAUUUAUAAAAAAAUGUAUAAAUAUAUAUAUAUAUAUAUUUCAAAUAAUUGCUAAAACCUUAAGCAAACCUUGGAAAUUGACGCCAAUAAUUCAGCAUAUAGGGAGCAUUAGCGGAGGACCUAGAAAAACACCAAAAGAAGCAAACCUUGAAAAUGGAGUCUAGCAGGUAGAGCUCCCUCUGUAUAGAUGAAGGCAUAUUUAUAAGCAAGUACCGAAGGGGAAUAGAGAGGGGGGAGUAGGGUAGGAUGAGAGAGGGAGGAGGAGGGAGAAUGACGGUGAAGCAGACAGAGGGGAAGGGUACUCAUCGUAGGGAAGAAACAGCGCCUACGGGUUUCGAUUGUGACUCGGCCCACCCAGCCUCAUGCCAUUUCGAACAUGACUCGGCCCAACAUGGCCUCCCGCCACAGGGCAGGAUGCUGGCCCAUUUAAGCCAACAAUCCCCCCUCCAGUACUUGCACACAUUUGCAGCAUUCGAGAAUCGAACCCGUGACCUCUGGCUCUGAUACCACUUGUCGGAUCGUUGGUGCUAACCAUUAAUCCCAAAAGCUCAAGUUGUUAGAAAUACUCAAUCAAUUCACUUAAAGCAUACAGAAACAGCGCCCACGGGUUUCGAUUGUGAAUCGGCCUACCCAGCCUCACACCAUUUCAAACAUGACUCGGCCCACCCAGCCUCACGCCAUUUCGAACAUGACUCGGCCCAACAUGGCCUCCCACCACAGGGCAGGAUGCUGGCCCAUUUUAAGCCAACAAUUGCGAUGAUUACGAUCCAUACCUAUGGGCAUCAGGCGACCAACCCCUGACGACAACGAGGAUGAUAGCGAGGAAAGAAGGAAGGGGAUGAAGCGCCAGAAGGAAUAGGAUGCCUAUCGCAAAUAAAGGGAGGAGAGGAGUACGCCGCCUCGCUGCCAUACUUUGGCACCCCCCUGACAACCCCCUGGAACAUAUGUAUGGGGAAGGAGGAAGGCCAUGGUAGAGUGCGACAACCCUUUGCGCCUUGCGGGAUUUGCGGGAAUUAUGCGUACGACAAAGGAUAUGCCUCGGUACUUGCUAGAUCUGAGCCGAUAUAGAGGAGGAAGAAAUUGGGGGUGAGAGAGAAGGAUCGCGGUGAGAGAAAAUGAAAGGAUUGAGGGUGGGAAAGAGAACAGAUCAGGAGAGGUGGGAUUGGCGACGCGUAAGCGCUCUUAGCAAUAGAUAAAGGGAACGGAUAGCGGGUGAGAGAGAGGAAACAUAUCAGGAGAAACGGGGACAUGUAACACCUCCUAAAACUCAAGCUUUUAUAUAUCUAUUGAUUGAUAAAAUUAAUAAUUUUUUAUGCAAAAAGAUAUUAUAAUUUUGAUAGAAUAAUUUAAAAUAUUUAUUUUUUUAUUUAUUUUUAAAUUUCAGAUAUUAAGCCCCGUUUGGAUACCCUUAAAAACAUAGUAUAGUUAAACUAUGCUACACCGAUAGAAAAUUUAUCCUAUAAAGCAUUUGGUAAAAAAAAAAAUACUGAAGCAUUUGGGAGAAAAAAAAGUACUGUAAUUUUGAGAGUAUAGUUUAACUAUACUCCAAAGAAUGGAGUAAAAUUAUAAUCCACUCUAACUAAAGGAAAAGAAUUCCACCAUUCUUGGGCAAAGAUGCAUCAAGUUCUAACUUUUAAAUUUCAACAUGAAAUUUUAAAUUUCAACAUAAAUUUCAAAUUUUAAAUUUUAAAUUUUAAACUUUACAAUUUAAUUUAUAUUCAAAUUUUUAAUUUCAAAUUAAAAUUUGAAUUUUAAAUUUGAAAUAUCAAAAAUUAAAUUUUAUAAUUUCAUAAUUUAAAUGUCAAAUUUUAAAUUUUAAUUAUAUAAUUUUCAAUUUUUAAUUUCUAAACUUUUUAUUGGCAAAUUUAAUUUUAUUUAAAAUUAAAAUUUAAAAUAUAAAAUUUAAAUUUCAAUAUCAAAUUUAUAAACUUCAAAAAUUUUAAAUUUUACUAAUUUUAAAUUUAAAUUUCAUAUUUUAAUUUUUCAAAUUUCAACUUUAAAUAUCAAAAUUUUAAAAUUUAAAUUUAGAUUUUUAUAUUUUUAAUUUUAAUUUUUAAAAUUUAAAAUUUAAAAUUUAAAAUUUCGGCAUAUGUCACAUGUGCAAUUUUAAAAUUCUAAAUUCAUUGAAAUUUAAAUUUAAAUUUAAACUUUGUUUUAAAAUUAUAAAGAAAUGUUCGUAAAUGGACAAUGUGCAUUUAAAUAAAGUUCGUUUAAUUUUUUUAGAUUUACAUAAUCUUCUAUUUUAUUUGAUAAAAAUCAAGAUUUAUAUUAUCAUACAUAUGAUGUAAAAGCUGAGUUUUACGGCGCCUUCGCCGGUUCGCGGCGCGCUUCGGGAUUUUUUUUUUUUUUUUUACCCUGGCCUUCUCUCUCUUUCUCUCUUUCCGGCUCACCUCUCUCUUGCGGCUUCGGUGGGCCCCCCCGCCCCACCCGGCUCUCUCUCCACCUCUCUCCCCUCUCGCCUCUUCCCCACAGCCCUCUCUCUCUUCUCUCUCUCUCUCUCUCUCAUGUUGCAGGCCCCUCCGCCGCCGCCCAUCUCUCCUUCUCUCUUCCUCUCUCUCUCUCUUCUCUCUGCGCGCACCACCGGGGCACGGGCCGUGCUGGCGAGGGGCACAGCGGGCCCCCCUCUCUUCUCUCUGCCUGUCGGGUGUUUGCGGGUCUCUCUCUUCUCGCUCUUCCACCUCUCUUCCUUUCCCUGCUCUCUCUCUCUCUCUCCCUCUCUCUUCCCCGCUCUCUCUCUCUCUCCGAUUCCUUGCCCCCCGUCUCCCAACCCCGUCCACCCUGACCCUCCCUGUUUCUUCUCUCUCCCCCUCUCUCCCUUUCCCCACCCCCCCUCUGCGCUCUCUCUCUCUUCCCACCGCUUUCUCUCGCUCCCCCCCCUUCCCCUCGGCUCUCUCUCUCUCCCCCCCUCUCCCCUCCCGCUCUCUCUCUAAAUCUACCCCCCUCUCUCCUCUCCCCACCCCCCCGGGCACCUCUCUCUCUCCGCGCGCGCGCGUUAGCGCGGGGCUGGCACACGGCCGGCGGCCGCUGGGAGCCGGAGGCUGGGGCGGGAAGCAUUGAGCUGGAGCCGGGGCGGGGGGGCUAGGCGGAAAAACCGCCCCCACACUCCGCUUCGGAGUCUAGCCGUGGUUUCACGGGGGUCCAACGGGGCGUACUUCGGCCCGGUGGACCACAUGCAGAGAGGUCACACGGUGACCGGUGGACCUCCCUCCUCUCUCUCUCUCUCUCUCUCUCUCUAUAUAUAUAUAUAUAUAUAUAUAAGUAUAACUUCUAUAUUUAUUUAUAAUUAUUAAUAUAUAUAUAUAUAAUAUCCUCACAAUAAAACAUAAAUAAAUAUAUAAUAUAUAAUAUAUAUAUAUAUAUAUAUAAUCAAUUUCAUAUAUAUAUUUAAUUAACAUAUAAUUCUCCUCUCUCUCUAUAUUUUAUUCUAUUAUUAUUUAUAAAAUAUAAUAAUUUAUUAUUAUAUUUUUAUAAUUCUCUCUCUCUUCCUAUAUAGAUAUAUACUAACAUAUAUAUUUCAUAAUUUCUAUAUAUAUAUUAUACUAAGUUUAUUUUAUAUAUAUAUAAUUUAUUAUAAUACAUAUAUAUAUAUAUAUAAUGGAGAGAGAGAGAUAGAGAGAGGAGGAGAGAUGAGAAUUAUAAAAAUUUAUUUAUAUAAAUUUUAUAAUUCUAUAUAUACUACUAUAAUUUUAUUUAAUAUAUAUACUAAAUUUAUUUAUAAACAUUAUAAUUUAUUAAUUCUUCUCUCCUCCGUCUCUCUCUCUCUCUAUAUAUAUAUAUAUACUUUGCUUUUAUAUAGAUAAUAAUAUAUUAUUAUAUAAUAAUUUAUUACAUAAUUUGCUAUUUAUUUUUAUAUAAAAUAUAAAAUAUAUAAAUAAAUAUGAAAUAAUUUAGACUAUUGUUAUUAGAUAUAAAUGUAAUUUUAGAUGUGAAGGUGAUAUAAGGUUUACACUUAUAUGUAGAUGUACAGAUAGUAUUUUUCACAUACAGAAAGUUGUACCAUUAUAUACGCAUUUAUAAUUCUUCUUUUUCCUAUUUAAUUUAGGAGAGAAGAUGAAUCUGUACAUGUGCAUCAACAUUAUUCUUUGGAUGUACCAAAUGACUAAUUCUUUUGUUUGUAGGAAUGUGUUGCGAACUUUUGUAGUAUAUUAAUCAUUUGCCACCUGAGCCAUUUUUUAAUUCUAACUUAUGAUAACCAAUUAAUCUGCUUAACUUAGGUGUAGGCUAAUAUCCGCAAAUAAAUAUGCAAUUUUUUCUUUGUUUGUUUAAUUAUUUGCUCAUUUUAUGCUGGGAAUUGCAAACCUUGUUAGUAACGUAAUACAGAAUAUAUAUACUUUGAUUUAGAUAUAUUUUAAUAUAUUUUAGUUGUUUUAUAUGCAGGCCGUAUUCGCGAUUCUCCUGUCAUGCUUGCCAAACGUCAAACUUUUAUGAAUGCAAGUGGUGAGUCUGUAAGUAGAUAUCUUUGACUCAUCCAAAUAAUGUACAACUAUCUGAAGCAAUUCUUAUUAUUAUCUUACUCCAAUUUUAUGAUGCAAAUUAGGGCUUCUUUAUGUAGGUUGGUUCGCUGGUUCCAUAUUACAAGAAACCACUGAAUCAGGUACUUCCGGUAUAUAUAUCAUAUUGUUGUUAUGCAACUAUUGAUAUUUAGUUCUUACUAUUAGUUUUUUACGGAUUUUUUGUUUUGUUACGUUGCAGAUAUAUGAUGAUUUGGAUUUACCUUUUGCAAAAUUGCGCCUACUAUAAAAUGUCAAAACUUAAAAUUUUAAUUUUUACAUUUAAAAGUAAAAUUCCAAUAUUUAAAGUUUAGUAUUUGUUUUUUUUAAAUUCAAUUUGUAGUUUAAUAUUUAAAAUAUUGAAUGUUUAAAUUUAAAAUGAAACUUACAAUUUAAAAUUGUAUAUUUUUCCUUAAUUACAAAAACUAAAUUUUAAAUUUUUUAUGUUUUAAAUUUUAAAUUUUAGUUUCUAAAUUGUAGAUUUUAAAUUUUAUACUAAAAUUAUAAGUUUUAAAAUUUUGAAAAUUAUAUAUAUUUGUUUGUUUAAUUAUUUGCUUUUUCUAUGUGUCUCAAAUAAAAAAAUAUAGUUUCUGCCAUAAGCAACAUUUUGUAUGAAUUUGCAUUAUGAAUUGUAGAUUCUAAGUUAUGAAUUCUGAAUAUUAAUUCUAAAAUUCUCGAAAUUGUUUUGUGGGAGAGCUCCUAAUGUGAAUAGGUUUUUUUCCCGCAUCAUACACAAACAUCUUUCCAGCAAGUUCAGAACUAUAGUAGCGGUGUAGCUUAUCAAUGACCAUCCUACCUAACUCCUUACCCUCUACAACUCAGUUAUCCUCAGGUUUGGCCGAAACUCGAAAAUAAGAAAUAAACUGGCUAGGACAGUUUGAACAAAGUAUAGUUAUUUUCUCUAUAUUCUUCAUGGAAUUUUGAAUUCCCUAGCUGAAUUCCUGCUUGCUGACUUAUUCGAUACAUGUAACGUUUAAAAUUUAGAAUUCGGAUCUGAACUCAAUCAGGAUAUUUGAUGCGUAUAAAAUGAUAGAAUUCAUAAUUCGAAAUUACAUCAACGAUAUUUCCGAAUUCAGAAUUAUGAAAGGUUAGAAUUACAUAAAAACAUUUAGAAUUCAGCAAAAUUUCAUACAAAAUCUAAUAUUAAAAAUUCAAAAACUGAAAUUUAAAAUGUAAAAUUGUAAACUUUUAAAAUUUAGUUUUAGUAAUUAAGAUAAAAUAUAAGAUUUUUAAAUUUUAAAUUUCAAAUUUCAAGUUUCAAUAUUUUAAAUAUAUAUUAAAUUAUAGAUUGAAUUUAAAAAAUUCAAAUAUUUAAUUCCAAAUAUUGAGAUUUCAAUUUCAUAUGUUAAAAUUUAAAUUUUAAGCUUGAACAUUUUAUAUUCUAAAUUUACAUUUAAAUUUUGGAUAAUAAAAAAUUUUAAAUUUUAAAUAUUUAAUUGUUCAUUUUGAUUUUACUUAAUUUUUAUAACCAAUUUUAGCAAACAAUGUUGAAUAAUCUAUUUAAAAAAUUUUAGAAAUUACGUAAAUUUCCCGCGGCGAAGCGCGGGCCUUCACUAGUAUUUGGUGAAGAUUUUUUACAGGCCCUAAAAAAGGUUUACACAAAUCAUCAGUGUCAGGUAUCGGCGGUAGGAGUUUACAAGUAGGAUUUUUCAUGCCAACCUGCACCUCCAACUCCGCAUUUGCCUCGUCCUCCGCCGUCGCUGCCACCUAACAUCGGGUAAAAUCCAAGGCGAAAUGCUUCUCCGUCCCCAGUUCUCCUCCCGGCGGAGGUCCACCUUCGGCCCUCAGCUCUGCGCCUUCGCCGCUGCGCUCCUCCUCCUGCUCUCUCUCACCGUCCUCCACUCCCGCCUCUCCGCCGCCCCCUCCCUUCUCUCCCUCCCCUCCGUCUUCCCCCGCCCUCCGUUCGACCCCCUCGACGACCGUAUCGACGAGCUCGACGUCCUCGACGAGGACGCCGAGCGCUCCCGCCUCCUAGGUCUCGCGGAGGAGGACGAAAUCGUCCGCACCAAUGACGCCGACGCCAACGCCGACGCCGACGCCGACUCCGACGAGUCGGACCUUCCUCUCGCCCCGCCCUCCCCCUCCGGGCUCUUCUGGGACCACGCCCUCGGCGUCGCCCGCCGCCCUUUCGGACGCCCCGCGACCGGUGCGUGGUGGGGAGACGACGCCCUGCCGAACGAGCUCCGGCAGGCAGAACGCAGCCGGAUCGCUUUUGGAUCUGAUGACGAGCCGGUCGACGAGGACGUACGACUCAAGCUCAGCCUGAUCAAGCGGAUAGAGGACGUCCUGCUGCUCAAGGUCGGGGGCGGGGGAGAUUCCGUGCUGCGGGAGGGGUGGGCGCGGUGGCUGGAGGGGAAGGGGGAUUUCCUCCGGCGCGACAGGAUGCUCCGCUCCGACCUCGAGCUGCUGAACCCUAAGAACCAUCCUCUGCUCCAGGAUCCUGACGGGCCUGCGCUCACGGCGCUCACCAAGGGAGACCUGCUGAUGCAGAAGGCCCUCUUCAAGGAAAUGGAAAAGAUCCCGUUUGUAAAGGGAGGUGCUAGGGAUGUCAAAGGAUCUGAGAGGCGAAGUCUGCAUUCGGACGGAAAGGAGGAAGAGAAGAAUGAGAUAGCUCCCAAGGAGAGGGAAGAACGUGAGGUGGGGAGGAACAAAAUGGCUGUGCAGAAAGGGGACGCGGAAGAGAAGGAGAUUCGUGAUGUCACUGAUGGCUGGAGAUGGGGUUACUUUCCUGGCUUAGACCGGCAUCUCAAGUUCUCUGAGUUCAUGGAUCGGUUUCUGGGGGAUGGUCGGUGCUCAAUGAGGAUCUUCAUGGUUUGGAACAGCCCGCCGUGGACAUAUGGUGUGCGGCACAAGCGGGGUCUGGAAAGCCUUCUCCGGCAUCAUAAGGAUGCGUGCGUUGUUGUGUUUUCAGAGACCAUAGAGCUGGAUUUCUUCCGAGAGUUCGUCAAGGAUGGGUACUACUUCUCUAAGUCUCCAAAGCCUGUUCUUUUUGUCAUUUCAAAAGUGAUUGCAAGCUUGUCAUAUUAAUGGAUAAAAUAGCAGAACUUCGACUUCCAAGGUAAAUUGUAGAGAUAGAAUGGGUAAACAAGUGUUUAAGAUUGGUCAACUUUGCCAUUUAAAUGCUCAAUUAUUUCGAAGGAAGUUGUUAGCUUGUAAGUUACUAUAUACAUUAGCAGAAUAGUUUGUUUCUUCGACUUCCGAGGGUAAUUGCGGUGAUAGGAUAUGGGUACAAAAGUGUGUAGAAUAGGGUAAAAGUUUUGUUUUUCGUUUCUUUAGUUGCUAAUUUAACCUGUGCUAUUCCCAUGAACAGAGCAUCUGGGUGCUCAUCUGUGUUUUUUUGUUUUCUUCUUUCUAUGGUUUACCAUGUUAGACUAAAUAGAGUUUAGGAGUUUGUUUGGUCAUGCUAUUCGCUAUAAUUUUUAAAUAUCUAGUUUCUGCCAUGUCAUUUUGUUUUAUCCUAAUUAAGUUGUCACAGAAUAUAAAUGGUGGAGUUUUGGUUGCUUCGCCAAGAUUGUUUGCCCCUCUUAGCAUAGUUGCAAUUCAGAGUGAGUAGAAACAUUAGCUCUUCCAUUGAUUAUGAUGUCACUGAGUAGAUUUGUCUCCUAACCGUAACCUCAUUCCUUGAAAACAACUUUCUCCCAGAAAGGUCUAAAGUUGUCUGUCAUUGAAAGAGAUCCGGAAUUUAGCCCAUGGCUUAGCGGCGGAUGUUUUAAUGUUACCACCGAUGUAAGGGGAACUAAUGCUUCUACUCUUUCCUAAAAUUGAUUUAUUGUUGUGUUGAAUCUAUGCCAAUCCAAACGCCCCCUUAGUGUUGCUGACUUGUUAUCCAUUGUGUAUUGCUUCAACUCUGAAAAACUUCACAUUACCUAGUUUGGCUAUGCUGUUCGUUUCUGCAGUUGAUGUUUUUCAGAAAUCUUGUGAAAUGACAUUUCAAAUUUUUUAUGUUUCAUAAGAUUUGAUUGCCUUCUAGUUGAUGGUUUGAUAUCAGACUUGGGGAAACCACACAAGCUAUAUUAGAUAUUUUCAAUCGAUUUAGACAAGUGAACCUAUAUAAGCAUAUAUAUUAAAGCGUCAUGUCAACAAGGUGUCAUUCUCAUUCACCAACCUUGCUGCCUCUUUGAACAGAUUUAGAGUUGCUGUUGCUGUACCAAAUCUUGGUGAACUUUUGGAUGACACUCCAACCCACAUUUUUGCAUCUGUGUGGUUUGAAUGGAGGAAGACAAAGCAUUACCCAAUACAUUAUAGUGAGCUAAUACGUCUUGCUGCUCUAUACAAGUAAGUUUUUGUUUCUUUUUAAAUUAAUUUUUUACUCAGAAUGUUAGUAUCUGAUACUUGUAGUGGACUCUUUUUCCUUGAUAUGUUACUCAUUUUGUAUUUUAAUAAUUUUCAGCUAAUAAUAUAUUUUCUUUUCAUUGUAAACAUUUCUUCGAAUUAUCUAGAGAUCCUAGUUAUGGUUUUUAAUGGGAUUGAUGAUUUUUUGUGUUGGCGCAUUGUCGAAGAGGAGCAUUUUCUCAAUGAUCUUGUCUGUAUAUUAGAAAUAUAAACAUGGAACCAUUUGGUAAUGAUCCUUGUGUGGGUGAAAUGGCACCUAGAGUUUAAUAUUAUUAUGACCUGUAGUUAUGCAUCUAUUGAUACCAUUACCUUGGAAUAUCUCGGAACCUAUAACAUGUCUAUGGACAUUUAAUUUUGCAGAAAAGGUUAAAAGAAAUCUACUUAUGUUAAGUAUGUGCUUCUUUGUGUGGUCAGGAAAGGAUAGAACAAUUAAUGAUUGAAAUCUGGUUUUUCAGAUAAAAGGGAAUAUUUUAACCUAGAUGUCGCUAUAGGAUCUAUCAUGCCCUGGGUUGCAGCGGAAGCUUCCCGUGUGACACCCCUAGGAUUUGGAAUAAUUCUAUAUAUGAGAUAUAAUAGGCUAAAUUUCUUUACCCGGCUAUAGCAUUUUGGGCGAUGGCUAGAUCUAAGAGGUUGAGAAGGUUAAGCGUAUUAGAGCUAGUCUUAGGAUGGGUGAUCCCCUGAAAAGUGGGGCGUUAUUGUUGGUAUCAGAGUCAAUCACCGGCCGGAAGUGUGAGAUGAUUCUUGGUUGAGUUAGGAUCAUAUAGUGGGAAGAGUGCGGCUUCCCUGCUGAUGACCUUUGUGGGUGGAGUGUGACUCCCCAUAAGGCGGAAGGUUAACGAGACGAGUCUCAUAUUGCUUGGUGCUUGUGAGUGUACUUGCGUCUGACAAGGACGUCAAGACUUAAAGUGCGCAGGAAUAUGAGAUCGUUAGGAUUUGGAAAAAUCCGAUAUAUGAGAUAUAAUAGGGCUAAAUUUUUUAUUCUAGUUAUACCAUUUUGGAUAAUAGGUAGGCCUAAGAGGCUAAGAAGGUUAAGGGUGUUAGGGUUAGAGUAGUCCUAGGAUAGGUGACCCUUUGGGAAGCUGGGCAUCACAUCCCGAAAGUGUUAACAGUUUCGCAAACUUGAAGGUUUCUAACACUGUUUAGACCACUAGAGUUUAGGUACUUAAACUCCUAGUGCUGGUGCUCCAACCCUAGUACAUGUACUCUUUAGGAAGUACCUCGAAAUCCGAAGGCUUCUUGGCUGAUUGUCAUGCUGAGUACUGGUACUCCAAAAUAUGAGUCCGAAACUUCACGCAUCUAGACUGUUUUGUUGUUUUGAUUCUGAAACUUUGUUUUCAUGUCUAUUUUGCGCCAAGACCAAUCCAACUAAUUUUGACCUUCUUUAAAACCUUCUAAAUAGUAUCAAAUACUAUUUCAUAUUGUGUGAGACCCCCAGGUAGUCCUAUAUAUAUGAUAUAAUAGGGCAAAUACUCUUAACCCGGCUUAAGUAUUUUGGGUGGUGGCUAGGCCCAAGAGGUUAAGAGAGUUAAGCAUAAUAGGACAGGAAUAGUCCUAGGAUGGGUGACCCCCUGGGAAGUUGGGGCGUCACAUUUGGUAUCAAAGCCAAUCACUAGCCGGAAGUGUGAGAUGAGUCUCGGCUGAGCCAGAAUUAUUCAGCGGGGAGAGCGAGGCUCUCAUGCUGUUUACUGUUGUGGGUAGAGCGCGACUCCCCCACAAGGUUGGUUUAGGCUAACGAGACGAGUCUUACAUCGCCUGAUAAUUGUGAGUCUGAGCCUGGUGAGGACGUCAGGGCUUAAAAGGGAAAGAAUGUGAGACCCUGGGUAGUCCUUUAUAUAUAUAUAUAUAUAUGAUAUAAUAGGGCUAAUACUCUUAACCCGGCUUAAGUAUUUUCGAUGGUGGCUAGGCCCAAGAGGUUAAGAGAGUUAAGCGUGCUAGGAUGGGAGUAGUCCUAGGAUGGGUGAACCCCUGGGAAGUUGGGGUGUCACAUAUUGGAACUCUACUAAUUUGUAAAAGGUCAGUAUACUACCUUCUCUUCUGCAAAAAGUUUAGCUCGCAAAGCUUAAAAUCCAUAUCUCAAGUUGAAUCCUCAAACAUAUGAGGGAAACGCUCGAACAUCGUGCUCUCAAGCUCCUAGGUUGCCUUAUGCAUCUCAUAGUUGUUUCAUAACAGCUUCAUGUAGGGGAUAGUUCUAUUCUGGAGCUUUUUCUCUUCUCGAGCGAGAAGAUGAACGCUUUUCAAAACUCAAAUUCUCUCGUAGUUCCAACUGGGCGAAGUGGAUGAUAUGGGAGGGAUCAUGCGAAGUGGAUGAUGUGAGAACUAAACGGGAAAAUUUAUAUGGAACAACUGGUUAAUUUUGUCGUUGAAGGCCAAGCGUAAGGUUUGUAGAUUUCAACGUUCUACUUAUAGCCUAAAGCAAUGGUUGCAACAAUGGUAUCUAAAAUUCCUGUAUACAAUUAUCUUCAAUGGUUUUGAGAUGAUCGAUAGAAAAAACUCUAUUUAUAUCAUGUGGCCUGUAAAAAAUUUCACUAUCUUAUUGCUGUAUGUCAAUGAUAUACUACUGAUUUGAAAUGAAAUAAAUUUGAUGAUGGUGUCUAAGGAGUGGAUUUCCGUCAAUUUUGUAUUGGACCUGGGAGAGGCCAACUAUGUGCCCUAAGUUGAAAAUUUGUACGGAUUGUUAAGAUUUACAUAAAGGAAAUUUUAGAAUGAUUCAAAAUGCUUAACUUUUAAGCCCAUUGAUAUUUCGAUCGGUUAAGGUGAAUAGCUUAACCUUGAAAUGUGUCCAAGGGGUGAAAAAAGGAGAAAAGAACAAAUGUCCCUUAUUCCAGUGCCGUGGGUAGCUUUAUAUAUGCCGUGAUGUGUAAUGGGUGUGACAUAUGUUAUAUACUACGAUUGAUUAGCCAAUGUCAAGUGAAACCUAUUAGCUCUUUGGAAAGAUCUCAAGUGGAUAUGUUUUUAUUAUCCGACAACCAAUUAAUUAUAUGCAUAGCUAUCAAGGAAGUGAUUUGUGAUCAAAGGGUUACUUGGAUGUUGAUUCAGCUGGAGACUUGGAUAAGUGAAAAUCAACUUUCUGCUAUGCGUUCUUGCUCUCUCGUGAUGCUAUUUUGUGGAGUAGCAAGAAGCAACCCUAUAGCAGUGUAGGUGGCUUCUUGGUUGAGAUUUUUGUGAAAUCGUAAACUUGUCACUCAUAACAUUGGGCCUGUAGUGCAUUGGUAGCGUAAACUAGGAUGAGGUCCACUAGUAGUGUUAAUCGAUUUUAGAUGUUAUACACCAUCUAUAGUGAACUCUUAGAAUGCCAAACGCAGCUAACUUAUUUUUAUCACCAUAAGGAACGUAAGAUGCACCCAAAUGGUGUUUCAAAAUGUGAUAUGUGAUACCCAUGCGGUUACCCAUUGCAUAGUGCAUAUGCGGUAUACAUGCGCAUAUGUGGCCCAGCAAUUAAAAUAUUAAAAGUAUUGUGGCGUCUCUCUUCCCAGGGGAGUCACCCAUCCUAGAAUUACUCUAGCCCUAACACACUUAACCCUCUUAACUUCUUGGGCUUGGCCACCGUCCAGAAUGCUAUAAUCGGCUUACUAUUUUUUGUCACCAUAAGGAACACAAGAUCUGCCCAAAUGGUGUUUCAAAAUGCGAUAUGUGGUACCCAUGCGGUUACUCACCACAUAGUGCAUAACUGCAUAUGCGGUAUGCGGUAUACGGGCGCAUAUGUGGCCCCUAUUAAAAUAUUAAGAGUAUUGUGAUGCCUUGCUUCCCAGGGGAGUCACCCAUCCUAGAAUUACUUUAGCCCUAACACACUUAGCCCUCUAAACCUCUUGAGCUUGGCCGCCGCCCAAAAUGCUAUAACCAGGUUAAAAGGUUUAGCUUUAUUGUAUUCUAUAUAUAUGACUAUUUGAAAUCUUGCGAGUGCCACAUUCCUUCUCUCUUUAAACCCUAACGAGGACGUCAGGCUCAAGCACACACAAGCACCAGGCAAUGUGAGACUCGUCUCACUAGCUUUAGCGGCCUUGUGAGGAGCCGCGCUUCACCCAUAACGGUUGUCAGCUGGAGAGUUGCACUCUACUUGCUGUAUGAGCCUAACUCAGUCGAGACUCAUCUCACACUUCUAGCUGGUGAUUAGCUCUGAUACCAGCUGUGAUGCCCCGCUUUCUAAGGGGGUGUCAUCCAAGAACUACUCUGGCUCUAACAUGCUUACCCUCUUAACCUCUUAGGCUUAGCCAUUGCCUAAAAUGCUAUAGCCGGAUUAAGUGGUUUAGCCCUAUUAUAUCCUAUAUAUAGGACUAUUUCAAAUCCUGGGAGUGUCAUAAGUAUUUAUUGGUAUUAAAAAGAUAUAUAGACACUUCAUAGCAAAGCUAAAUAAUUAAAGUAACAAUUCGGAGUUCACAAAUUGAAAUAAUUAAUUUCAAGCUUAGGACUUGGUACGCAUACAUGUACCGCUAAACUAAUAAUUAACAAUUUACUCUUAAUUAUUAAAUAGUGAAAUAAAUAGAAUUUCAAUGUAAAAUCAUAAAAAUGUCAAAACAAAAAACAAGUAUGUCAAAACAAAAAACAAGUGUCUAAAAAUAGUAUGCUAAACUUCUAUGAAGAAUAAUAAUUUUCUCAAUAAAUUGUCAUUCACGCCAUACAAGGCAACACCUAAAAAAAAAUAUAUAGUAUGAUAAUACCUAAAAAGUAACAACUAUAAAAUUAUUCACUGAUAUUUAUAAACAUAGUUAUUAGAUAUAUUAAGAAUAAUACCUAUGAAAAUAAAAGGAAGAUAGUUUGGUUAUCUUUAUAUAAGAUUAAUGCAUUUAUAUACCUUAUUAUUUGCGAAACUUGAAUGAAAAUGGUCGUAUACUUAUAAUCAUUAAACAAACAAUCGUGUUCAACAUGGCGUUUCAAUCCCACCUUAACACUAACGCAUAUGCGGCCGCAUAUAUGGUUGCCUGUCGCAUAUGUAGCUGUAUGUAGGCCGCAUAUGCGGUCUGACCGCAUACUACACCGCAUGUUACAUACACGGUACUGUUGAUGAUCCGAACCGCAUGUAGAUCGCUUUUUGGAAUAAUGCACCCAAGUCAAUCACUCAAAAUGACUGGAUUGAUAUUUGUAUGUCGUUAAUUAGACAGUUCAUAUACAGUCUAUUGAGAGAAUGAUUGAGCCUGUCGUAGCAUGUAUUUCAUACUACUUGUGCUUUACGACUAUUGAAGGAGUAAGAGAAUGGAUUUUGCUUCCUCAUCUUGUGUGUUCUUUGAUAUCUUUUAAGCUCCCCUUUUGCCUAUGUGACUAUUUGGAGUAGAUUAUAAGAUGAAGAACCAAUCAUCGCUACUUUAGCUUUGUUGUUAAAGGACGAUGAAUGAUGCGGUCUGGCAGAACAUGCCAAGGAAGGUAAUUGGUUUGAUAUGAGUGGCAUGAGGUUGCAGGGACGAUUAUUUAAGACUUUAAUAUUCUUUUAUUCAUGGGUUGACCAGCGGUGCCACUUAUUUGAAGUCUAACAUAAUUGUAAAAGUAUAUAGAAGUGAUAUGACAGGGCAAGCAUGGCUUCUUGAGGGAUUAAAGGUGCUGAACUCGAUAUACAAGACACUAAAAGGUUGAUGGCUCUAUACUGGCCUAUUUAGGCUUCUGUUUGAGCUCCCUGCUUUUGCAAAGUGCUCGUUGGUCAUGCAGCUUAUUAGCUUGUAUGAAUUCUCAUUAGUGAGAUACUAGUCCCUUGUUUUGUGAAGAGAGGGUGGUCUCCUUGCUAUGUGCAAGGGGCAGAUGUUGGAUAUUGGAUUAGGCAUUGUAGAGGGAAUAUUGCAUAAAGAAGGGGAAGCCUUGUAGUCUAGGACAAGGAAUUGUAGUCAUCUGGGAGAAAGUAAUCAAGAAUCAUAUUUAGCUUACAUUUGUAAUUAUUGGCGAAGACUUUUCCGGCCACAAUAUAUGGACUCUUUUUUCUUUCUGUGUUUGCCUAACUUCAUAUUUCACUGGAAAAUUUCCUUCUUCCCUAUAAGUUAGUAGGUUGUUUUUGCGGCAUAUUGGAGCCUUAUUGUUGUUGAUCAAAUUUAAUGGAUUGAUGAAGCUGGUGUUAAUAUUUGUCUCCUUCCUUUAAUAGUACACUAUAAAUUGAUUCUUAAAAUUUGCAUGAAUCAUGUGACUAAGGGAUUCUUACCCUGAAAUCUAUUCUUGUUAAUGAGAAAAUCUGUCCUUUCAAUUUUUUCGUGUAUUAAGAGAUGGGUCAUAAGUAUAUUAUGAAAAUCUGUUAGUUUAUCUGUUGAACUGCUGCUAGAAUAUUUAGAUUCUAAGAUAAUUAAGAUCUUUGGACUCUAGUUCUGACCCUACCUUAUCUGAGAAACUUAGUUUCUUUUUUAUGGCUGAAUUAUUUUUACUAAGUUUUUGUUUGAUUCGUUCUAUUUCCUGUCUGCUUAGAUAGUUUUCCCUAGCUGUUGAGCUGGAAUCUAUUAUGUGCGUCUAAACCUGAAAAUACAGAUAGCUUUAGAUUAAUUAUGCUGACGUGUUUAAUGUCAGCACGAACUGCAGGCCCUCGACUAGACAAUGAGAUCUUUGUGUCUUUUGUGUAACAAUAUUUGUAUACUUUGUUUUCUCCUGAAGUAGCCUAUGAGAACAUGUACUUUAAGUUGUUUGUUAACAUCUAACUGUCGAUAUCCUUUUCCUUUCUAAAAUUGUUUCUGAAAUGGAAUGAAUAUUGUUAAACACUUAUUUUUUUUAUUGUACUUUAAUUUUUAUUUUUCCUCGUAUGUUUAUUAACUUUUACACAAAGAAUAUCAUUAAUAACUUUUACACAAAGAACAUCUAACUGUCAAGGAAAACAAUGUUUUUUCUGUUUAAAUAUUUUCUAUUUUACUUCUUAUGAGUUAUAUAGUUCUAUGUCGUAAUAUGCACGCGUGGACUUCUAUCUAAAAUUGCAGGUAUGGUGGUAUCUAUCUUGACUCCGAUGUUAUAGUUCUAAAUCCGUUACAAUCACUCCAAAAUUCUGUUGGAGUUGCAGACAUUAUUGAUGGGAACUCAACCUUUACUGGUGCGGUGAUGGCAUUUGAAAAGCACAGGUACUGUUACAGCAUCCGACAAGAUGUUUUCUUUUUACAAUCAGUCAAUUGAGGUGUGCCUCUUUUUAUUUUUCAAGUUCAGUAAUGGGCUUGCACCUUCUCUUUUUAAUUUUGAUUAUAUCUCGGAUAUUUUUUGCAGUAAUUUCCUUAUGGAGUGCCUAAAAGAAUUUUAUUCAACAUAUGAUGAUACCCUUUUGAAGUAUAAUGGAGCUGAUCUGGUCACAAGAGUACUAAACAGGUUUUCCACCAAAGCAGAUAAAGGCUAUGGACAGCUGAAUAUAAAGAUAGAACCUCCUUUUGUAUUUUACCCAAUUAGUCCAAUAAAUAUCACAAGGUAUGCUAUCCGUACUGUUAUCUUGUUGAAUCUUCCAACUCCAUUACUUUAGCAUCUUGAUGCCAGUCUGCAUGCAUAUUUCUGAUAAUUUGACCUAAUUUUGAGUAGUGAUGACCAUUUUAGUUGUUGUUGGUCCUGUUUGUUCAUCUCUGGGUGAAAAUAAAUCACAAUGCCAGUUUUUCUUUUGAAUCCAAGAGUUGAAGGAUGAAUUAUGACAAAAUGCAGCUGAGAAUGAUCUUAAAUGUCUACUUGAGAAUGGUCUUAAUUGCCUACUAAUAUUGAGAGUAUCAGGCAUCUCUAUUUGUCUGUUUAGUACAACUUAAAACUACAUGAUUCAAACUUUGGCAUCUUAACGCUAGCCUGUAUGCAUAUUUCUAGUAGCUUAAAAGAGUUAAUUAUUACUUAUGAAGGCCUUUCAAGCUGUUAUUGGCCCUAUUUGUUCAUCUCUGGAUGGAAAUAAAUCAGGAUGCCAGCUGUUCUUUUGAACUUGAGAGUUGAAGGAUGAAUUAUGAUAAAUGGCAGCUGAGAAUGGGUUUAAUAUGUCUUCUAAUAUUGAGAUUAUCAGGCAUAUCUAUUUGUUUGUUUGGCACAUUGAAAGCUACAUAUGAUUCAAACUUAGGGAUAGCGGACAGCAGAUUCCAGGAGACAAAGAUAUUGUCCUUUUAAAUACAAAAGGCAUGCGUCUUUAAAACUUUUUCUUUCUCUUUACUCAUCCUUGGAGCAUUUGCUCACUGUGCUGGACAUGCUUCCUUCUUUACUCAAAUUGCUACGAGGAACCUAUCUAACUAUCACAAAGGCACAGUUCUGUCAACUGCAUGGUCUCGAGAACACUCAGUAAUAUGGAAUCCUGGAUAUUGAUUUUGUGCAGGUACUUUGCAGAACCAGUUGAUGAAUUUGAAAGAGUGCAGCAAGAUGGUUUUUAUGCAAAGAUGAUGAAUGAAUCAGUUACGUUUCAUCUCUGGAAUAGCAUUACGUCUGCGCUGGUCCCUGAACCCAAUAGUCUUGUGGAUAGGAUCUUAAAUCACUAUUGUCUCUAUUGCCGUGAUGUUCUGUAAUGGAGCGAGGAGGAAAAUUCUGAAGUUUCAUUCAGUAGAAGCUGUCCUUUAUCAAAGAGACACAGAGGCACUGCUAUGGGGAGUCAACUUGAAACUUGGGUUUAAACCAUACAAAUUAGUAAUUAUAUCAUGCACCUAAAGGAUCUCUAGUUGUGAGGAUCAUUGUAACUGGUUAUGAGUCACACUAUAGGCCCCAGAUACAGAAAUAAGCAAUUUUACAUAAAAGGAUUCAUGAAUCCAAAAACAUAUACAUAGCAUCUGCUAAUACGAAGGACCCCGCAGAGGCUUCAUUUAUUUAGAUUCAUUUUUAAAACAUAUAUAUGCUAGGAGGAGCACAAGGCGGUGCAGACUUCUUCAGAGUUCCAACUUGAGUACAAGUGAUGAAGGCCUCGUAUGAUAUUGAUUUCUGGAUAAAAUAUGCUCUGACCACUGUAAUAGUAAUUUUGUGGAACCUCACUAAGAAAAGUUUGAUGUCUUCCUAUUCUUUGAGUUGAGAGUGGUUGCUCUGGUAUGAUUAUAUGAAGUUUCUUGUGAUGGAUAUGUGGGAAAGUUUACCUGUUAUACUGGCUCUAGAACAUUUUUAUAUAUUUUGUUCACUUCACCUUGUGCAAAUUUAGACUUGCUCUUUGGGAAGGUUGCUUAUCAACUAGUGAAUUUCAUAUACAUUUACCUCUUUCAAGUAUUUUGUUUUUUUAGCUAUUUCUCUAUGAAAGAAUGUUUUUUUAAGCUAUGAAGAUACAUGGUAAUAGCAAGAAUAACUGUGCUUUCGUAGUAAAAGUUGUCUUUUCGAGAUCUCCUUCAAAUGGUGAUUCUAUUAAUACAUUUGUAGCUGUUUAACUAAUGCGAGAAUGUGUUUUUCGUUAUGAAGAUACAUGGUUAUAAUAAGAGUACAAUGUGGUUCAGUAAUUUGUAUAAUUACUUGGUAUACCUUAAAUCGCACUUUCUGCCAAGAUUUUUUAUUUCUAAAGAAGGAUUAUUGGCGAUGAUUCUUCUAUGUGAUUUCUUGAUCGUGUGAUUCUUCUUUGUGAUUUCUUGUUCACGAUCGGCAAAAGAGUAGAAUAUUUCAGUUUAUUCCUUAAUCUUCGGGGAUGUAGCCAUCACAGGAACAAAAUUGGAAUUAGGAUUAGAUAGGAACUUUCAUUUUAUAUAUAUAUAUAUAUAUUGCAGAACUACUAUACUUUCGGAAGUAUAAAAGACUUUUUGGCCCUUUGAUCUCUUUUGACUAUUUUUGACCUUUGGGGCUCUUGGAUCCCCUUUGUUUAUUUCUGAUCUUUGAAUUAAUUAAUAUUAUUAUCUUAGGGGACCAUUCAAUCCUAGUAGGAUCACUCAACUCUAAGGAUAGGGGUGUAAAACGGGCCGCUCGGCCUGUCGGCCACCUCGUCCGGCACAAUUGCGGGCCAGGUUGUGGCCUGACAUGGCUAUUGUAGCAUCCGUGUUGGGCCGGGUCGGGUCGGCCGUGCUGGGCCGAGCUUUUGCAGCCCGUAAGCACGGCUCGUUUCAGCUGUCUCGCCCGGGCCGUGCCAGGCCAGAAGGCCAGGCCGGCAUAACCCAGGUACCACUAGGCCUGUAUAAGUCUUAAUUUUAAAAUUAUAGGCCUGGCUAAGCCAGCCCGGGCCUAUAUAAAUUAGGGCUUGGUAAAGUAAAUUAGGGCUGCCCCUUCACCCAAGUCCAAGGGGCUGGCAGACCCUUGGAGGGUGGGCCCAACGGUUCUUAAGCCGUUGGGUGUUUUUAUUUUUUAUUUUAUUUUUAUUUUUUCAAAAAAGGUAAAAAAAUUAAAAAGAUUUUUUUUUUUAUCAAAAUGACCGCAAUGCCCUUACUAACAUUAAAAAAUUUGACUGUUAGAGAGGAUAUUUUAGUUCAAAAUUUAAAAAUAUUUUUUAUAUUUUUUAAAAAAUUAAAUUAAUUUUUCUCUACAUCUAUAAAUAUUCCUACAAAUCUCCAAAUUCAUUACAACAAAUAAUUUUUCAUUCAUUUUCUUCUACAUAUACUAAUUCUUUCUACUCUUAAACUUUCAAUCUAAAAUUUUCACUCUCGAGUUUGCUCUACAAAUAUUUUUAAUUUUUUCCAACAACUUUUUUUUUUUACAGAGUCUCUCCACAAUCUCACCACACAAAAAUUCAAUUUCAACACAAUAAUUAAUCUCUUAGUAUUUUAUUUUUUAAUUUUUAAAUAUUUAUUUAAUUAUUUUCAGUAUUAUUGUGUUUAUUUUUUAUAACAAUGUCGGAUGAAUUUUUUCAUAUAAAUUUUUCUUGCACUGAUUAUACUCCUGAGUAUUAUGUGAGUAAUUAAUAAAAAACUGUAGCCAGUGGCUUUUCACAAGAUGACGAUGGCUCACAAACUAAACAAAAUUUAGAUGUAAGUUCUAAAAACGGGUCUAAAUGAAGAACAAACAAAGUAUGGAAAUACUUCAAUAUCAAAGAAAUUGAAGAAGAAGACAUGUGAGUGGGGUUUAUUAUUCUUGUGACAGUUCUGCUGGAACAUGUCAUUUUAAUAGACAUAUUCAAAAACGUCAGGUAAAAGAAGGUAAAGAGACAAAAUAAUUACAACUUGCUUUUACUUCCAAUGGAAUUAGCAUAUUUCAAUAUUCUCAUAAACGUAAUAGAAGAGAAUUUGCAUUAUAUAUUGUAGGAGCUGAGCAACUAUAUGCAUUUGCUGAAUGUCUAUAUUUUGAACAUUAUGUGAAAAUAAUUUUGAAUCCUGUAUAUAAAAAACUUCUCAAAAUACUAGUUGCAAAAGCUCAAUAAAAAAAUUUCUUGAAUAUAGACAAAAUUUGAUUUCAAUUUUAGAAAAUUUGAAUUAAAAAAUUUCAGUCACUUAUGAUAGUUGGACAUCAAGAAAUGAACGUAGUUUUAUAUAUGUUAUUGCACAUUGGAUUGAUUCUAAUUAGAUAUUACAAAAACAAAUUAUUGGUUUUCAAGAACUUGAGUUUUUACAUACUGGUAUUCAAAUUGGUCAAGCUAUGGAAAAUAUUUUGCAAGUUUAUAAAAUUAACCAAAAUUUUUCUUUCAAUUAGUUUGGAUAAUGCUAACAAUAAAAGAACUGUAGUUCAAAAUUUGAAAAAUAAUUUGCUUUUCUUCUUAAAUGAAAAAUUAUUUCAUAAUAAAUAUGCAUGUCAUAUUAUAAAUUGGGGCAAUUUGUAUGCACACGAGAGAUUAAAAAUAAUUAAUCCACAAAUAAAAAAAAAUUUAAAGAUUGUAUUAUGAUUGUUAGGAUUCGUCCACAUUGGGACUUAUCUAAAAGAAUUCUAAUCCACAUGGGAUAAGAAAUAAAUCUAAGAGACAAAUCCUAUUUUGUUUAAAAUCUAUAUCUAUGUAAGAUUCAGUUAGAAUGUGAUUAGCAUUAACGUCUUCUUUAUGGCUUAUAAAUAUAUGAGGUAUUGGCCAUAUACAAUAUACAAGAAAAAUUAGCAUAAUCUCUCCACCGAAAUUCUCUCUAUUGGGUUCGCUCUAGGGCAUGAUCAAAAACCCCGGGGAGUCGGGCGGUGUGCUGAGAUCGACUUUGGUAGCCGGUUCGUAACGAGAAACAACAACAUGCAAGAGAUUGAGACAGAUUCUUAGCAGAUCAAGGAGUUUGUAAAACAAGACGCUAUCAAGUCAUGGUAAUCAUAAUAUAAUUCCAUCGCAUAAAAGGUAUGUAAAAUGUGAUUUUUGCUCUUUGAUUUGGAUAUUAAUUUUUUUGUACAACAUGUUUAUUCACAGUUCUGAUUCAAGAAAGCAAGAUUUUAAAAGUUUAUGUAGAUAAUUGGGCCAAAAGUAUAAACAAUUUAUUUUUGAUGUUCAACACCAAUAGAAUUCCACAUAUAAAAUAUUACAAUAUUGUUAUGAGUAUAGAAAUAUUUUAUCUAUUUUUUAUAAUAAAAAAAUACAGCAUAAUCCCAUUACUAAUGAAGAAUGGGACAUUGGACAAAUUCUUAUGACUUUUUUGCAGCCAUUCUAAGAGUCAACCAAACUUUUGUCAGGUAUGUAUUAUCCUUCUUAAUCAAAUUUUAUUUAUGAGUAGUCAUUUUGCUAAAUAUAGGAAUUAUUCUCUUUUAGGUCAAAUUAUUUUAAUAAUGAAAUCUAAAUUUAAAGAAUAUUGGGAAGAAAUUCCCAUUGUAUUUCUUUUGGCCUUUGUAAUGGAUCCUAGAAUUAAAUUAAAUGGAGUAGAAAUUGCUCUUAUAAAAUAUAAUAAAAUUUGGAAAUUAAUUCAACAAAUUAUUCAAAUAUGGAAAGUAUUUUUCAAAUAAUAAAUAGUUGUUUAUGUGAAACGUAUAGUAUUUAUGCAACUGCUUCAGGUAGUAAGCGACUAUGUUCUUCAUAGUUACAAAGCAGUAGUGGUAGUAACAGUGGUAAAACUAGUAAAAAUAUGAUUUUAUCUUUUGUAAGGAAAAAAAAACAAAUGAAUUUUAAUGCACCUUCUUUUAAUGAACCUUAGUUUUACUUGCGAGCCAAUUUUUUAAAUUUUUUUAACAAAAAUGAAUAAGAUAAAUUAAUAUUUUAGCUUGGUGGAAAACAUAAGAAAGUACAUAUUCUGUGUUUUCUGCUAUGUCACAUGAUCUACUAAUUGUGCAGGUUUCGACAAUGGCAUUAGAGUCUGCUUUUAGUAUAGGUGGAAGAAUAUUAGAUGAUUAUAAAACCCGGUUUAAGAAGAAUGCGGUUGAGAUUUUAGUAUGCUUAAGAGAUUGGUGAGCUACAGAAUUAAGAAUACAAGACAAAGGAGGUUAUGAGUCUACAUCUUCAGUUGAAAUAGAAUCAACUAUCUAAAAGUACACCACUACUUGCGGCAUUCUAGAGUGCAAUCUUCCUGACCUCCUCGCUAUCACCUAUUACUCGUUGCAUCUUUCCUUUUUUAUCUGGUACCUCUAUUUAGUAGCCAGGUGUCUUUUUUUCUAAGUAAAAGAAAUGAUGUAAUGUAGAAAAAAUUUUGUUGAUUUUUUUUUUCUAUUGUUUGCUAGUUGGUUGUAUAAACAAUACCAUUUUAUUUUAAAUAUAUUUUUGAUUUUUUAGAUCUUUAUACUUUCCUCCAAUGUAAUUACGUAAUACGAUUAAUUCAAAAUUUGUAUAUUUUCUGUAAUUUUUUUAGAAUAUCAAUUUCUCUUCAAAUAAUAAAAAAUUAUGAAAAAAAUAAUAUUAAUUUUAUAUUAAAGUUGGUUAUUGGAUCAAAGAGAUGUAAAUUAAAACAUUUAUAUUAAAAAUAUAUACAUUGAAAAGUUAAAAUUAUUGAUCUCUAAGUUUUAAAUUUUAUAUAAUAUUAAUUAAUAAUAUUAAAAAGUUAAAUUCAUUGUUACCAUUUUAUAUUUUUUUAAGAUUUAUAAAAUUUUUAAAAGAGUUAUAAAAAAUUUGGAUAUAAUUAUGUAAAUUAAAAACUAUAAAUCAAAAAGAUUAAAUUUAUCAUAGAACCGGUGAUUUCAAAAACUGAAUGGAGGUAUGGUCCAAGAAGGUCUCGAUGUUUCGGAGUCUAUGCUCACUACCCUGAGCACACACGAUGCUUGAGGAAUGCAGAAAAGCAACUAAACCAAGGGUUGAUGUCUUUUAGAGUAGUGCAACACAGAUCUGCCUGACGGAGAUUAUUACAUCAACAUUAAGGUGAGCCCCAUCACACACAUGGUUGCAAAGAGGGUCAUUCUCACCUUAUGAAUGCAUCCUGAUGUAUGGGUUGGCCAGAAUCGAAGAUAGGGCUCCUAGAAAAUCCAAACUGAGGUUGCUGGGAUUGGAUCUCCUCAAACUUGGGCUUCUGUGCUCAACGACGGUGAUCAUCGGUCGGGGAGGGUUGCGGCCGGUCGUAGGAGACCCAUGGUGGGGAUUGCUGACAACUGGGGGCGGUGACGGUGGUGCUUGAACCUAUGCGGCUCGAUUAGGGUUAGCUCGAUUAGGUGCAACCGGAGUAAUGCUGGCAGUCGGAGGAGUUGCGACGGUGUCGGCGGGGCAGUAGGGAUCAUCAGAGGUGUGCUAAAGCGAUGAGGGGGCCUGAGGUCACAUUUCAAGAACACUUGGCCUAGAACCGGCCAAUCCCUAGGUGCAGGUUGGCCGAUGAAGGAGAGGGAGGCACGAGCGGUGUCAGCGGCCUGGGGGAGUGCCUUGCCGGAGUUGCAAAAGAUUGACAAGGGUGACUACAGGCGCAAGGUCCCUACCUCCACUUCUUGGGUUCAAGAUGUAGAGAGAGAGAGGGAAGAGAUGUUGAGGGAGGGGUGUUGAGGUGCUCUUGUCAGAAUUCCGGUGGUUGGAGGUGGGUGGUCUGUCACGCCCCGGGUUCCAGCGGAAGCCUAUACGGUGCAUACACAGACCCACCGUGUACACCAAGCACCCCCGAUACACACAAGGCGUCUACAACAACUGUAUAAAGUAGGAAAGCCCUAAACAUGGCGAUCAGAGCAACUACAUAAAUCUACUACAUAAAAGAGUGUAGCACAUUAACACCAAUACAAGAUAUACAAGAAGUAUAAACAAACGGUACAUCUUGGAUACUAGAAGAUCUCUAAACAAAAUGCAUUGUACGUCUUUUAGCUAAACCAAAAGAAAGAUAUCGACGGAUCCGACUAUAAUAACAUCGGGGAGGCUCUAGCUAGUCGAAAAUCUCUUGUCACAUUCCUUAGCCUCUCAUGUUGUGGAAGGCUCUGAAAUAAAAACAAAUAACCAAUAGGGGUGAGAACUAUUAAGCAAUAAUUUCCAAUGGGUAAGCCGCCGAGAGUGGCGAAAUACACCACUAGGUCAACUGAGGCAUGAUAUGAUACAAGAAGUAUAAGCAUACAGGUAACAAUUAAUUGAAUAGAUUCAAUUAUAAUCAUACCUCUUCAUGAAAAUGUCAUCUAACAUGUAUAUGAUUUUUCAUGGUCACAUGCACAAGUCUUUGUAUAUGCAAGUUUACAUGUAAGUUUACAUGCACAUGUACUUCCCUUUCAUUAUCAUCAUAUAGCCAUACUUCUAUACUAAUCGACAUGUGUAUAGAUUUACUACCACUAAGGUUAUCAAUACAAACAAUGACAGUGUCACCAAGUAAUAAGUAUGUCUAUCUACUUUAUAUGCAACAACUAGUUGUGAUGUCUUAUGUCAAGUUUUCUUAACUUUUAUCCAAUCAAUGGGGGACUUACAUGUGGUAACGUUCCAGCUUGUGCCGUGCCUAAUGGCUUCGUAGUAGUCAACAUUCUACCACUAGGAAUGAGCCUCCCCCACAGCAAUCCACUUCGGCGCCCAAUCCCACACGGGCGAGCAUGUUGUCGCAAAGGCUAUCUUCGGAGUGCCGGCUUGUAGGGAGUGAUUCUCACAAGCUUGUGCGAAUGAGCACAAAGACAAGCAAGCGUGAUCAUAAGCAUCAUGUCCAAAGGUCACAUAACUCAAUCAUCAUGUCUAAAAUAUGAAAUCUCAAUCAUCGACUCAAGGUCGGAUAUUCUAACAUAAAUGUCAUGUUUCAUUUUCAAUAAAUUCGGUGGUAUGUCUCUCUACCAAUAUGCAACAUAUUUCAAGCAUGUAAGGAUUUACAUCUCAUUUAUGAUCCUAACGGGUUACGAGCUUAUACUAUUUCCACUAUAGUAUGAAAAGAACAACUUACUAAUGCCAUAAUCCAUGAAUUUCAAGAUGCCCACAAGAUUAUAGUUCGUAUCAUGUAUAUGCCUUGUACGUAAGCCUCCACUACAUAAAGUGUAAGAACCAUUAUGCAAGCAAUUAUAUACCUUUGCCACUUACAUACUCAAUUGUGUAGGGAACUCAUUCGUCGUGUCUAAAAAAUGAAAAUGCAUCUAACGACCUAGAGGUUGAGUACAAUGUCAUAAUGUCCACACUAGUCAUUUAUCUAAACUAAGUGAAACAUACUUAGUUCUAUAUCUUAUCAUUACAUGCUAUAUGUCAGGUUAUUUUCAUCUAUAGCAAGUAUAAUGAUUGCUAUGCAAUUUGCAUCUAAUAAUUUUACUAGCCAUGUAGUGUUCCAUAUGUCAUUACUAUUCAUCACUAGCAUGCAUGCCCAUAUUUGCACAAGAGGAACCUGAUAGAACAUAUGAUACAAUAUGGAUGUUAUCAUCAUUAUCCUCUACUACAUAAAGUAUGCCAAAUUGCCUCUACUAUAUAGAGUAUGUCAACUUCCAUAUAUAACAUAUAUGCAUCAUGCACCAAAAAAUUCUAGCAUGUCAUAAAUAGCAUAAACAUGCAUCAAACAAUUCCUAUAACAAUAUAGGAGACUUAGGGAGGAGUUCAUCCAUUUCGGUGUGGUCAAACCCGUCGGAUAAUCUUCGAAAACUCGAUCGUUUCCCAAACGAAGUUGUCUCUAAGACUUCUAGCACCCUAAGAAAAAUUUUCAAAGGGUUACGAGCUUCUAAAAAGCUUCCCACGAAAUUCACCAAAAAUGAAAUAAAAAUUAGGUGAAAAUUAUCUUUGACCAAGCAAAACUUGCCCAAGGCUCAAAUCAACCCAAUGGAGCUUCAUAUCCAACCUAUAAAAGUGUUCUAUACUCAUCAAUUUCACCCAAAAAGCUCUCAAAUGAAAAGCCCCAAAACAAUCCCUACUUUCUACAAAACUAGAUUUUUCCACAAAAAAUUCCUUGCAAUUCUCUUAAUUAGAGAGUAUAAGAACAAUACUAACCUCAAAUCAAGCUCCAAACCAAGCUAUAUAAUGCUAGGGUUGGAGUUCAAUCCUCAAACAAGCUCUUCUCUUCAAUCCCGAGCUCCUCUCCAAGGUGAAGGUAUUUGAAUUCAAAGAGGAGAGGAAGAAAAGAGAUCAAAUCCUAGGAUUAAAGGGAUUAGAAGGAGAAAUCCAAAGGGAAGAGAAGCUCACCUCUCACCUCUCUCUCCUCUCUUGUAUUAGCCCAACAAAAGUGACUUGGGGGGGAGGGGGGGGAAGGGGGUUGUGGGGUGUGUUAUACUAGUUGUAACAAUAUCCAAAAAGCCCCUCCAAAACUCAGAUAUUGCAUUCAGCACGAAACAGAUUCUGCAACAUUGAGUACCGGUACGCAAUUUUGAGUACCGGUACUCGAUGGUCAGUUUUGGUAUCCAAUGGCCAGUCCCGCAAAAUCCGAACGUUGGACAUUCUGGUUUUCAACUGCGUUCCGGUACCAGCCCGAUGCAGUACCGGUACUCAGCCUAGUAUCGGUAUCAAGAGCUGAGUUUGCAAAACCCGAGAGCUGCCCAAUUUGGCACUCUACUGAGUUCCGGUACCUCAAGUCCAGUACCGGUACUCAACACUAAUAAUGCAAUUUUUACAGAAUUUGAUCUCCGGAGUUCGUUUUCGCGCUUAUUAAGCCUCGGAAACACUCCUAAGCCUACAAAACUCAAUCCAAACCUUCAGAAUAGUAUUAAGCACUAUUCUCUCACUAGAACUCUGCAAUUUACAGAAAUUCAGUGUGCUACAUGUUCGGAGCACUAGGAUAGUAGCAAGGUAUUGAAGAGAGAGGAAGCUGUGGCUGGGAGGCUCAGGCUGCAAGAUUUUGGGUUAGGGUUUCCAUAGAACCCUAAAAUUCACCUAUAUAUAGUUGCAUAUAUAUUGGGAAUUUGUGGAAAAGUCCUCCAAUAUCGCAAAAUUAAUAGUGAGGCCCUCACAGCAUGUGUGUUUAGCAUGGAGGCCUCUCCGCAACAAAUUUUGCAAGAAUCUGGGCAUAAAAUAUAAGGGCAUUUCCAAAUUUUCAAUUUUUUGAUUUUGGCGACUUUUCAAAAUUCAUCUCAUUUUCUGCACUCGUCAUGCCAAAUUCGAAAACAAACUUUACCAUGACUUCUGGCGCUAUCGGACCUUUCAAGUGGCAAAUUCAUUUUGUUGAAUUCUGAUUUUAUUUUACUGAAUUAGCCAUCCUUUCUCUGGAACCCUAUAUUGAUCAAUAUCUAAGAUUACAAAAUUUGAAAUUUCGAAAUUCAAAUUUAUUUAUUCAAUUUCGAAUUUGCCAAUUCUUACACUACUACUAGCCCAUAGAGAAGAGAGGGAGAAAUUAAGGGAUUUGGAGGAUGCAAAAUGUGGUGUAGAGGGAAUUCGCAGGGAAGAAGAAUGAAAAUGAUCAUUGAGGGUUGUAUACAAGAUUUUUAUAGAGGAGUAGGUAAGAUAAAAUAAGCCUAAGGAACAAAAGAAUUAAUCUAAACUUGUCACUGCAGAAAUCGUAGGUUUCGGGCGCCCAAGUCUCACAUUCGGGCAUCCGAAAUAGCUAAAAGCUGCAUCUAGACGAAGAAAGGGCACCGACAAGGAGGAUCCAGAUCUCUAACUUGAACCUGUAUCCAAAAAGUCCACUUGUCACGUGUCAAUGAAAUUCUAUACACUCGAGGGAGCUCAUCAACCCAAUUCGAGCUACUACAGUAACUUCUGGGCACCUAGAAUGAAGGCUCGAAUUGACUUUAGUAAUGCAUCAGCUCUGGGGCCCUUAGCUCCAUCUUCUCAGUGCCUGAAAGCUAUCAGAACUUCAAUUUUGGCUGAUUUCAGUACUUUGAGUUCGAUUUCGCAUCCAUUUUGUACCAAAAUGACUCUAGCUUGUCCCAACAAUCUACGGAUGUGUCGACCAGCUACUGAUAUUGUAAACAUUUUGACUGCUAACUUUCUAGGACACUACAUAGUCUUUACAAUGUGGUCGCCAAAAUUUGAUGCUCAGUCUUGACUUGUUGGCACACUAGGCACUGAGCCACAAAGCGCCUAACAUCAACUUUCAUCCUAGGUCACCAAUAGUGAGUCUUCAAAUCUUAUACAUCUUGGUGCCACACAAAUGCGUGGUAUAUGGGGACCAUUGUACUUUUUUCAAUAUUUUCUCUGGAUCUCCUUGAAACCUCAAGACCCCCGUAGAGUCCAAAUUGAAAUCCCUCGCACAUCCAUUCUCUAUAGCAAAUUGUACCCUUUGGAGCUUCUUCUCAAAUGCUUGUUUUUCUUUAUUCUACUCCAACAAGGUCGGUUGCACAUUAAGUGUCAUGACUUUCACCAAAGUAAUCGAUGCAUCAACCUCCAAAUCAACCCGCUGCUUUUCUUCAUGUAACGACACUUCACUAAUGAUCAACAUUGCAAGAUUCACGACAGAUUUUUGAUUUAAUGCAUCUGCUACCACAUUUGCCUUCCUGGGGUGGUACAAAUUUGUGACAUCAUAGUCUUUCAAUAACUCCAACCACCAAUACUCCCUCAUAUUCAAUUCCUUCUGAGUGAAUAAGUAUUUGACGCCCUUGUGGUCCAUGUAAAUCUCAUAAUGCUCGCCAUAAAGAUAAUGCUACGAUAACUUCAGUGCAAAGAUUUCUAUGACCAACUCAAGAUCAUAGUGAAUUAUGUGUAAGGACUGAGAUUUUUUUUCUAUAUAAAUUUGACAUUUUUUAAAAUAUUAUCAUAUGUAUUUUAAUUUUAAAAUUGCCUGUCAAAUUUCAACGAAAAAUAAUUUAAAAUAAAGAUUUUACGUGAUUAUUACUUUUUACUUAAAGUGAAAAGUACAUAACUCGUGGUUUCGGAAGAGGCCAUUGAGUGUAGAUGGCAUUUGUCAAUACUGGACUCCGUUUUAGGUGAUCCAAUAGUUCGUUUUCAAUGGUCCGACUGUGUUGGAGUCAACGACGCUGGCAGAUUUUGCGUUCGACACAAGGUUUUCGAGAAAAGUGGAUUUUACCGCAAAAAAGGUGUUUAGUCCUUGUUGCUUUUGAUUUUUAAAACUAUUCAUUGCUCCAUUUUGUGUGAAAAGCCACGGGCGGGGACCAUUUUGUGAGAGAAGUUAAUUGGAGAAGCCUUUGUGUCGCGAAAUAUGUAUUUUGGGGAGAGAUUAGGGGCUAAUUGCCAAGUUUACAUAAAUACUUGAGGAUUAGGGUUUCAUGCUCAUUCUUCCUUCAGUUUGACGGUUGUAGUAAUCGUCUAGGACCUUCUGCAUCACCAGAUCCUUCUUAUCCUUCCUAGACUCCACUUUUUCUUCGGAGUCAUUCAAAUCUUCUCCCGAACAGUCGUUCGGAUCAUUUUCUGCUUUAGGGAGAUCUUCCCAUUCUUCAAGGAACGUCAUAAUUAAACUCCUUCCAUUCCCCAUUCAACUUCUUCUCUUAAAUAAUUGCCUCCCAGUCGCAACGAGUCAUCUCGGCCUUGCAUCAUAUGCAUAGCCGAAGAGAUCACUUUGUAUUAGCAAUGUCUUGAUCAACCUUUCCCUCGAACGAUGCUUUUCCUUUGAUGUGCACUAUGUUAACCUAUGAGGAAAAUAGAUUUUGAUCAACUUUCAUAUUUUUAUUUUCUUGGUCGGCAAAUAUGAGCCGACCUUCAUUAAUCUCUUUUUGAAUUUGCCAUUUGAAGGCGGUACAUUCACUAAUCCUGUGGCUCCAUGAGUGAUGUCACUUACAAUAUUUUUCUCUUUUUAAUUUUUCUUCGAAAGGUAUUGUUUGACCUUCCUGAAACUUAAUUCUACCAUCCUUUAACAACCUAUCAAAGAUCAGAUCGGUCGUUGCGAUGUCAAAAGAAUAAGUAUAUGCAGAAACGCACGCUUUCGCUUCGCUAGCUCUAGUCGGCUUCAAUAGCACACAUUUAUAAGAUUGUCGGUUUUUAACCAUUUUCGCUGCAUAUAUUUCAGCCUCGUCAGCUGAAUCUUCAGUUCCACUAAAAGUAUUCGACUUAUCUUGAGCCUAAGAUUCCUCAACAAAAGAAAUAUUUUUUUUCUUUCCCCUUAUUUCAAUCCUUAUUUCGUCUCCAUCUUGGCCAGUCUUCAUUAUUACCUUUCUUGAAUUGCUCGUAUUGAGCUGGAAACCCAAGUCGAACAGAUUUGAAAAAUCCUUAUCUUCAAAAUGAUCUUUAAUUUUGAAGUGCAAACCAUUGAAUGUCAUUUUAGCAUAUUGCAAUUCUGGCAUUCUAACGAAACAACAACUUCUUGCCGUUUUGAAUCGGUUUAAGUAUUCCUCUAUCAAUUCCCCCAGCUUUUGUUGGUAUUGGGCUAAAUCAGCGAUCGAUACUUCCGAUUCUGAUCUCUAAAACUGCUUAUGAAACUUCCUCUCCAAUUCGUCCCAGUCUCGGACAGAAUUGGCGGGUAAACUAAUAUACCAAGUGAACACCGUCUUAGUUAACGACGUGUUGAACAAUCAAAGUUUAAGAAAUGGAUCUGCGGCUGUCACGCCCCGGGACCGGCAGAGGCCCUCCCGGUGGCGCGCCCAGACCCGCCAUAUGUCUACACAUAUAAGGCGUCUAUAAUAACAGCGGAAAUAAAAGCAAGAAGUAAUGGAACAAAUAGAAGAAGUGAAAUAACUAGCAACUAAUGAUAUCAGAGCGAGUAAAGUUCUAACAUCUACACCAAAGUAAAGAAGUAAAACUAGACAAUAAAAGAAAUCAUAAGUAGUACAAUAUCUGUCUCUAGUACAAAAAUGGUGGUCUCUAUGCAUAUACGGGUACAACUCUCAACCUCUCACAAAAAGAAAUACAACGAGAGGUAGACCACCUAGCAAAUCGUCCUCGAAGGAAGCUAGCUCGAAGCAACUCCCUUCCCACGGUCCCUGGCCUCACCCUGAGUGGAAGGCUCUGAAAGAAAUCAUAAAACAGAGGGCGUGAGAACUAUAAUUUAUAGUUCCCAGUGGGCAAUUACUGACCUCAGCUCAAUGCACCACUAGGCCCCAAAAGAAAAGGGUAAGUACAAUAAUAAAAGCAAUAAUAACAGCAAUAUGAAAGCAUACUUAAAAGGUUAAGUUAUAAACUCAAGUAUACACGAUGUCAUGGUGAUGUACAUCUACGAAAUCACGGUAGUAUGUCCAAUGGCAAUAGCUAAGUGUCAUAAUCUUUAUCAAUACAUUAAGCAUAAGUUCUGUCAUGGCAACCAAGUAUACUGUGAUGAAAUAGGUAACUGUCAAGUAUAUUACAUGUCUCAACCCUAUGCUAUAAGCAUGUAAAUGUAAUCCAACUACUAAACCUAUCUAGUAGUGAUUGUUCCUAUACAACGCCGUGUCGAUUUCCAUUUCCAAUUAAGGACCAACCCAAGGUAGUCCAGCUUGUGCUGCCUAAGUGCCUGUGGUAGCCCAACAUCCCUACUCUUGGAAUGUGUCUGUCCCACUCGACCCCGUAGGCUUCUCAAUACCGCACGAGCGAACAUAAGUCGCGUAGGCUAACUCCGGAGUGCCGGCUUGUAGGGAGCGACCCUCACAAGCAUGUGCGAAUGAGCACAAAUGGCAAGCAAGCAUAGUCCAAGUCUCAAGUAUCCAAUUCUCAUGUCUCUAACAUGGUAUAGUCACUAGCAUCCCGAAGAUCUAGUUUAAGUCGCAAUGUGAAGUUUCAACAUUUGCUACGCCUAGUGCCCCUUGAUGACACUUAGGCAAUUUGAUGUUCAACAUGUUUUCCAAAUUCCUCAAUGGCCCUAUCCACUAGGUUCACACAUGUCCUGAGCUCAAUGCCGCUUGAUGACAUUAGCUCUCUAAUUCGCAUACAUCUAAGUUUGAUGUCAAUAAAUGGCAACUUGUCAUUCAUCAUAUUUCAAAUAAACCUAAGUUUAAAUGCACGAAUUAAGGCCCAUUUACACUAUAGAAGCAUAAAACCAAGUCUCAUAUAGAAUGCCAAAUGCAACACUAGAUCUGUCCAGCAACUCUACUACAUAGAAGUCCGGAAAUUUUAUUACAUAUAACAUGGGCAUUUUAAGCAUUCUAAAAAUCAUAAUAAAUGUAUUUAGCAUGAACAUGCAUGAAUUAAUAGUAUACGAAACACUUUUCACCAAUUAUGAGGAUUUCUCAUAUUAUAGGCUAGGUCAAACCCACCGACGACAACGAAGCUUUUCGCUUGCUCGAACGGAGGUUAUCCAUAGGCUUCUUAGCACCCUAGGAAAAUCAAAUGGUGUCAUCCAAUCGAUACGAAGAGCGAUUUGCUCGAUCAUUAACCUAGGAGCAAAAAGGGCCAAACUCACUCAGAGUAGAAAUCUUCUCCUAAGCUCCAAAAGAGAGCUAGGGUUCAUCCAAUCCAAGCCAGGAAGGUUCUAAACCCACAAUCUAGUCUCUAAAGCCUAGAAUCAAAAUCCCAAAUAAACCUAAGUAUCAAAUCUAGGGUUCAACUCAAAAUUUAGCAAAACAUGGAUCAAAGGCUCAAUCAUGUUGCUAACCUCUCUAGAAGCUUCAAAUCAAGCUCAAAUGCUCUAGGUCCCAAGAUUUCUCCUCACUUAGCUCAAUCCAAGCUCUUGGCUUCAACCAUGGUGGAAUACACCAAAGGGAAAAAUAGAAGAAGAAUCCAUCAAAAACCAUGCAAAAAGGGAUCAAAAUCAGUGGAAGGUGGAGAGUUCCUUACCUUGUCUCCUGCUGUUUCAAGCUCAAAGAAAACGUAGGCGUGGGGGAAUAAAUAGAAGAGAUACAAACGCAAAAACACCCCUGCAGUCCAAACUGUGCGAAAUCUGCCGCCUUGUACCGGUACACGGGCCCUUGUACCGGUACAAGGUCCACGAAAUCCAAACCCGAGGCUCGGGUUGCGCUGUUCUGCGGCACUGUACCGGUACAGGCCCGAUGGCUGUACCGGUACAACCAUCAACAUUGUACCGGUACAAGACCAUCCUUGUACCGGUACAAGACCUGCGAAAAUGCAAACCCGAGGCUCGGGUUUGCGAGUUCGCGGCUCUGUACCGGUACAAGCACAACCUUGUACCGGUACAAGCCCGCCAGACAGCCAAUCCGAGAGCUGACCAAAAUCCAAAUUUUUUUGGGUUUUGGCGCAAGGCUUUGUACCACACUCCUCGGGACACGUGCCAUAGGUCGGAACACAGUGAACGACCUACCAGAAAAUCUGGAAAAGCUCAGAGCACAGCUAAUCACUCGAACCUCGCAAUUUGCAAAGGUCCAGUGUGUUACAGCGGCGGCCUCUCUACAUUGGGCCGUAAACAGUGCCACGUGUUCGAUCGUUUUUUCGGUCUUAUCGCCAAAAAAUUUGCCGAAUUUUGGCAUUUUUCAAUUUAUUGGGUACGGAUGAUCUACAUCUAUGUUGGCAAGAUGAGGAGAUCUAAAUACAGACCGCAUCGCCGGCCUAGGUCCCGUUCCAAAGGUAUUUCAAAUAACUUCUUAGAUCUGAGCAUAUAACUCAUUAUUGUUCCCUAGCACAGGCAUCGGGGCCUAUGCUUGAGCCAGAUUCAGCCCUGGAGGAAGUCCAUAAUUUUGUAGUGUAGGAUUUACACCCUGUAUAACAUUAGGGGCUUGCCCCCAUGCAUGCCCUAAUUCCUAUAUUUUGGGGUUGAUACACCGGUAACAGUGGCGAAGGAGGUAAUCCCUAUACUACCUCAAGUUGUUGAUCGAUAUUUACAUUCGCUAGUUUAUAGGCGGCCUGAAAUAGUGUUACUUGCGGCUGCAUGAUCACCGGUGUACCUAGAUUUUGUAACACUGGCAUGCCUAUAGGUCCUGGUAGGCCUGCGUACGGUUGUUCAUUUCAAGUCAGCAACUGCCCAAUUCAGGCAAUAUUUUUAUUAGAAGCCGUGAUAGUGGCUAAAACUGUGUCCAGAUAGGUAGUGCUCUGAUGAAUAUUUUGGCCUAAAACUUGUAAGACGCUAGCCAUCUGUCCGAGCGCCUGAGCCAAACUUGGUUCUUAAUUGCUGGUUCGAUCGACAACUAGUUUCACCUUCUACCGGUAAUACUGCAUGACGCUCAUUCGUAUUCUCAGUAUUACUGACUUGAUCAUUCCCGGAUGUUUGAGGAACAUCUUGGUUGCGGAGAUUCGUGGCAUUGUCGUCAGCCAUUAUUUAUAAUAAAUAAAAAUAAAAAUUUACCUGAACAAGUAUCCCGCCGAGCAUGCCAAAAACUGCUGCGAGCCGACUUCUUAGAUCGUUGACCCGGUCAGAGGUCCUCCUUCAGGAAGCGCACGAAGAGAUGAAGCGGCUAUGAAUGAUGAUCCUCGAAGUUAGUGCCCACUACAGGUCAAGCGAUUCGGCUGAUGAGGCAUCGGAUCAGCCGGGUUCAAUUCUACACAAUAAUUCCGGAUCGGUUGGAUGAGCCAAAUUCGAGACAAGUACUGAUUCAACUGAAGAACCGAACUACUUAUAUAUUGCUCAAAAUUGGUUGAAAAAAAAAUAGAAAUACAGAGCUAAAGUAUGCCACUACAGCAUACACUCCUGAGAAAAAUCUAAUCCUAGAGACUACUCUUAAGAAAAGCAGUAAAUACAGGGAAAAGAGGAAAAUUACAAUUAGACUGCUCCUGGAAAGUAAGAGAAAAUGCGUGGAAUUAAAAAUGGUAUUCUUAUUCGUUGGGAAAAAAGACCCCUUCAUCAGACGUUUCUUAUCUAUUUAUAAUCGGCCUAUUACUAUUCAGUUAUUCCCUAUGAUUGGCCACAUUCCUAAAUUCGUGGGCCACUACUAGCCGAUAUUAACCGCAUGUAAUCGUGUGAGCUUUAACUGCUUUGCUGCGACUUCUUCUCUGAUUCUGGUGCACCAUAUGUUAUUUAUCCCUGGCUUCAAAUGCCAUGACUACGGUGCAUCCCGGUUUACAACGUGGCGUGAUUUUUUUGGCGCCAAUAAUAAUAUUAAAGUUUGGUAUUAAAAUCAAAAUAAAAUUAUAUAAAACUUUUCUGAACUAUGAAUCAUUUUGAAUUAUCUGUGCAACCUUUCAAAAUUUUAUUUUUACUUUUCAAUUAUUCUAUAUGUUAGAUUUUAAAAUUCACGUAUAAAAAAUUAUAUAUUUAAAAUUUUUAUAAUAAAAAAAUAGGUUGGAUUAAAAAAAAAAGAAGAGUUCAAUCCCUUAUCUCUAAAUUGAUAAAGAGGAAAAAAAUAAAAAAUACAAAAUAAAAAAACUAGGCCCAAACUCGGCUCCGCCCCACGCCCACCCGCAACCCCGCGCCUGCCUGCGCUUCCGCCCCUCUCUGCCACGUGGCUCAUAUGAUUGAGCUUCCAUAUACUUAUAUAGAUUGUUGACAUGGUAGGCACGGUCCACUCAAUAAUGAUAAGUACCUGGCUAACUAUAUUAACUACCUAAUGUAACUAACUGUAAAUAAGAAUAUAUAGGGGUACGUGGUUUAAGAAUAAGAACAAGGCGGGAAAUAAUACAUGAAAUAAUAAAAGGGUAAACUUUAAAUAUUAUCCAUAUGAUUUCGUACUUUCUCACUUUAGUACACUUUGGUUUAAAAUGUAUCAAUUUAAAACUCCGUGCUUUCAUUUUUCUCUUUUCAUCAGCUCUUCCGUUAUCAUUUCGUUGAAUUAUAUUAUAUACAAAAAUCUUUAGAUACCCAAUUUAGGUUUAUCAAAUACUCAUUUUAUCACCUUUUAGUUUAACUUUGUAACCGAUUUAACAAAAAAAUUAGUAGAGAAAAUAAUAAAAAAAUAAAAAUAAAAAUCACAGAGUACUAAAUUGAUACACUUUCACUACAACAAAAAUGGUGUAUAGCGACACUUUUAAAUAUUGGUACAUGUUAAAAAAAGUGCUGCUGGCUAAAUUACCGACACUUUUAAAAAGUAUUGCUAUAUGUGGGGUCGCUAGGUAUAUAGUGACAGCUUAAAAGUGUCGGUAUAACUUAAAAAGAGUGAUGCUAAUUUACCGACACUUAUUUAAGCAUUUAGCAACGACCGAAACUCUACCUCGUUGGCUGCGGUGGCGGAGGAGGAGGAGAGCGAAGGGUUUUCGUUUAGGAUUUCAGCUGAUUGAGUGAGGGGAGAAGGGGAGAUAGUAAUCGAUUUUUUCUUUUUUUUUUUCCAUGUCUGUUUGUAAUCGGGCCAAAUAGGCUGGAUGAGGUGGAUUGAAUAGAGUAAUCUUUUAUUUUUUGUUGGAUUGAGUUUUAUAUUUAGGCCUUAGUAGACUCUUUUUUAAGUUUUGAUAUAAAUAGAACACUUACACAAAAAUAUCUCAAACGUAUGUCUCUAUAAUUUAAUUAUGUUGUAGUGAUGUGGGGCCUUUUUUGGGGGGAAUUUGGUAUGGUCAAUUGACCCCACUAAACCAUAUCGAUCUGUCAAUAACUGUUUCGGACACCAACAUAGGUAGUCCUGCAAAAAGUUAUGUUGAAAUAAUAUUUUUAUUUGUGUCGAAAUAAAAUAAAAAACAGAAGAAACAAAGUGAUAGUAAAUUUGCAAACCAUAUAUGAAAUGCGACUUCUAAAAUCGAUCACACCAAACUACCAAAUCUGUCCUUUAUCAUCUUGUAGUUAGGAGUUUCCUUCUAGCUAGUAAAGUGCAACAGUGUACUGUCCUACUUAACUAAGAAAUUUUUCUAACAAGUGAAAUCACAUAAAAGCAAACUACAACUUUUUAAAUUAUAGAGUAUACAAAUAAAUGCUGCUAAAUAACCAAAGGGGUCUGAUUGAAGUUUUAUCCAAUUCGACAAAAAAAAAGAAGGUGCAAUUGCUUAUAUACCUCUAAAAAGUUCUCGACUUUUCGAUUUACCCCUCUUAGAAGGUUAGUAUUAAAAAUACCCCUCCUACGUUCUAACCUAUUUCUAAUAUACCCUUAGAGUUAAAAUUUGUUAAAUAACUCUCUUAUCUUUAUAAAAUUAUUAUUUUGCCCUUUCAAAUAUACCAUUCCGCCAUCAGUCUUUCUUAUUUGCCCUUAAAGUCAGGGGCAAAAAAAGUGUUUUGAUGUUUAGUCUUUUCCAAUAUACCCCUCUACCAUCACCAACAUUUCUUAUUUGCCCUUAAGUUAAGGGCAAAAUUGACAUUUUAAUAUUUUUUAACUGUGGUAGAUAUUUAACUCACGUUUAACCCAGGUUAACUUAACAGGAGAUAACUGCAGGUACAUGUCAAAAAAGUGCUGCUAGCUAAAAUUAUCGACACUUUUAAAAAGUGUUGCUAUAUGUGGGGUCGCUAGAUAUAUAGUGACAGUUAAAGAGUGUCGCUAUAACCUAAAAGAGUGCUGCUAAUUUACCAACACUUAUUUAAGCAUUUAGCAACCGCUGAAACUCUAUCUCGUUGGCUGCGGUGGCGGAGGAGGACGACAGGAAAGGCUGUUCGUCUAGAAUUUCAGUGGAUUGAGUGAAGAGAGAAGAAAAGAUGAUAAUUGAUUUUUUUUUUUCUUUUUUGUUUGUAAUUGGGCCAAAUGGACUGGGUGUGAUGGGUUGAGUAGAGUAAUCUUUUAUUUUUGGUUGGAUUGGGCUUUAUAUUUAGGCAUUAGUAGAUAUUUUUUUAAGUUUUAGGAUAAAUAGGACACUUAUUCAAAAAUGUCCCAAACAUCUGUCCCUAUAACCUAAUUCUGUUGUAGUGGGAGUU
rnacentral:lncRNA from 1 species